rnacentral:lncRNA from 1 species
UUUUUUUUUUUUUUGCAUUUUUUUGGGGUGUGUGUGUAAAGGUGUGACAAUUAUAUGGAAUAUGAUUGUGGCAUUCACUUAAUAAAGUGACGGCGCUGUUAGUUUUCAUCAAAACAGAAUUUUUAUACUUAAUUCUGUUGUGAGGGGAAAAUGAAAUGACAUUAAGCAAUUAUUAGAUUCAAUCCAGAUUUGGCAUUUUAAUAUUUUUUACAUUUAGGUAGUCGAAAUGGGAAAUGGGAAAUGGAUCUGGAUUCAGCCUGUGCCAAUUUAUAAGCAAACAGGGAAAUAAAGGUGUCAUUUUCAUGUAUUGGGAAGGCACAUGGCAUGUUGUUCAUCCCAUGUGAUGUUUUGACCCAAUUUAUUAAUUUCAUCCAUAAAACUACCCUACUCAUAUAUGUAUAUCAUGCGUAUAAAGACUAUAGACUUUUGCUUUUAUUACUAAAUCAGAGAAAAAAUGAUGAUUAAAUAAUAAAUGAAAACAUAAAUGUAUAGUUAUAAUGAAAAUGCAAAAAGAUGGUGGGAUCAUCAGCAUUAACCAAAGACAUGUGGAGUGGGAUUAAAGUAGUGGUGAAUUGUAUUCGACAACAUUGCCCUUUUUGUCAGUCUACAAAGUUAAGAGAGUUGCACCGCAUACACCGAUGGGAUUUAAGAAACCCUGUGAAAAUGGGAAUGGGGUUGGGUUUCAGAGGUGGAGAAUGCGGGGGAACAAGGUUCACAUGGGAGAACGUGCUUCCCUACCAUCAGUUAAACGGUCGGUACGGUCUCAUGCAUGUGCCCAUUUCUAUCUUCAAUCUCUAAAUACCCACCUAUAGAUUUAAGAUUAAAAAGUUUGGUCUUGGCACCAUUAAAAUGAUUUUAAAAAAAAAAAACUUGAAUAUGUUGAGGAUUGGAUCUCCAACACGUUAGGUUUUGUAUCUCAACCAUGUGUAAUGUUUACGUUUUCGCUCUAUCAACUUAUUUUCUCAGAGAAAAACAAAACAAUACCUGAAUCCAAUAAAUUAUUAUAAACAAUAGGAUCUCAAAUCUGCAUUAUUUUCACAUUGCAAGUCCCCACUCCAUAUUCCAUGUGUUUGCUUCAAAUGUUCACAUUUCAUUUCAUUCAUUUUAAUGUUUCUAAUAAAUUUAGCAAACUAUUUUCUUUUUCAUAAAAUAAAAUUAGCUGUAUAUAGAAUUUGAGGGUUAAUUAAUUAUAUAUUCAGAACGCACAUGUCAUUUUGCCAAAAUUUUUUCCCCUUUUUUGAUGUAACAUUUUGCAACUUUAAAGGUUAAGUACUUUUUAUUAUGAUAUUUAAAAAAAUGCAUUAAAUCAUUUAUUAUUAAAUUAAUGAAAUCUUUUUUUCUUGGAUAUAAAAUUGAAACUACCAACCGUAGUACAUAAGUUAUAACCAUGUUGUUGAUCUGAUUAUCCAUAUGUUGUCCUCAUCAAUCAGUUAUCUCUGUUGAACAAAUAAUAAUAAUAAUAAUAAUCAUUUAUCUCUUAACCGACAUUGGAAUGCUAAACUGACACUGUUGGGAAUUGUCACUUUUUUAUUAUUAUAUAUUUUAUGGAAACAUUAAUCUAAAUUUGCUGGUACUACUACUAACUAACUAAUAAAGUUCUAUAUAAAAACCAUGAAUAUUAUUUUUAAAGUAUUUAUAUAUAUUUUUUUAUAUUUUCAUAACUUCAGAAAAAUGUAUAGGUAAAUUACACUAUCCAUUACGGCAAAAUUUUUUUCACUCAACUAAUAAAAUUUAUUAUUAUUUUUAUUUCUUUUGUUAAGUGUUUUUAAGUCUACGAUGGAUUGAUGAUGUUGUGAUUUUAAAUUUUGGAUAGUAAUAUAUUUGAUCUCCCAUGGUUAUACAUUUUAUUAAUUUAGUUUAUAAAGAAAUUCACCUUUAACAUUUAUAAAUUAUUUUAAUUUAGUCCUUGAUUCUAAUAAAAUUAUAAAACUUUUUAAUUAAAAUUUUAAAAAAUCAUACAAAAUACAUAAAAAAAAUCUAAAAUUAUAUUAUUAUAAAAUUUUACAAAAAAAAUUCCCACAUAUUCAGGUUGCAAUCUCUCCAAACUUUCAUCAAUGCUUUUAAUUACUCUCUCAACACUGAAAUUAAAACCUUCACGAUAUCUUCCACAUUUUGUCGAAAUUAUAUAUUCACUUCUCGUAACUCCAAGAGCUUUAAGUCCCUUACCAAGCAUCUCUCUGACAAUGUACCUCCAUAAUACCUUCAAAUCAUUAACCAAUACAUAUAAUUCAUCAAAUUAAACCCAAAAAAAAAAAAACUCAAUUAGUUAAAAGUGAAGAAAAUUGGCCCUACGGAGAGAUGUCGAAGAAGUUUAUUAUGAGGCGUAAGGCUUUGUGCAUGAGGCGACAAUAUCGCUUCCGAAAACGAGAUCAAAGACGCUGUUGAGAGGGCAGCUCUGGAGCCCACCCUGCUGAGCUUGAGGCUCAUGUUUUCAAGAGGUCUUAUUUCUAGUUAAGGAACAACCAUAUUUAUCUAGGGUUUUUAUUCAAAGGGUUAAUAUGUAGUUUUUCUAUUGAUCUUAUCCAAAAGUACUUAAUUAUUAUUUGAACAUUUUUUGAACUUAUUUGGUAUCCAAAAGUAUUAACACCGCUAGUUUAUAUUGACGUGGCACUGAUCGUCAAUCCAAUGGUAGCGUGUAGCAACCUCUCAGUAUACCACGUGGUGGAUAAAAAUUUAAAAUUUAAAAAUUAAAAAUCUUUAAAAUAUAUAAUUAAUAAAAAAACAUAUAUAUUCUUUUAAUUUGUACACUAAUUUGUCCAGGUUCAUUCUAGAUAUAUUUUUAAUAAGUUUAUAUAUUUUUAUUUUUAUAAAAUAUCAGGUUAUUUAUAUUAUUAUUUUUAAAUUAAAAAUAUAUAAAGUUUUAAAUAAUUUUAAAAUACAUAAAUUAAUAAAAAAAUAUAUAAAAUUUUUUUUACAUCAAGAAUGACCCUAGUUUCAUUGUAGAUGUGCAUUUUAGUUCUUUUAUAUAUUUAUAUAUUGAGUAAGUAUUUGGUACAUUGACAAUGUACUUUUUUUUAUCCCACAACCUUAAAAAAUUAAUACGUGACUCUUUUUUUUUUAACUAUUUAUGUUUUAAUAUUUUACUAUACCUCUGUAGGACACUUGUCAAACCCUUGACCCUACUGACAGUGUACCAAAUAAUUUUCCUUAGAUAUUUUUAUAUAAUUUUUAAAAUUUUAAAUUUAUGCAUUACAAAGUUUUAUAUAUUUUUCAAAAUAUUAUAGGUGUUAUAAAAUAAAAAGAGAUAGAGAGAAUAAAAAACAAAGAAAAUAUGAAAGCAAUAGAAAAUGUACUUUAUUGAUCAAAAGGGAUAUUACAAUGUUUCAUCAGAGUCUCUAUUUAUAAGCAUAAGAAGUAUAAAAGAAGUAGAGAUCUAAUUCUAAUAAAUAUUAGAAUUUAAAGUACAUUAAAACUUUGUCUUGAUCAUGACAUCUACUUAAUAAGAUAUUCAUAACACUCCCCCUUGGAUGACCAUUUGUAGAUAAUGUGCCUCGUUAAAACCUUAUUAGGAAAAACCCUGUGGGAUAAAAAACCUAAUGAAGGAAAAAGAGUAUACAAUCUUUUAUUACAAGCUGCCUCGUUAAAAAUCUGUACCAGGAAAACCUAAUGGGACAAAACCUUGGUUAAAGGAAAAGAAUACAACUUGUUUUUAGACUCCCCCUGAUGACAACAUUACAUUACAUAUUUGAGUUGACGCAUUCCAAUCUUAUGUAGUAGUCUUUCAAAUGUUGAAGUUGGCAAUGCCUUAGUAAAAAGAUAUGCUAAAUUCUCACUAGAACGAAUUUGUUGAACAUUUAUAUCACUUCUUUUCUCAAGAUCAUGGGUGAAGUAUAAUUUUGGUGAAAUAUAUUUCGUUCUCUAACCUUUAAUAUAACCACCCUUCAAUUAAGCUAUACAUGUUGCGUUAUCUUCGUAUAAGAUAGUUGACAUCUUUUCCUGUAAAGGCAAAUUGCAUAUCUUUUGGAUAUAUUGGGUCAAUAACCUUAGCCUAAUACACUUUCAAAUUGCCUCAUGUAUUGCAAUUAUUUCUACAUGAUUUGAAGAAGCAGCAGCUAAUGUUUGCUUUGUUGAACGCCAUGAUAUGACAAUGCCCCCACAUGUAAAUAAAUAUCCUAUUUGAGAUCGACCUUUAUGUGGAUCCGAUAAGUAUCCAGCAUCAACAUAGCCAACUAAUGUGGAUUUUGAAUCAUUUGAAUAAAAUAACCCCAUAUUAGUAGUCCCUCUAAGAUAUCUAAAUACAUGUUUAAUUCCAUUCCAAUGUCUACAUGUUGGAGAAGAACUAAAUCUUGUUACCAAGUUUACAGCGAAAGCUAUAUCAGGUCUUGUGUUAUUUGCAAGAUACAUCAAUGCUUCUAUGGCACUUAAAUAUGGUACUUUAGGACCAAGAAACUCUUCACCAUCCUCGCAAGGACGAAAUGGAUCUUUAUUCACAUCUAAUGAUCGUACAACCAUUGGAGUACUUAAUGGGUGUUCUUUAUCCAUGUAAAACUUCUUUAAUAUCUUUUCCAUAUAAGUUGAUUAAUGAACAUGAAUUUCAUCUUUUAAAUGUUCGAUUUGUAAGCCAAGAUAAAACUUUGUUUUUCCAAGAUCUUUCAUCUCAAAUUCUUUCUUUAAACAAUUUACUAUAUUUUGAAGUUAUUCAAGAGUUCAAAUAAUAUUUAGAUCAUCAACAUAAACAACAAUUAUCACAAAAUCUGAUCCAAAACUUUUUAUAAAGACACAUGGCCAAAUUGGAUUGUUUUUGUAACCUUUUUUUAACAAGUAUUCACUAAGACGAUUACAUACGUCCAGAUUGUUUUAAUCCAUAUAAAAUUUUCUUUAAUCUUAUCAAAAAAAUUUCUCAAGAAACUUUAUAUCUUUUUGGGAUUUUAAAUCCUUUAGGGAUUUUCAUAUAAAAGUCAUUAUCAAGUGUACCAUAUAAAUAGGAUGUAACAACAUCCAUUAGAUGCAUGUCAAGUUUUUCACGUACUGCCAGGCUAAUAAGAUAUCUAAACGUGAUUGUAUCCACCACAAAAGAAUAUGUCUCUUCAUAAUCAAUGCCGGGCUUUUGCAAAAAUCCUUUUGCUAAAAGUCAAGCUUUAUAUCUUACGACUUCAUCAAUUUCAUUUCGUUUUCGCACAAAUACCCAUUUAUAUCCUACCGGCUUUAGACCUUUAGGUGUUUGGACUACAGGUCAAAAAACUUCACGUUUAGAAAGUGAAUUCAAUUUUGCUUGAAUUGCAUCUUUCCAUUUUGGUCAAUCUUUUCUAUUUUUACAUUCCUCAAUAGGUUUAGGCUCAAGAUCCUCAUUUUCUUUUAUUAUUUCAAUAGCAAUAUUAUAAGAAAAAGUAUUGUUGACAAGUACAUUUUUUUCGGUUCCUUCUUUUUCUCGUAUUGACAUAACUUAUUGAGAUCUCUUUAUUUUCAUCAUUUUCAUUUUCACUUUUAGGUAGCUGAAUCUCUUCUUGAGUUUUAUAAUAAGUUAUGUCAUGGGUCUCUUUAAGAACCCCCGCCUCCACUAUAUGACCAUCUUGAAUGUUUGCUCCUCUACUUUUACUAGGAUUUUUAUCUUUGGAACCGACUGGUCUUCCACGCUUCAGGCAUGAAUUACUUUCUUUUGCACUAACAGUUUUCCCUAUUAGGACAUCAAUUCGUAUUGGAGCAUUUUCAACUGGUACGUGAGAUUUAAUGAAUCUGACAGUUGAUUUGUAAAAUGAAUCAUCUGUUGAACUUCUGGUUCACAUUGCUUUGUACGAGUUUCUUAGACAUUGAUAAUUUAUUUCAAGUACUUUAUUAAUCUAGCUUUUUAUCCUCUCACCCUAAUGUUGGGAAAAUUGACAACUCAUGUCAUGAUUAAAUCUCAAAUUAAUAACUCAAAAAUAUUAUAAGGAGACUCAUAUAAAUAUACAUUCCUAAUCUCUUAUUAUGACCCAUCUUUGUGCAUUAUGGUGGAGCAGUUGGAACAUAUACUGCACAUCCAAAAAUUGUAAGAUGGGAAAUAUUUGGCUCUUGACCAAAAAUCAAUUGUAAUGGGGAGUAUUUAUAGUUUAUUUUCUUGAUGCGUACAACAUGUAAAUAAAUCAAAUCUCAUACCGAAAUAGAUAGUUUUGUUCUCAUAAGUAAUGAUUUAGCUAUUAGUUAGAGGCAUUUGAUAAACAAUUUAGCUAAAUCAUUUUGUGUGUGAACAUGAGCUACAAGAUGUUCAAUUUUUAUCCCAAUUGACAUGUAAUAAUCAUUGAAAACUUGGGAUAUAAACUCACCAACAUUAGCAAGAUGAAUUGUUUUAAUUGCAUAAUUUGAAAUUAAUCAUUUAAAUAAGCAAUCUCGCAAAUGACAAGUUGCAAGUUGAUAAUGCAUGUGAUUAUUUUGUAGAUGCAUCUACCAAAAUCAUAUAACAUCAGAACCAUCCACAUAGUGGAUGAAGGGAGUCCAUAUUCAUUUCAGAAAUACAAGACAUUAAAUCUCAACUUUAGCUAGUGAGUUUCUAAGAAUCAAUUUUCAUUGAGAACAAGGAACACAUGAGAAUUCUUUAAAUUAAAGAAUCUUCUGGUUCUUUAACAAAUGUCCAUAUGAAUUAUCAAUUAAUUUUCGCAUCAUAUAUGAUCCAGGAUGGUCUAACUGGUCAUGCCAAGUAGUAAAUACAUUUGUAUUAGUAAACUUCUAGUUUACUUUAACAUGUGUUUCAAUUGUACUAAAUUAUAAAAAAAAUUGAUAAUUUUAUUGUUGUUCUUUUUAUUUUGUAUCAACAUAUAAGUACUAUUGUGACAUUUAUUACUGGAAAUGUCUAAAUCAAUGUGAAGUCUAUAAUGUCACUAAGUCAAUAAAUAAAUAUAGUUUUCAAACAAUUAUAUGUAAUAUCCACUUUAGGGAAUAUGUCAAAAUCUUCAAAUAUAAGGCAUUUGGUCUAGUGGUAUGAUUCUCGCUUAGAGUGCGAAAGGUCCCAAGUUCGAUUAAUAAUAUAAAUAACCCAAUCCUCUUUUGACUCAUAUGAAUAUAAUGUUUUCCUCAUUCACAAUCUCAAUAUGAGAUCCAUUAUGAAUAUCUUUUAAAACUAAUUCAUUAAUCAUCACAAACUUUGUGCUUUUUAGAUAUUGAUAUAUUAGCUCUUCUGGAGCUUUCAACUAAUUUUGUACUAUCAAAUAUUAAAAUAUAUUUGUUUAUUUUAGUACCAAAUAAGAUAAAUAUUUUCUGUUUGUAAUGAUAAAUUUCAUUACUACAUUCUCAUAUCCUUCCUUAAAUAAUAUUAAUAGAGACAAAAUAUUUGGGCAUACACCACAUAUGUGACCAAUAAUAUUUCAUAUCACAUUGAUGACAUAAGUUAUCUUUCCUCUUUGAAAAGUUAUCUGGAGAACUCUCAUUGUUCUCUUAUUUAUUACUAUUUUCCCACUUUUAGUGGUCCAUGAGUAUAUCUUUUAUUUUAUAUUUUCUUUAUGUUUACAUUCACUUCAAGGAAUGCAACAAAUCUAGUAGGAAGGGCUUAUAAACAUCCCAAUAGAUUCUUUAUUUCAGAAUCACCAUCGCAAACAUGCAUGGGAUUUCAAAUCAAAAUCUAUCUAACAUAAAAAUAUUAUGCAUAAUAUAAUUUAAUUAAAAGAACUUCAAAAAACUAGAAAAAAUUCCAUAUUAAUAGCAAACAUAUCUAAUCAAUAAUUAUGUCUUUUACAUAAAAAAAUUAACCUAAAAAGACAAAAAUCAAAUACCAUCAGAAUGUGAAAUUUAUGUCAAAUAAAAAUUAAUAGUAGUCAGACCUUAAUUGAAAAAGAAAAUAUGGUCGAAAUAUAAAAGUUUCUUACCAAAUCUAUACUUUACCGAUGCUUGUAAAAUAAAUCAAAAAUCGAGAAUAAAAACUAUAAUCCAUUCUGAGAUUGAAUCUUUCAACAUCCCGAAGAUGAAGUUGUAAGGGUGAAAGUUUAAGGUGAAAAAGAAUAUGAUUUGUGGGAAGACUUCGAAAGAUUUUGAAAAAAAAAAUAGAGAAUCAUUGUGCUGAUAACGUGUUAUAAAAUAAAGAGAGAUGAAGAGAAUAAAUAAUAAAGAAAAUAUGAAAGCAAUAGAGAAUGUACUUUAUUGAUCAAAAGAGAUAUUACAAUGUUUCAUCAGAGUCUUUAUUUAUAGGCAUAAGAAGUAUAAAAGAAGUAAAGAUCUAAUUCUAAUAACUAUUAGAAUUUAAAGUACAUUAAAACUUUAUCUUGAUCUUGAUACACAUCCACUUAAUAAGAUAUUCAUAACAAUAGGCUUUUUAUAUAUUUUUAAUUGUAUAUAUAUAUUUUUAUAUUUUUAUAAUUUAUAAAUUAUAAUUUUUUAUAUAUUUAAAAUAAUAACCUAAAAAUUUACAUUUUAUAAAAAAUUUAAAAUUAAAAAUAUAUGAACUUACUAAAAAUACAUUUAGAAUGAAUCUGGACAAAUAGUGUUCAUAUUCAUUUGUCUAGAUUUGGAAAAAAAAUAUUUUUUUAUUAAUUUAUAUAAAUUUAAAGAUUUUUUAAUUUAUGUCUGUCACAUGCCAUACUAAGGCUGCCACAUGUCUCAAUUGGAUUGGCCAUCAAUACCACAUCAGCACAAACUAACGGUGUUGGUACGGAUGUACCAACUUGGAUGACUAAAUAUAACUUCAAGUACUAAUUAGGUCUAAAAAAAUAAUUCAAAUACCAUCUAAGUACUUUCGGAUAAGUUUAGGGGGUAAAGUACAUAUUAACCAUUUUUCAAAGAACUCGGGGAAGUUUAGAUUUUCUCAAGAAAAUUGUAUAUGAUUGGAAGGGUUUUGAGAGUUAAAAGCUAAAAGUUAGAACGGUGGGAUUGCAAUCUCUCCAAGCUUUUCGAUUUAUUUAUUUAUUUUGUAUGAUUUUUAAAGUUUAGCAAAAAAAAUUAUAAUGUUAUUAUAAUCAGGAUUAAGUUGAGAUAAUUUGUAAAUAUUAAGGGUUAAUUUCUUUAUAAUCAUGAUCGAAUUGAUAAAAUGUGUAACCGUUAAGGGCUAAAUAUGUUAUUAUACUAAUUUUAAAACUGUCACAUCAUCAAUCUAUCACAGACUUAAUUACACUUAAAGGAAAAGUACCAAAAAGAACAAAUUUAAAUAGUUGGGUGACUAUUUUAAAUUUUUUUGUAGUUGGAUGACCAAAAAAGAAAUUUGACUAUAGUUGGGUGACCGCCGAUGUAGUUUACCCAAAAUACAUUCAUAGGAUAGGAUCUAUAAGAUUUGAAUCCAAGACAUUAUGGUCUUUCAUUAUUUUAACUUUACCAUUUCAAUCAAAGCCACAUUUAGUUAUUUUAUUUUAUUUUAGAAAUUUUAUACAUAAAUUUUGUCACCUACAUCGUAGAUGUGUUAUAAUAUAGUAAAUUGAUGCCAAUGAGACCUUGUUUUGUUUAUUAAGGAUGAGGCCUUGAGUUUGUGAGUACUUAAGUUUAAGUCCCAUCAUUUGCAAUUGUGCAUAUGUCAUGUGUGGAUUAUGUUCGGUUCUUUUUGAAAUGAUCCCACUUUGUCUGGUUCUUCGUUCAUUGAGCGAUUUAUUAGUUGAAUUCUACAUUAUAAUUGGCUAGGCAUAUAUUUAUACUUGUAUCAUACUUGAAACUGUAUUGUAUUUGUACUAGUGUAGUUUUCACAGACACAAAAAGAAUAAUAUAAUUAAUAACUUAUAAGUUCUCUUUUGGUUACUGGAAAUUCUUCUUUCGACUAAUCUUUAUUAAUCUGGUCCUUUUAUGGGCUCCAACCUUGCUCGUGAUUCGCGAUGGGUUGGCAUAUUUGCUCUUCUUUCAUUUCUCAUGAGUAUUUUAUCUUGGAGUUACAUAGAACAUUAAUGCCCUUAAAGAGAUUUUUUCAAAUUCAUAAUCUAGAUAUCAUUUUUUAUGGAGACCAAAACAAAAAAAGUUGAAAGUUGAAGCUUUUAUGUUGUAGGUUGGGGUUUCAGUGACUCUUUUAUGUUGGACUCGUAGGUAAAAUGGAAAGUUUAACCUUUUAGUAGAACUAGGAUGCCUACAUCUCCAUUUCUAAAUCAUUAAAGAAAUUUAUGUACACCUAUAUUGAAUUAGGCACUGAGUUAAAUAACGAUAUUCUUGUGUCACAAGACUAGAACUUUAGUCUCGCAAUCCGUGCUGCCUUAGGCGAUCCUUUCGAUUCAAACACGCCUAAGUUAGCCUAACCACCAAACAAUUGAGGAUGCACAAAGAAUUUCUCCAAGGCACCAAUUUAUAUAGUAGAAGGAACUCUAGCCAAAAGAAGGCACAAAAGAAUAGAAAGCCACAAAAAACCAUGCACGAGAGGUGUUUGAGUAAAUGCUCUAAAUUGUAUUACUUUCUCUCAAAGAAUACAAGUAAUAAUAAAGAAUACAAUCCCAAUGGAUGAUUUACAAGUGAGGGGGAGACUCUCUAUUUAUAGUUGAGCUCUCUCAAAACCGACGGUCUAGAUCAAUUUACAUUGACGGACGAGAUUAGCCUACCUUACAAUUAAGGGAUUUACAAGAUUUACAAUAUCAAAUCAAAUCUAAUCUUACAAGAUAUGAUUUCCCUCAAUUUUCUAAGAUUAGUUCCCAUAAUUACCAAGGUAGCCUAUCUUUCUAUAUAUGCAUUAUUGGGCCACCUAGGCUUCAAAUGGACAGGCUUCACCAAUGGCUCUUUGAAUCGAGCCAGUUCUCAUGGGUCAAAUAAUCCCUAUCUAAUCGAUAGACCUCCAUGGGAUGCAUCUUGUGCGAUGGUCACAAGUUUUGCACCUUGGCCCGUACCACUUGUGUAUAGAUGCCUGUUACGCGAUAUAAAAGCAUUGUCUAGAGAUACUUAAGGCAAAAUAAGCUUUCUAUAUAGAUAGCCACCAGCAAGUAGUUGGAAGAAGUGGAAAUGGACUUCUUAUUGUGGUUCUAGUGCCUUUAGUGUAGUGAUGUCGUUAAAUGUACUUGCAAUUUUUCAAAUAGAUUGGUUUAAUAAAAUUAUUUUAUUCUUAUUAAUAUCAUUUUGUAUAAUAUCCUCAACAGUUUUUGCAUGCAAAUCAAAAUGUAAGGAACUAUAGCUCACUAAUUAUCUCAUAUUUAAAUAAUAUUAAGUUGCAUUAUGUGGUUGGAUCAUUAUAUGAGAAGAUAACCUAUAUUAAUAGAUAAUCUAAAUGGCCCAUAGUCUAAUCAAAAUUGAGCAAGUCAACUAAAAUACUAUUAUGUCGUUUAUCUAGUCCAAUCAAUGAUAUACCUUGUCUUGGGUAUUAGAGCUGAUGACUUUUAGAAGAUAAAGGCAUAGAUGUGACUGUUUGGACUAACAAUACAUCAGAUAAGACCCAAGGAAAUUAAAUUUUAGAUCCGUUUUUAGAUUUAUUCACUUGUGAAGUUCAUAGUGCGACUUACCUCAAUCCUGAGUAAGUGACGGGCUUUGUAUGCAUGACUAGUAUACUUUGAAGUAUUAAAAACUUAAGUUCAAUUGGUAAUAAAGCCAAAAGCUUAUACGUUGGGUAUAUGACUUUCAUAUCACACAACUUCACUUAUAAUAGUGGAAUUCAUAGCCCAAUAAAGGUUAAAUGAUAUCAUUUCUUUGACAUUACCUGAUAUAUGGAAAUGUAACAUGACUACAAGUCAUUUGCCUACAACGAACAUAUUGAGUUUUUCAUAAAGGAAGAUGUAAUGAUUACCAUGAGAUAAAAUAUGAUCAUAUUGAGUGAAUAGAUUUAACCCAAAGAGAUUAAGGAUAUCCUAUAAGGGUAACACAUGUAUGACAAGGUCAUUAGAUGAGCACUUGUUAAAUAGCUUUUGUAAUGGUAUAUAAUAGGGAGAGCUCAGUCAUGUUACUUUAGUGGAAUGAAUCCAUGACUAAAUAAUGUUGUAAUUAAUAGAAAAAUAUUCAAAACUUAAUUACAAAUUAUUUGAGUCCUAAUUAUAUAUGUCAAAUCGGUCCUUCUGCUAAUACGGUACGAAUCUGAAUGAUUUGCAAUAAAUUCAACAUGAAUGAAUGAAAAUGACAAACUAGAGAAAUAAAUUACAUAUAUCACUAUCCGCAGUGAUUGUAUUUUUCUCGAUAUAUGUAAGAGAUAAAUUAGAAUUAAAUUAAUUUCUUCAAAUUAUUAUUUAAGUAUUUGUAAUUAAACAAUUAAAGUUCGAAGUAGAAAUUAAAUUAAUUAGUCAUUGUUGUUUUACUGAAAAAGCUAGUUAGAAUUGAGGAAAUAAUUUAAUUAAGAAAUUAAUUAAAUUUAUUUUAAUUAAUAUAUAAUAUUAUUUUUGGGAAUAUAAAAAUAGUUAUUGGGUCAAUAAAAUUAUAUGAGUUGCUUUAAAAACCAUAUAACACAUAUAUUUAAUACUAGUACAUGAAAUAGGCUCGAAAGCCCAUCUACAUAGUAAAGGGAGACAACCCUAGUGCUAAUAGGGAGUAGUUGUUCCCUCUAUUUAACCAUAAAUCAGAAUACAUGUUAUUUUUAUAUCAUGUAUUUAUCCCUUGUUCAACUGAGACUCUUGUAGUUUUCUAUAUAAAUAGAGACAAUUGGAUAGAUCAAAGAGGCACCUCCAAAGCGUCAAUACGUUGUCAAAAUAUUGCGUGAUUUAUUUUACCAAAUAAAUAUUAUAUUUUGAAACAGUUCAUCUCUCAGUAUCUAGUCUUUAAGAAAAAUUGAUAUUCCACUUAACAUUAAGAAAAUUUUUCAUUCUGUGCAAUCAGUUCAUGAAAUUAAAGCCCAUGCUCUAAGCAGAUCGAAGUUCGAGAUUAGCAGAGAAGACUUUUUGCGCGAAAGCCAAGAAACACUUUGUCCACCUAACUUAAAGCACAAGUAUUAAUUUCGUUGGAUUUUAUUGCUAUAAAUAUCAUAACUUUUUGGCUUUUAUAAAAUUUUUAAUUUUUUGUUAUACAACAAAAAUGAUUUCUAAACCAAAUUUUUCAAAAAUUGGUAUUAGAGUCAAGUUGCACUAUGUUUGUAGUACAAACUGAAUACCGAAUUUCUCUUUUUCUUCCUUUGUUUGAUUAAAAUUGAUAACAAGUGUCAUUCUUUAAUUAUAUGCACGUUUUGGAUAUUAGGUACAAACAAGUGUCAAACUAUUAUCUUCACACAUGAUUUCUAAUUUUAUUUUUGUGUCAUUAGAAACUAACUUCAUGUGAGUAAAAAAUUGACUAGUAAUUUUUGUAAUCCCAAAAGUGGAACCUAAAAAAGGGCAACGGACUAAUAACCCGACUAAACUCAAGAAUCAAAGGAAAAAAUGGCAAACCUCCAUAAGCGGCGACUAGCACACAAUGGCGUUGGUUGAGUCGCCUUGAGCGUCACAUAAUGCAUGACACUUAGGGGAUGUCAAGGUAUCACACACCAGCCAAGUGGGCACACAAGGGCUGCUGAGGCAGUGAACCUAGAAGGCAUGCAACACCGAGGGAGUUUGGGGCAUUGUUACACCAUUCGAUUGGUGUGUUUGACAACAUUAACCAAGGGUGUCUCACCCUAAGCCUAAUAUGCAACAAUCAUACGAGAACAACCAAGGGAAGGUUGGGGUUUCACACCCCAUUCAAUCAACAAGUGUUAGUGUAAGGACUAAUAGUCGAUUGAGGCUAUCAUAGGUGGGGAAUGCCAAGGACACGAGAUGCUGCUGCAUCAAACUGUAGUUCAGAAUUGGUGCAAGGGAAUUGAUGGUAGCCGACAAUGGUGGCUGGAGGGAAUGGUCUGCGGUGACAAUGGUCUUUGUUCGUAGGUCGUGUUUAUUUUUGGGCAUCGAGUUUAUUUUUGGGAAAGAUCAAGGAUAUUUGGAUUUCACCUAGAAGACCCAAAGAAUGCUUUGGGAAAAUUUUUUCAAUUUUAAUUUAAUUUACUUAUUUUAUUUUUCCUAGGAUGAAACCAUAAAAACUUUUGAGUAUUUAAAGUUGAUUUAUUUUUUUUAAAAUUUUAUGAUAUGUUGUUAUUAUAUGAGAUUAAACGUGGUUAAAUCUAAAAACAUGUUUAGGCAUAUAUGAUAUAAGUACGUCAUAUAAUUUAAGAAAAGAAUGUCACUUGUCCUUGUUUGCAUAUUUUUAAUCAUUCAUGCUUGAAACUGAAUUUAAAACCUUACGUUGUUUUUAAAAUAUUAAGUGGGAAAAAGUCCCUAAACAAGGCCUAUAGCCUCCAUCAAAGGUUUUUAUGUGAUGACAUAAUAAUACUUUGAGUUAGUUUUACCCUAUCUGUACCUUAUGAUGAGUAUUAUUAUGUGGAUUUACUAGAGAGACUUCUUUUAGGGAAACUAGUCAUAUAUGUUACUAAUUGAGAUUAUCCCAAUAUAAGUAAUAAAAGAGUAUAUAUUUAUGAUGGGUGUUGAGUCGAUGAUUAUACAUUUAAGAUUAUUUUAGUUAAGUAGCUUCCUAUGAAGCUUUAUUUAAGCUAGAAUAAUGCCCAAAUGUAAAACGAUUAAUAAUAUGUAUGGUAUCUAAUAUGUUUAGAUUCACAUAUUAAUUGGAUGGAAACCCAUAUUCUUACUAGUUUUUUUUUAAGAUUCCUCCACAGUAACUUAAUUAAGUGGGGUGUGAAAUAUUGUUGCAAUGAACUUACAAAAUUUUCAAGGUUUUAUGUAAGACACAUGCAUCAUUUUAAUGCAUUACGUAUGUUGCAAAACUUUCUGAAAUAUUUGCUUAAUACAAAGAUAAUUAAUUAAGGAAAAUUUUAUUUUUCAGUUCGAAAAUGGCACCAACUCCCUUGAUUAACAUCCUCACUGAAAAGAAAUUGAACGGAAUAAAGAGUGAAAAUGAAAUCUCCAUAUUAUUUUGAGCUGUGAAAAACACGAGCUAGUACUUGAUACUAGAUGCUCACCAACUACCCAAGCUAAGGCUAGAUCUUAAUUGAAGGAUUCUAAUGAGAUAGUUUAUUGCUAUAUCUUAUCGAGUGUAACCAAUACACACCAAAAAAAACUGGAGAGCUAUGAAAUCGCCAAAAAGAUGAGGUAUAAACUAGUGGACAUGAUCGGAGGCCAAGCUACUUUGGCUCAAUAAUAUGUGGCCACUAUUUUAAUGAGUAACCAAAAGAAACCCGAUACUUUGGUCAAAGACUAUAUGAUUACUUUUAUGAGUUAUGUUGCAGAGACUACAAAAAAUAGGGCCAAAAUUUAUGUAAACACACAAAUCGAGAUUGUGUUCAAAAGUUUGUCUAAGGACUUUGCAUGUUUUAAGGCCACUUAUAACUUAGGAAAAAAUUGACACUUACACAACAUAUGAGUGAAUUACAAUUCUAUGAGUUGAUAUUAGAUUGUGGUCAACCUUUCUGGAAAGUAAAGCAAACUUAGCAGUUGUUUCUUCCUCAAAUGGGAAAGGAAAGUAAGCUAAGAAGAUAAAGGCUAAGGCUUCGGGUCCACCAAAAGUGGAUAGGAAGGAAACUAGGAAGCAUAAAGAAUUACCUAAUUCUAAGCAUUUCUUCAACAAUAAGAAAGUGCAUUUCAAGGUAAACAGUAAAGAGUUCAAGGACUACCCAGCCUCAAAGGGUAAAUGUAUGGAACCCUUGGUUAUUGAAACUUGUUUCGUAGAAGAUAAAGUAGACCAUUGGGUCAUUUAUUUUAGAGUCACUAAUCAUGUUUUUAUUUCUUUGUAGGGCUUCAAGGAAACAAAAUAUCUUAAGGAUAAGAGUCUCUCGUUAGAAACUAGAGAUGGAAGCAAUGUGGUAGCAAAUAGGGAUGGCAAUAGGGUGGGGCAAAUUUUUUCCCACCCCGAACUCAUCCCAAACCUUGAUGAAUCCACCUUGACCUCGAAUCGAAUCGACCCGACUCCAACCCAAAUUUAAUUUAAUUAUUUUAUUUUUAUUUUAAAUGAAAUAAAAUUACAUUUUUUUAGUUGUUUUAUUUUUUUUAUUUUGAAGCAAAUAUGAUUUAUUUUCAAGUUUAGACUUAAAACUCAAUAUUUAUUUACUUAUUUAUAUAUUUAUUUAUUGAAAGCAAAAACUUAAUAUAUAUUAGUGGCAUUUUAGUAAAUAUAUUGAGGUGAGGUGGGGUGAAUUUACAUCAAACCCGACCUAUUUCAAACUCGAUUUUUUUUAAAAAAAAUUUGGCCCUAAUGGAUCAGGUUGGGAUCAAAACUCGUUGAAUUCAGAUUUUUUUUGCCAUCCCUAGCAGCAGAAGCAGUGGGAGAAGUUCGUUUUUAUUUUAAUAGCUUUAGGAAGAUUAUUUUAAAAGACAUAUUCUAUGUACCAAAAUUUAAGAGAAAUUUAAUUUCUGUUGCUUGUUUAUUUAAAGACGGUUUUACCAUGACUUUCAAUAAUAGUAUUCAAAAGAUUACAUUAGCCACCGAAAUGACCAGUAAGCUAUCAGAGUUUUGAAAACAAUUAUUUUAAAAUAUUUAUUUAUCUUAGAAGAAAAUUUAGUUAAUUACUGAAUUAUUUAUUAUUCAAAAUUUUUAAUUAUAUUAUAUCAACGGAAAAGUGAUAUCCAUUUACAUUUUUAGUGAAAACCAGGGUUCAUGCAUAGCUAAUUAAUUAUUCAUAAUUUGAUGUCCUAAAAUUAAUUUAAAUGUCAUGCAAUAUAAAAACAAAAAUAUAAACCCAAAUCUAAUGUCCCAUGCCAUAGUUCAAAAUAAUAUAAUAUAAUCUUUAAAUAAUAUAAUAAAUCAAAUAAUGAGCCUAAAAUAAUUUUAUAAAUAUAAACUGAGCUGAGACCCUCUGGGUGCCAUGUCUGCGUCCUAACCUGGUGGGUUAUCUGUAAAGAUGAAAAUUAAAGGGGGAGUGAGCUAUGACGCUCACUGUGAGUUCCAUCACAAGAAAAUCAGUGCACAUUAAUAAACCAAGCAUAUAAUAAUAUCCAAUACGGUAACAGUCAUAUAGAAUAGUAGUAAUUGAAAGUUUAUUCAAACAUGCUUAUGAGUGCCAUUGUAAUGCAAUUUCAGGAUAACAGUAAAGAAUAAGGUCCUACUCUAUCACUACACUCCAUAAUAAGAGUUCCCCAGAACUCUUAUAUCCUGGACACUCUAGAUUGUGGACGAACAACAAGUGUUGGAGGUUAAUACGCUACUAGUAGUUGUGAAUACACAACAGGUUUGCAGAUAAUAGCUUCUAGUAAAAGUUGUGGAUAAACCACCAGUGUUUGUAGGUGAAUUCGCUGCCAGUAUAUUGUGAUUGCACAAUGGGUUUAAAGAUAAAUAUUGCUAAUAAGUUUGUGGAUAAACCACCAGUGGUUGCAGAUAAACUGCCAGUACUUCCUUCUUUCAAAACGUCCCUACCCUAUGCAAUGCAGUAUGACAUGUAAGUAUCUAUACAAUACAUAAACAGUAAACACAUUCAACAUGUAUUUAGAUCAACAAUAGUAGUAGACAUGUUUUCCAUGUAUUCAGUUUAUCAAUACAAUUAGCACGUUGUUCAUGUAAUCAAUAAUUUAAUGAUACGAAUAGUAGUAACAAAUAAUCAGUAAUUCAAUCAUAGAAGGCAUAUAUUCGUCACAUAUCAUGCACAUAUAGUAAUAAUCUAAUUAGUCAAAUCAUGGAUACCACAUUAUUCAUCAUAUUAGGGACUUAAUUAAAAGAGAUAAAAUACUAAAAACAAUUCAAUGAUCAUACAAGGACUAAAUUGAAUAGCUUACAAAAUUUCUAGGUAAAACUAUAAAAUAGGGGCACACGCUCGUGUGGUCAGGUUGUGUGCAGUGGCUUAAGUUGUGUGGAGGGGUUACAUGGCUGUGUGGCUAGGUCGUGUAACAGACUGCGAAAGUGUGGAAUUUACAAAAUCAAGGUACAUGGGAGACACGACCGUAUAGUCCACACCCCUGUGUGACCCUAUUUCGAAGCACGUUUUCCCCCCAUUCGCUUAUAAAAAACACACCUUUUAGUGAGAUCUCGAUCAACAUUCCUUAUGCUCAAAUCUGGUCUGAUACGCCUAGUACGAGUUAUUCAAAUGAAAAUUUCACACGGGUUAACAUUUAUUUUCCAAGACUUAUCAAGAUUCAAUGUUAUUAAUGAAAGAUUCGUCAAGAACUGUGAAAGAUUGACUAAUUGAUUUUAAAGAUUAAUAUUGGACAAAAAUUCUAUAAAAUUUGGGCUCUAAACUUUAUACCGAUAUGUACUUACCAAACUUGAUGGAAUAACGGAGGCUAUCAACGAAGAAUUCAAUAAUCGGUAGAGAAUCGAUUUAUUGAGAUUGAUUUGCUGUGGAAAGCAAAAAUAAUUUCAGCAAAAAAUAUGCAAAAUUUGAUGUUAAAGAGAAGAAAGAAAAGAAAAGAGGAAAAAGAGAGAAAAGAGAGGAAAUCCUAUUUUGGUUUGAAGAGAAAACAAAAUUCUAAUGUAAUUAAGGCAAAAGGGACUAAAUAGCUAGGAUUUUCAAAUUUUGAGGGGGGUUUAGUAAUUUACCUUAGCUGCCAAAUAAAAGGAAAUGGGAUUUAGAUAAGGGGUGGAUCAAACAUGGUUUGCAAUGAUGGAGAGUGGCGUGUUAACCAUUUGGGCUGCUGCCCAAUCUUGUUAAAUUUCUACACCAAAUAAUAUUUAUUUUCAUAUGAUUUCUGCUAUGGUUUGCUGAAUUUUAAAAAGAAAAGAAAUGAGAGAGGGUUAGAUAGAACCUAGGACCUAUAAGGAGUACACUAAACACUUAACCAUCAAGCCUAAUCAUUUUCUUCGUUAAUCUUCUCAAUUUAAUCCCCUAUAUUUUAGGGUAUGACACUAUUGGAAAUUGAACUCAUGAAUAAGAAACUUAGAACAUCUCACUCGAAUGAGACGUACCUAUGGCAUCGAAGACUUGGUCAUAUUAACUAGGAUAAAAUCACAAGAAUUGUGAAAGAUGACACCUUAAGUUUGCUUAAGGAAGCACAUAUUCCACAAUAUGAAUCUUUUUUGAAAGGUAAAAUGACCAAGCAAUCUUUUAAUUCAAAAGGUACAAUGGCCAUUUAACCCUAAAAACUUGUGCACAUUGACAUAUGUGGUCCCAUGAAUGUUAGUGCACGUGGUUACAACAAUUACGUAACCCUUAUAAAUGACUAUUCCAGAUAUGGAUAUGUAUAGCUAAUGCUCUGGAAUAGUGAAACCUUCGAUAAAUUCCAAGAGUUUCAUGUGGAGGUGGAGAAACAAUUACGUUUACCCAUAAAGACACUUCAUUCGGAUCGAUAUAGGAAAUAUUUUUUAGAUGAGUUCUUAUGAUACCUUAUACCAAAUGAGAUCUUAUCCCAAUUAACCUUGUUGGGUACUCCACAAUAGAAUGACUUGACAAAAGAAGGAACAAUAACUUGCUAGGCAUGGUUCGUUUAAUGUUGAGUUCAUAACUGCUAAUAUUUUUUUGGGGAUAUACAUUAUAAAAGACUUGCUACAUUCUAAAUGAUGUACUAACUAAGGCCGUAAUGAAAAAUUCAUAUAAAUUGUAGAAUGGCAGGAAGCCAAGCUUAAAUCAUUUUAGGAUUUGAGGCUGCCCAACCCACAUAUUGGAUAAAGUUGCAAAUAAGUUGGAUUUACGGAUAAAAUUGUGCAUGUUUGUUGGCUAUCUAAAAGGGAAAAAAGGUGAAUUGUUUUAUAACCCGAAACAUCAAACUAUUAAGGUGAUAACACAUGCCACAUUCCUAGAGAAAACUUACAUGAACGACUUUAAACCUUGAAGUAGAUUGUUAUUAUAGGAACUUUCGAGAAAUAAAGAAAACCCUCUAGUUGCAAUUUUAGAUCCUACUCUAAAUAGUAGGCAUGCAAAUAUUUAGCAACAUAGGGAGCUUUGUCAUAGUGGCGGGUGUUUAGAAGGCUUGAUUUUUUCUAGUAUGGUAGAAAUUUUUUUAACACUAAGUUUACCAAACAAGAAGAUGAUGACUCACUCUCACAUUUGAUGAAGCAAUACAAAGUGCUGAUUCCAAGCUUUAGGAAUUAGCUAUAAAAGCUGAGAUGGAUUCUAUACAAUCCAACUUAGCGUAGGAACUUGUAGGCCUACUGGAUGGAUAAAACCCAUAAGAUGUAUGUGGAUCUACAAGAAAAAGAGACAUGCGAAAGAAAAAGUUCAAACCUAUAAUUCCAGACUUGUGGCAAAAGGCUACACAGAAAAAGAAUGUAUCAAUUAUGAGUAACAUUCUCUCUAGGAGCAAUGCUUAAGUCGAUCCACAUUUUUAGACAACUAUCUUAAAGAAGACAUCUACAUAGUGCAACCCGUCGUAUAUAUAGCUAAAGGAAAUGAUCAUAAAGUUUGCAAACUACUUAGGUCCAUAUACAAAUUUAUGUAAGCAUCUCGAUCAUGAAAUCAAAGAUUUCAUUAAGCGACCAAAAUUUUUGGAUUUGAGAAAAAAAUUAGUUAAUCUUGUGUUUAUUAAUGUAUUAUAGAUGGAAAGGUAGUCCUUAUAGUUCUUUAUGUCGAUGACAUACUACUCAUCGGGAGUGAUGUAGGAACAUUUUAAUUGGUUAAGUUGUAGUUAACUCAACAGCUUAACAUGAAUGAUAUGGGUGAAGCUAACUAUGUUCUAGGAAUUCUAAUCCUUAAGGAUCGAAAGAACAAAUUUAUAACUUUAUUGCAAGAUUCAAUAUAGAUAAGAUAUUGGAACGUCUUAACAUAACCAAUUCAAAGAAAGGUGCACAACCUUCUAUAUCGGGCUUUUAUUUUUCUUUAGAGGAUUGUCCUAAGAUAGUGGAAGAAAGAAAGCACAUGAGAAAGGUUUCUUAUGCUCCAACAAUAGGAAGUCUCAUGUAUGUGUUAUUAUCCACAUAUCCAAAUAUCUAUUUUGCAAUAGGAUUAGUGAGUAGAUAUCAAACGAAUCCUAGUCUAAGACAAUGGCAACCAGUUAAACAUAUACUCAAGUAUUUGUAGAGAAUGAGAGAUUAUAUACUUGUAUAUUCAGAAGAGAUUAAAUCUUAUCGGAUAUAAAAAUUCUAACUUCCAAACGUGGAGGGAUUCGAGGAAAUCAACAUUGAGUUUUGUUUUUGUCCUAGGCGACAAAGCCAUAGUGUAGAGGACAGUUAAGUAGGGUUGUAUUGUUUACUGACCUGUCGUCAAAUUUAAUAGCUAAUUCGAGUCAAUUCCGCACUUAAAGAGCUUGUUUUCUAAUAAAUUUAGUAUUUUUAUUUACGUUUUUAGUAAUUAGGCAUUAUGAUUAAAAGUUAAUAAAAAUAAUUGUUUUUAACACAUUUUUUAGGUUUUGUGACCCAAUAGGCUAACACAAGCCUUAGGUUGUGCUAAUUGGUUCAAUUGAGUGUGUAGGGUAGAGAUAUAAAGGCCCAAUUGACGUGGAAGCAAAGGUUGAGUGAUACACUAGCUUCCCGAGACGUCAAAGCACUAAAAGAAAGAGACAAGAUAGUAUUUAGGUGGCAAGGCUGACAUGCUGCCCAAGUACUUCUGGGAUAUUUUCAUUCACGCAAUCAAACUUAUUCAAAGACCUAAGACGUGCCAAAGACCUAAUUUGGGCUGCCAACACCUCUAUAAAUAAGACAUUAGGGGUUGAAUGUAAUCAAGUCAUCCUGGACGCCUUCAAAAACCCUUGUAGUUUAAAAUUAGUUUUACUUUAUUCUCUUUUCAACUUUUUAAAAAUUUCUUGUUUUACUCUUGAAAUUAGUUUUCAUUCAAGAGUUUGUUUAUUUAAUUAAACUAUUCAGUUUCUAUUUACCUUUGCAUUCGUUUUAUUUCGUUAUUCCAAUCGAAAGAUUUGCUAUUCUGUUCCCCAUUUGAUAUUCAAUCCACAAUUAUUAAUUUUUUUCUUCUCCUAAUCAAUUGUAUUUCUCACAUGGUCUAUUCAAUUGAUGUUGAGAUUAUGAAUAACAUGAGUGGCUAAAUCCCUUAAGGGAGAUUAACGAGUGGAUGAGGAUUUGGUUAACAGAGGAUUUGGGGUUUUUCGAGGGGGAUUAGUUGGUAUAUAUUAUGUUUUCUUAAACUAUUAGGCCUAACAACCCUAAUAAGUUAUCAUCGGCUAGACAAGGUCGGAAGAUAAGUUAAAUCGAGUAAAUCAUAAUUUAUCUGGGUUGAGAAAGUGAGGUCGAGAGAUAAACGAGUAUCAACCAUUCUAUUAGUUAAUUAGAGGCCGAAAGGUAAUAAUUCGUUAAGUGAUUAAUAAUCCAUCUCAAAACCCUAAUACAAAGUUAGUUACAAACCCUGAACUGAGUUAACCUUUCUGAUUGAUUUAUCGAUUUAUCUCAUUUGUUUAUUUUUAUUAUUCUUAAUAUAUUUUAUGAUUCAUCGUAAUAUAGAAAAUAAUUAUUACUACUUAGACUUGUUAUUGUAAAAGUAUUUUCAUUAUUUAUUGCAUCCUCCCUUGAGUAUGAUCCUCGGAAUACUUUCGAUAUUUUGGUGUACAACUAUAUUACAAUUUGACUCUUGACUUUCGAACAUUGCCAUUCUUAAUUCUUAUAUUUUUUGUGGUAUAUUUAUUCUAUAAAUGAUAACUUGUUUAUAGAGGGUCAAGUUGUUGGCAUUGUUGCCGGGGAGGUUUCGGUAAUAAAUUUUGAAAAUAAGAUUUUUACAAUCAAUAAGAUAAGUAGGAAUGUUAGGACCUAUAGAUAAUAUUUUAAAUUUUGUUUAUUUAUUAUUGUUUUUAUUUUGUUUUCUUUUCAAGUCUUUUAUGACCCAAAGCUCUAGUAUUCCGAUUGAACCACAUCCAAAUCCAAAAAAACUACUCAAGCGCAACCGUCAAUUAAUGGACAACGAUCCACCUGCGGUAAUUAAUUUACCUCAAGAAAACUCAUUAUUUGAAAACCCACGAGAACCAUAAGGAAAUAGCCAGGAAGAAGUCUCAAUGACUAAAAGAACAUUGCGCGAAUACGCCUUAUCUACACUAGACGUGAUGGGAGGAAGCAUAGAAUAACCAACAAUCAAUGCAUAUAAUUUCAAGUUAAAAGCGGCCACUAUACAGAUGAUCCAAAAUACACUACAGCUUAAAGGGAACGUGGUUGAAGACCCGGAUCAACACUUGAAUAAGUUCCUUCAAUUGUGUAAUACCUUUAAAUACAAUAGUGUAUCAAAUGACGUCAUUUGUAGCACCCCACGCCCGACCUGUUUGUCAGAUCCAGGUAUGGAGCAUUACAAAUGGACCUAUACUUAGUUUUGCUAACUUAACUGCUAUAAAGCAGACUAAACAUAAACCAAAAUAAUGAAAUUUAAAAUAAAAAUUCGUACAUCUAAGGCCUUAAGCCACUAAAUUCUUAAUUCUUCAAUUAAUUUCUAUUCCUAAUCAGACUAUUUGCUUCCAUUACAAUUAUUUAAAUCUAGCUAAAGUCUGUCUGUCAUAAAAAUCAAAAUUCUAGGUGUACUAUCACUCUUCGUUGUUAUUGAUCUUGUGGUGAAGCCUCCAAUGGCACCCUUUUUCUUAUUGCAUGAUUCUAAACUUCCUACAAUCCCCAAUCUAUUUUAAUCUAGAUUGGUUGAUCCUUCGAGUCCUCUGUCAACCUUGCCAAUCCUGCGAACAUCCGUCAACUCUGUAUGUUCGAAUGAACUUAGUGAGUUCCUUUACUACAUCAUAAAUAAGUAAAUCCUAUCAUAUGAGGGUAACCAAUGUAAUAUAAAUUUACUCCAUCUUCGCUCAUGAAAAGUCUCCCUUGUUAGGGUGGCGGACUCCACCCAAUUCUCUGAGCUACUUGGGUCACCAUGAAACCUUUCUCUAGUCGAACUCUCUACUCAACUGUAUCCUUGACGCUCCACAAUCUCGACAAAUCCAUUCCUUAUUUCUCAUCUUUCCUUCCUUUCUCUUUUCCCCUUACACGGGGUGUUCAUCGAUCUUAAAUUGACCUGGCUGUCAGCUUCCCAUUAUGAACCAAUUUGGUAUCCUUUUAAACUAUUCGUCCAAGGAUUUUUAGGAAAUUCCUUCCUUGGUGGACUUGUUUAUACUCGUCCUUGGCGGGCUCUCUCUAACCAUACCUUGAAGGACUCAUUGACAUUCCGUAUUGUGUUGACUUACAACAGACUCACCACUUUUGUGAACCCAUUCUCACUUUUCCCUUUACUUGGGGUGCUUGCCUAUUUCAUAUUUAAAGGUUGAUCUAUCUUGCUGAACCAUCUAGUCAUCGCCUAUACGACUAAGUGAGCUUGUCAUCUCACUUGCUCGUUUCAUCCCUUUGGAGUUGUCCUCUGUUGCAAGUAUUCUCGCAAUAGACUUUUCCCAAGGAGGAAUAGUCUUAACAAACAUCCUGUCCCCUGGCUAGAGUCCUUAUCCUGGGAGGAUACUUCUUCAUCAUCCCACGAGAUUUUAUUCUCAUGUAUAUCUUCAAUAAGCUCUUCAUAAUGGCUCUUCUUUUUCAGACCCCUACUUAUGAUCUUUGGAUAACUUUUAUUCUUAGAUUUCCUUAACUAGACCAGCUUUUGCACGACCUAGUUUUCCUUUAAUUCUUGUUGGGUCUUCUACCAUGCCUCUUUAGCUCCCAUGCCUAUCCUUACCACUUUCCUCAUUUUGGCAGACUCCUCAUGAUUCGCUCAUCAUACUAUGAUUUCCUUUACCCUUCCUCCACCUACAUGGUUUCCCAUACAUGGCGCAUUGUCUUUAUACUUCUCAUUUGAAGUUCUGGAGGACAUACCGCAUUUGUGUCUUGGUGGACUCUAUGGGAUGUCGUAGCCUAGCUAUGGUCUUAUACCUUUCUUACCUCUUUUAUCUUGUCCAAUGGACUUACCCGAGUUUAUUGUCCCGACGGGCUUAUCUCGUGUUUAUUAUCUUGAUGGACUUAAUCUCGAUUCCAUGUUUGUUAUCUCGAUGAAUUUCAUCUCUGUGGAUGUCAUGGAGUCUUUCAGCUAUUCGCCAUCCUGACAUAUUAUUAGAUGAUGCCAUAGAGUCUUUCAUCCACGGUCUUACUCAUUAUACCUGGCUGCCAUAACGUCUUUCAUCUAUGGUCUUACACCGUAAACCUUAUAUUACUUACCUUACUGCCAUGACAUCUUUUAUUCAUGGUCGUAUGCCAUUAUUAGUACCUUGUACCAUGUUUCCAUGACAUCUUUCAUCAAUGGUCUUACACUACGUACCAUAUACCAGACUGUCAUAGCCUCUUUCAUCUAUGGUCUUAUGCUAUAUACCGUCGUCAUAGUGUUGUCCUGAAGGACUAGUCUAUACUGUCGUCGUGAAAAAUCCCAUUCUAUGAUUUCAUUCCCAAAUCCUCCUCUCAUUACCUCCUAAAUACCACCUAACAUUAAUGCUCGAACACCAUAGUGUUCCUUCGACAAGCUCUGGAGCUUCACCCUAGGUGGUAAAUAAAGGUUCACUCCCCAUUUCCCAUCCUAACUUCAUUUAUCCCUUAAGGUGUCCCUAGACAAAUGAUGCAUGCUCAUAUCAUCAUCAUCAUUCAUGCUUAUGCAAAUAUGACAUACUUAAACAACGUAAACCAUAAUAGUAGAUUUGGAAUAUGGAACUUACUUGAAACUUCAUCGUUUCCAUUACUUAGCUUCCUCGAACACUAGAGCUUCCAUACUCGAGGUAGUAGCUUACAACCCAAAACCCAUUGAUUAAACUUACACUACAUCUCAAAAGCUUAAGCUUCCGUAAGCAUGUAGAACCCUUAAAAUGGUUCUGAUGUCCAUAACUUAAUCCUAUGUACACAGAAGGGUUAAGAACCUUACCCGCUUGCUAAUUUCCCUACUUUUUCAGCUCCAUCCUCAUGAAGUUUGCUCCAUACAAACCCUUCCAUAGCUAUUCUUCUUCGAGCUAUAGAAGAAGAUGAUGAACAGGAGAAAUUAGACAUGGCUGGAAAGAAAAUCAUCUCUAGGAGCCAUCUCCUAGCUAUUUAUAGCAUUUCCCACGCUACUUCCAAUCUUAUGUGAGUCGUCCACAGCUAAUCAUGAUGUCUCCCACUAUGGAACCGACAAGUUUUGUCCUAACUGAACUAUAAUUAGAUCUUAACAAUGUCCAAUUCGGUUUUUAACUAUCCUAUUUCUUUGAAUAUAGGACAUCAUCUUACGAUCUCUUUCAAUUUAGUCCCUUAGUUAUUCUAGAUUUUGGGUUUAUUAGAAAUCAGAUGUUACAUUGCGCAUCUUCAGUUAUUCCCGUUCUCAGUAUACGAUAACACAACUGAUUGGUUGGACUCGUUAAAAUCGGGUUCCAUCACCACAUGAAAUAAUAUAGUGAAAAAAUUUCUAUACAAAAUUUUCCCAAUUAGUCAAACCAGUUAGCUAAGGCGAGAAUUUGUCUAUUUUAAACAAUUUGAAGGAGAAUCCUUGUACGAGGUCUGGGAGUGUUUCAAAAGAAUGUCAAGAAAAUGCCCACAUCAUUGGCUGUAAGUAUGACACCAACUAUGGAAGCUGUAAAGGAAGAAAACAAGGAUGAUAGAUUCAUAUGAAUCGUAGAAAAGCUCAACCAUUUGGAGACGUUUGUUAAGCCAACUAAAAUAGAGCCCUGUUCUGAAAGCCAACUGGAGGAGACAAGCUACAUAAAUAAAUUGGGUUGAGAUUUUUAUUCAAAUACCUAUAAUCCCUGUUAGAGAGAUCAUCCGGACCUCAAGUGACAAGGCAAUCAAGGAGGCGCAAAUUAAGCUCAAACUCAAUCGAAUCCUUCUUACCAACCUCCACCAAUGCAACAACAUAUCGUGGGUAACAACCAUACUGUUUGUGGUUAAAUAUUCGACCAACUAGAAGGGGAGAUGCAAACAAUGAAGAUAGAAAUUUGACAAGUCUAAGUGACAUGCAAACGAAUCAAAUACUGAAUAGAUAACCUAUGCAACCAACUGAGCUAAUUACCUAUGAUGUUCUAAAAACAAAAUGGCCAAAGUCUCCCUAGUAAUAUUGAGAAUAAUCCUCGAAAAGAUGGGCAGGGUCACGUAAAGGAAAUCACGGUACAACUGGGCAAGGAAUUGAAGCUACCAAUCGAACCCACCUAUGAAGAGGAGAAAGUUAUGAAGGAAGUUAAUGAGCUCACAAAGGAGUAAAAAGAAACUGAGCACCAAGAAGAAAUUGAAGAGAAAAUAAAAUUGAUGCUCAAUCCGGUAAUUUCAACUCACAAAAUAAAGAAUGUUGUAGAUGUAGGUACUCAUAAGGCACGACAAAUUACAAGAUUCGAAAGAGACCGAAAGUAAUUGGAAGAAUUAAGAUGGUUGUGUACGACGAUUGAAGUUGAUGAUAAAGUUUAAAGAAUCGUCGCACAUGUUUGGUAGCACGAUGUAGUAUUAACCAUCGAACCUUACUAAAUUUGUGAAAUUUUGUAAAUUAGUUUUAAUUUCUUGUUUGCAGCUCAAAUUUAGGAUAAUUAUGAUGUAAUUACAUGUUAGAAUCAGUAAAAUUCAAUUUUUCGACAUCAUGAGACGAAAGGAAAAUAAAUGGGAACAAAAAUGAACGACCGGAGGACAUCGACACACCUAAAGGUCUGGGAACAAUUUAAUGUCAUGCCACCCAUAGGCUAUUGCUUGAAAUAGGCGCUUUGAAGAAAGGUUUCCUAAUGUUAUUGGAUCAUGUCAUUCCACACACAAUCUGUGGUGCGACAUGAGCACUUUCAAGGAAAAAUUAGGAAAAUUAGGGCGUUGUGUUGCUUCACGCACAGGCUAUGGGGUGACAUGCUUGUGUGUUCAAUUGAAAUCGAGCCAUUUCAAGCAUAAAACCCAUCGAAAUUCUAUUUAUAACAACCUUUUUUAGGCGUAAGAACACACAUCUAAAACACUUAAAAGAUAGAAAACAUUCCUUUGGAGCCUUCGCACGUCUUCCCUUCCAUCGAGCUUCGAUCUUUCACAUUUCUAACAUACGAUUCACUUAAGUAAAUAUUAGAGUUUAAGGCAUGGAUAAAAAUAAACCGAGUAGGAGAAAAAUAAUCGAACUAACUAUAUUUUGCAAAAAUAAUUACUAUAUCCAUAUAUACAUUUGAUCGAGCUUUAUAUUUAAUUUUCUUUGACUUUUUUAUUUUUUAAUUUAUUGGAACAAUCUUUUUAGGUGUAAAUAGUCUUUAAUUAUUUAAAUUUAUAGCUAUAAUUAUAUAUUUAGGCGGAUCAUCUAAGUGUCAAUGCUCCGAACCAAUCUCUUGUAUCAAGUUGGAUCAAGUACAUUUCUUUUUCUUUGUAGAUUUAUUUCUUAUUUUCAGUUUUAGUUUAUUCUCCAUUUUUUUUCUUAUUUGGCUAGUUUGCUUAAGGACAAGCAAAGACUUAAGUGUGGGGGUAUUUCACCUACCGUCAAAUGUUGUAGUUAAUAUGGGUCAAUUCCGCAUUUAGGGAGCUUAUUUUCUAAGCAAUUAGGAUUUUAAUUUACGUUUUCAAUAACUAGGUUUAGGAUUAAAAGUUAAUAAAAAUAAGUAUUUUUGACACAUUUUGUAGGUGCUGUGACCUAAUAGGCCGACACGAACCUUAAGUUGUGCUAAUUGGUUCAAUUGAGUGUGUAGGAUGGAGAUAUAAAGACCUAAUUGACGUGGAGGAAAAGUUCGAGUGAUACACAAGCUUCAUCCCAAUUGAGUGUGUAGGAUGGAGAUAUAAAACACCAAAAGAAUAAGACAAUGCAAUGUUUAGUGAUGUGAUCCGGCUUAGUUGAUGGAGUCAAGUUCACUUAAGUAGCUUCAUCUUGCACUUGGGGCCCUCGUGUUUAGGCCAAUCAUGAUAGCAACGAGUGGUGCCACAACAUGAUGCGAUUGAGAUCACAUCAUUUAGGUGUCGUGUCGCGCCACACCAGACACAAGACCGAUGUGCUAUCCAAGUACUUUAGGGAUAUUUUCGUCCAUGCAAUCAAACUUAUUCAAAUACCUAGGGCAUGUUGAAGACCUAAUUUGGGCUGCCAAUACCUCUAUAAAUAAGACAUUAUGGGUUGAAUGUAAUCGAGUCGUCCUAGAUGCCUUCAAAAACCCCGUAAUUUAGGAUUAGUUUUAGGUUUUUUUGCUUUUCGACUUUUAAAUACUUUCUUGUUUUCCUCUUCAAAUCAAUUUUUAAGUAAAGUAUUAUAUUUGAGUAAAUUAUUCUAUUUCUAUUUACCUUUGAAUUCAUUUUAUUUUGUUAGUCCAAUCGAGAGAUUUGCUACUUGAUCUGCCACAAUUAGUUGUGGCAAAUUAAGGUCUUUCUGGCAUUUAACAAGCUUAUUUUUCAGUUUUUUUUAUAUGUUUUUAUUUCAUUUUCUAUUUUUAUUUACUUAAGUUUAAUUUUGGUAAAAUGCGAAUUUUUACACAAUUUUUAGUGUUUUGAGGACUCGUAAGGCCAACUUGAGCCUCGAGUAGGACUAAUAGGUUAUUUGAGUGUGUAGGGCAUCAAUAUGGGCUUAAGUAUACAAUGAACGACGGUUGUGUCGCAACAUCAACAUCUAAUGUCGCUACCUUAAACUUCGAAGCAUUAAAGGCUGAAAGAAAGGUUGACGUCACGGCAUCAUGACGUAAGCGUGACUAAGAAGAUGAUGUCAACGGUCGCGUGUUUAGAAUUUUAAAGUUGCAUUUUUUGUAUUAAGCCAGGGGUAUUAUAGGAAUAAAUUGUCUUAAUGUUGCCUUAGGUUUUUCCUACAUAUACAAGAUCUUAAUCUCAUUUGUAGUUGGUUGAUAGCUAGGACUAAAGACAACGAUCAAACUUAACUCCAUAAAUAGGCUCAUUUAACACUUGUAGGGGGAUAACUUUCAUGGUUUAGAACUUUCCUUGUAAUUUCAUUUUCAGUUUUCUUUUAUUUAGGUUUUAGAUUUAUUUCCAGUUAUUUCUGUUAGUACUCUUCGGCGAACUUGAUUUGUAGACGCAAUAAAACUAUUGUAUAUUUCUGUGCUUUCAUCAAUAAAAUACAAUUAGGAUUCUCUUAAACCUUAUUCUUGAUUUAUUCUUUAUGCAUAUUUUAUUUAUCAAAUUUAUUGUGUUUAUGGCGAGUGCAGAUGAACGCGGAGAAGGAUCAUAAAGUUUGUUCAAGUCGCGGAUUUGACUUAGGGCUUUUGACGCUCAGAAAGAAACUUGGAUUUUGUCACAACCUGAAAUACAAUCAAAUCCAUGUCAAAUAAAAAAAUAAAAAAUAAAUAACUAGGAUAAAUAAAUCAAAGAUUGGAACAAUAAAGAAGAAAAUAUAGAACGUGAUAUGUAGAAGUCCUAAGAAGCCUUAGAAACACGAAGAAUCCAUAACCCCCUUCAAGCAGCUCUAAUUUCCCCUCCAAGAAAGAAAAUUUGGCAAGAAAAAGUUUCAAAAUGAUCCCCACAAUCUGAAAAGAUUGUUAAAACUCUUCUAAAAGAAACUUAAGAGAAAUUCUUGAAAAGAAAACUCAAAGAGAAUUUAUUAACUCAACAGAGAAGUCGAAUAAUAAUGAAUUUUUAAUUUAAUGUAAAAUGUAAAUGCAUUUAUAUAGGCUAGCUAAAUAAAUCUAAAUAAAAUUCUUAAGUAUACUAGAACUCUAAUUAAUCUAAACAAUAUGUAGUUUUAAACUAAACUUUCUUGUUGACAUAAAACUCAUAAAUAACUUAAAAUACUUCACAAUUAUAAAAAAUUUGGAAUAAAAUAAUAAUAAAAUAAUAAGAGAUGAUAAAUAAAAUAUUAGUCUCAUAUAUAAUAAAAAUUAAGCCUAGAACCUGAACCCAAUAUGAUUUAAACUAGAAUUAAAAGCCCAAAACUCGUAAUUCCCGUCAUAAUCCCGUCUAGAAAUUCUGCUCAUUGUGUCUUCACUAAAACGAUCAUAACUUAAGUUCCUGAACUCAAAAGCGAGUUAUUCAAACUGUGUUUCAAAGCUAAGAGAUAGAUCUGGGAAUGUUAUGAAAACAUCUUAAUCCAUAAAUGUUUUGAUCCCAUACAAAUAUUUGUCGCAAGUUGACUAAUCUUUUCAGCAUGAAAAUUGACAGCUUGGUUGGGCCUUGAGGUAGUGUAAGUCCAUCACAUCCAUGUAUUUGAAAUUGGGCCUUGAGACUCACAUUAGGAUUCCAUGAGGAACUAAUCCUCUUAUGGGGGUUAGUGAGUGGAGGUGUGAUUAACUAAUUAUUUUGUAGGGUUUUCUAAACGUAUUAGUUGUUUGGAAGAAGAAGAACUUAAACCCUAGGCUUGAAGACCCUAGGAAGUCAUUUAGGUGGGAACUAAUAAAAAAUUGGUAUGGCCUAUUUGUGAACACCUUAGCCCCGAACCAGUUUGGACUGUUAGGCCGAGAGAUAAGUAGUUAUUUCCGACUCAUUAUUUUAGUGGAAGAUCAAGAGAUCAUGCUAAGGUAACAACUAGUUGAUUGAAUAGAAACCCAAAAAAAGAAUUAGUUAUGACCACUGAAGCUAGCUAAUCACCCACGCCUAGAUUUGAUUGAGUUUAGAUAUUAGUUUUUUGAAUUUCACUCUUUAAUGCAAAUUUUAUUUCUUUAUUUAUAAAAGCAAAAAAUGUCUUUUUAUGUUCAAUCGUAAUAUAAUUUAUUUAGAUUACUAAUUAAUUGUAUUUGCGUUUAGGUUAACAUUACUUUAGUACUCGCCUUCUUUGGGUAUGAUUCUCGGAGUACGAUCCUACUUCGUUGUAACAUAUUACAACUUGACCCAUAUACUUGCAAACACCACCGCCUCAAUUCCAUUUAUUUAGUUGUAGUAUUCACACUCUGGACAUUAGUACGUCCGGAGGUAGUUAAUUUGUUGGCGCUAUUGCUGGGCAGGCAACGUUACUAUAUUGAUUUUAAUUUUUGCGUUUAAAUAAAAUAAUUAGAAAAUUUUUUAAUUAUAAAUAUGAUCUUUAAUUUCUUAUACUAAUUUAUUUAUUUCAUUUUACUAACACAUUUAUUCUCUUGAAAAGAUCCCAGCACAUACCCUUGAAAAGAGGAAAACCUCUUGCAGAAUUAGCCACUAAGACCGUUCAACAGUAUCAUGGACAACAUUGAUUACAUGUGAACUGUUGAUGAAUUAAAUUAAAAUGAUGCAAUUUAUGAAGAAGGGGUCUAUGAGGAAUGGGAAAUUUAGGAGAAUCAGAGAUUGUUAAUGUUAGAACUGAUUCAGCUAAGAGGUGAAGUCUUGACAAAUUCGUAGAAUACAAGUACAGACAUAUUUUACCAUGAGUAUGAUCAAACUUAAGGUGAAAGCAAGGGUAAAGAAAAGAACCCGACAGCUUCAGUAUUCUAAUAAGGUAAAAUCUUGAGUAGUCAAGCACCCCUUAGUUGGAAAAUUCAUCAAUAGGAAUCACACGAAUCCGAAAAGGAAACAAUGUUGCAAAUGGAUAUUCAAGUCCAGACAGUGGCCAUAGAAGAGAACAGUUGAAUAUAAUAACAAGUCAAAUACUGAAUCUACUCUCCUGACAACACUGGUUCAUCACUAUCAAAGGAUAAGCAACAUCAAUUAUUUUGUGAGAUGUUAAAUUUUACGGAAUCGAUAAAAAAAUUGUCGAAACCUUCAAAUUCGGUUAGGAAAAAGCUUGAGAAUUGCAAAAAGGAGGACCCAUUCAACAUGGAUACAUCUUUCCAAAUAAUAAUACUUUAUCAUGCACCUCAAAAAUUCAAAAGCCCAGGGAAUUUCAUAAUAUUAAUCGAGUUAGGGACCAUACAUGUUGAUAGAGCUUCAAGUGAUUUAAAAAUAGUUCCUACUCAAAUGACCCUACUAAUAGAGAAGAGACUAGAGUUAGGGAAACUAGAAAGUACCCACUUCUUAUUUGAACUAUAUGACAAAGGUAUCGAUCAACUAUAAGAGAUGUUAGAAGAAGGAUUAACUAAACGAUGCAAGUAUAAGAUGUGGCAUGAAUAUGCGACUCUAGGUUUCAAGGUAAACUUUGAAGAAACCCUGUCUCUGAAAGAUUUCUCUACAGAUCCUAGCAGAUGUAUCAAUAAUUUUGAGAAAAUUAUAAUCAAGGGUGAAAGUGAAGCAUAUCACAAGAAUACUCCACCAAAUAGGGAUUAUAAGAAGUAUUUAGGGCCACUAGAUUAUAAAAUAUUUGUAAAUGUGACUAAUCACUUUAAUUUGUGAAAGGUGUUCUCGGUGAUAAAUGUAGGGCGAAAGAGCAGGUUCAAUGAGUGGAAUAAACAAAUACAUGUGGAGUGGCACAAUGGAUGAUGGACACGGAUAGAAAUAGAACCGGAAGAUCAUCCACAUGUAUCCUAAUAGAGCUGACGGAAGAAUCCGGCGGCAAAACCUAACAAUUUUAGAACUGAAUUAAACUUUAUGUAUAUUAUGUAUUAUCAUGACUAGUGUAGUAUAUAAUUUCAUUUAAACUAACUAAGUAUUAAACUAAACACAUUGAAAUUUGAGUAUAGGGGCCGAAACAGAGUCAGUGUCGCAACACAAAACCUUUAUGUCGCGACACUGCCCAUAACUUCAAAGAAUCGAGAAAUUCAUCUCAAUGUCGCGACAGGGCAGUUAAUAUACCCCAGACUCAAAACUUUCAAAGUGUGUCACAACAUUAAACCCCGGUGUCGCAACAUCGACAUCCUGCCAGAGGUGUUGCGAUAUCACUGCAAUUUUUUACAAGGUCGAACUGACCUAUCGUGCAACCAAACUAAUUAAUUCUUAUUUUAACCCGGUAAGCAACCUUAAAAACACCUAAUUUUUAACCCUAAAAGUAUAGUUAACAACGCUCUAAACCCCUUCUAAACUUUAUUCUCUCUCAAACCCUAAAACCCUAUUCAAAUUAAAUCCCUACUUUUGCAAUUCCCUUCUCUUCUCUUGGUGUUUCACUUGGUGCAGGAAUUCUGAUAACACAUUGAUGGAUUAACGUUAAUACGAUUCUACGAGGAAUUCGACAACACAAAUCAAGGUUAAGGGUUCUUAACUCGUCUUUACUAUUCCGUUGAAAAUUGCUUAACUUUUAUUAGUUAUUUUAGCUUUAAAUAUUGAAUAUGCUUCCUAGGAAAACUAGGAAAAAUAAUUCACAAGAAACCUCAAUGGUUUCAUAUCCUUGGAAAUUUCAAAAUCGUAAUGCCGAGAAGUAUUUUCUCAAGUUGCAAGGAAAAACAUUUAUCCAAGAACAAGGAUUUGAGCAAUCAAAGGUUUCCUAUAAAUAGAUCUGGACAUUAGUUCAGUAACAUCGAUGAGAAAGAUUUUAUGCCACUUCUAAAGAAAAUAUUGUUAUCUCGAUAGUUCAAGAAUUUUAUGCCUCUUUUAGGGAUCAAGAAACGAAGAGACCGUAGGGUGCAUUAUGAGAAAUCGUAAUGGUAGGAGGUAAAAGGGUACAGGUUACUCCUCGGAAAAUAUACGAAUUUUAGAACAUCUCAUACUAUGAAAUGGAUUUCCUUAAUAAUACUGACUUAGAAACAUUCAAGGACAUAGAAAUGGAUGACAUUGUAAGAUAUUUUACUCAAGGGAGGGGCAUAUGGAACCAUUGACCGAAUACCAAACUACUUACAAAUUCCAAUCAGGCAAUUAUGUUUCCAAUUGCAAAACUGCGGAUGCAAUUCCUAUGCACUCUUAUUUCACCUGCUUUAAAUGUGUCUAACAUUAAUACUUUCUGAGAUAUUAUGUUCUACGGUAUCUUGUAGAAAAAAAAUGUGUCAAAAGAAGGAUACAUUGAAUCAUAAAGUGAUGCAUUAGUGGCAAAAGGUUGGGAUUUUCUUUCCCACCUUGUGAUGACUAUAUGCAAAAAGGCUAGAGUUCUAAUGGAAGAGAAUGAGCAAUUCAUGAAGCCGACAAAAAGUUUGAAUUGGAGAUUCCAUACACACCUAAUAUGUCGAGCUUCAUAGAAAGUAAAUAAUAGAUUGGAACCAAAGAAGAAAACUUAAGAUGGAUGUCCCCAUAUCACUAAAAAAGAAAUCGACAACAAAUACUAGGAAAGAAAUAAAGAACAAAACCUGAAAGAUAGAUUGGAUGAUCCAAUGAAUAUAGGAGUCAAGACCAGUCAUCCAAAAGUUUGCCAAUAAAACAACAUUAGAGAACCAAACUAUCCACCAAACUUGGAUACAUCCAGAUUAUUAAACAAUAGAUUCGAGGAGAAAUAACUGAAAAGAAAGGAGAGGAUGAGGAUGAGGCUACCGAGCAAGAGUUCAAAGGGGGGAUGGUUAUUACAAGGCAACAUUUCAACCAUAGUAUUCCACGUAAAAAAAGCCCAUCAGCCAUAGCCCAACCCGACAUGCACAUUCGUUGAGUGGUAGCUCUUCUCAAAGAUACGUCUCGGGGAAAGGAAAGACGCCUAUGGAGAGGGGGAAAUUGCCCUAUCUUGAUGAAUCUAAUGAUGAUUAGAUUGAAGAUUUUAUUUAGGGAUUGUAACUAAUUUGAAAUAAUUUUUUAAUUUAUCAUUUUAGGAGUAGGAUUAAUAGUAAAUCUUUAUAUAUUCGUUUUGUUUUCUAUUGUAAGUUUUAUAUCUAGGAACCUCACAUGAAAAGAGCACGACAUUUACGAGCUUUCAUCAAAAAAGGAAGGAUAUAUCCAUCAUUAGAUCAUUGCAAUGUCACGAUCAAUCGGGUAAUUUCUUCAUUUAUUUAUUCAAGGUUGCACUUUAGGGAAAAUAUGCUAUCUAAAGUGUGGGAGGUAACAUAUGAAAUUUGUUUUUUUUAUGUUUUUCUUGUAAUUUUUAUUGUUAAUUGUGUGCUUGAGUUUGUAGAAAUACAAAUGAUUAAUUAGGAACAUGUAUAGAGAUUGAUAGUGUUUACUAUAAAUUUGACAUGAUAGUGAAUGAUUUUAAAAUUUUGAUUAUUAGACUACUACGUUCUAUAUAUUAUACUGUAAACAGACAUUAAGUAAUUGAAUAUACUAAAUGAUAUAGAAAAUACAAGAAAAUGAACAUGCUAGUAUGUAUGAUAAAUAGUUGAAAUUGUGAUUGCUGGAUAGAUUAAAUUUGUGAAUACUGAAACACCUAGAGAUGACCUAAGGCAUUGUUUGGUAUAAACCUAGAGCCAAAAACCUAACUCUAUUUAUCAACCCUUAGUAUCUAUUUUUGAUACAUAAAACACUUCUUAAUGAACCUUCAUGCAAAACCCAAACCAAAAAUAUUAAUUUGUACUUACCUUUUCUCUUUGGUCCUAAAUUGCAUGAAUUUAAACGUCUGGCAAUACGUGUGAGGGUUAAGUAGAUACAUCAUGGUGGAUUUUGUUAAAUCAAAGUGAAAUAGGAAAAAGCAAUGUGAUAUAGUGAUUAUAGGUUAGCCAAUAUGUCCGAAACAAAAGAAAAUUUUAGAAAAAGUCAAAACGAAUAGAAAAAAGUACACGAAAAACAAAAGCAUUGUGAGUGAGAUGUAUUCAAAAAUAUAAAAGGUGACAAAGUCACAAAAGUAUAAAAAACUCAGUCAGUAGUGCACAAAAACUCAUGAGCUAACUGUAGUUGCUUUAUUAUGUAGUAACUUCCUAAGUGGAGAAAUAAGGAAGGUGAAAGAAGGAGAAAUAAGGUGGUGAGUGGGUAAGGGUUAUUAAGAGGAAGAAUAGGAAACAAUACGAUGUGCCAAAUUACUUUCAUGCUUGAAACCGUUUUGAUGCUUCCUAUUUUUAUCUUCAUACCUAACCCCAGCUUCAGAACGUUACAAGCCAAAAAGGCCUAUGUGAUCUAGGUAUAUCUACUCAUGAAUUGACAUUGUAUUAAGUAAUUAUAAUUAUGAUUGCUUGUAUUCUACUAGGAUAAUCAAAUUAGCUUUAUGAUUUAUUAAUAGAUUCAUAUAUUCGAGAACCUUAAUAUCUAUAUACUUUGUUGUAUACUAAACUAAGGUGUUUGAUAUUGAAAGUGGUUAAGUCAUUUUUACAUUAUGCCCGAAUUAUGUGUAGACAUAAAUGUGCCUAAUUAUAUGUUCCAAAACCAAUCUUUCUAUCAUAAUUUCUCGAGAUUUGUCUAUUAUUUCAUUUUUGGUUUUUCCUUACUUGAGGAAAAGUAAUUACUUAAGUGUGGGGAGUUUGAUCUGUCGUAAUUCGGUGUAGCAAAUUAAACUAGUUUUCAUACUUAAGGAGCUCAAAUACAAGCAAUUUCAUUAUGUUUUAGUUAGUUUCCUUAUUUUAGUUUCUAUUUAAUAACAAGUUUAAAAUGAGUCCUUUUAUGAACUUAGGGGCCGAAUGAGGCCUAAAGGUGAGCUAACGUACUUAGUGAGUGUGAAGGACACCAUUCAAAGGCAUAAGAGAUCAAAGCUGGUUGCUGUGCUGCAACACGGGAAAUACAAUGUCGCAACAUAGGGAGCAAAAUACAAGAAUAGCAAUACUGCCUUUGGUGUUACAAAACAACCUUGAAGCCAAACCUGAAUUAGAAUAAACUGCCUUCGAUGUUGCGACACAGGCACUGGUUGUCACGACACUGGCCCUAUACGAGGGGAAUUACGAAUGAGGGAUUUUUGGUCCACAUAAUGAAAAUUAACACAAAAAUGUCAACAAAUCUAGGAAUAAGGACGACGACCAACCUUAACUAUAGAAAUAGGUUCAUUUAGCACUUGUUGGGGGAUAGCUUUCAUGGUUUAGAAUUUUCCUUGUAAUUUUAGUUUCAGUUUUUUUAUUGAGGCUAUAGAUUUAUUUUUAGUUAUUUUCAUUCGUAUUCUUCAGAGAACUUGAUUUUUAGAUGCAAUCAAACUAUUGUGGAUUUUUUUGCUUUCAUCAAUAAAAUACAAUCAGGAUUAUUUUAAACCUUAUUCUUGAUUUAUUCUUUAUGCAUAUCUUAUUUAUCAAGUUUAUUGUGUUUAUGGAUUCCAUGAGGAACUAAUCCUCUUAUGGGGGGUUAGUGAGUGGGGGUGUGAUUACCUAAUUGUUAUGUAGGGUUUUCUAAAUGGAUCAGUUGUUUGGGAGAGGAAGAACUUAAAUCUUAGGCUUGACGACCCUAGGACACCAUCAGGUAUGGCCUAUCCCUAAGUACCUUAGCCUCGAACCGGUCUAAACUAUGAGGUUAAGAGAUAAGUAGCUCUUGCUGACUCACUAGUUUAGGGUAAGGACUAGUUGAUUAAAUAAAAAACCAAAAUAGGAAUUAGUUAUGACCACUGAAGCAAGCUAAUCACCCAUGCCUAAAUUUGGUUGAGUUUAGAUAUUAGUUUUUGGAAGUUCAUUUUUUAUGCAAUUUUUAUUUCCUUAUUUAUAAAAAACCUAAAAAUCUUUUUUUUUUAUGUUCAAUCGUAAUAUACUUUAUUUAGAUUACUAAUUAAUUCUAUUUGCAUUUAGUUAACAUUAAUUUAGUACUUGCCUUCCGUGAGUACGAUCCUACUUUGUUGCAACUAUAUUACAACUCAACCCGUAUACUUACGAACACCACCUUAAUUCCUUUUAUUUAGUUGCAGUAUUCACACUUUGGACGUUAGUACAUCCGGAGGUGGUCAAUUGAUCGCCGAACCCGAGUAAUGAGAUGCUACCAUAGUUGCGAAAGCAAACCACAAACAAAUCAUAGCAAUCAAUUCAUUCCAUUACUAAUUCAUGACAAAUUUUCUUGCAUAAUAGGAUAUACAAUAAAAAUUGAGCCUCAAUCGAGCUUUCAAAAGCUCUUAAGUUGACCCGGGAUCAAACAAGAAUCAAAUUGCAAAGUUUGAAAGUUACAGGGCCAAAAUCGUGAAGAGACUUUCUCUACAUCGUGAUGUCGCCCAACAAUAUGUCACGUCACGACAUUAGACCACUUGAUGUCGGGAUGUCACAAACUAUUGGCUGACGUUGCUAUGAGGGAAGAUCGACGUUGAGACGAGGAACCUGCUUUGUGCAAAAAUAGGUCAUUUAACAUUAAUUUCACUUAGCUAAGCAUACCACAAACCAUUUGAUGUUCAAUGUACCACAUAACCUACACAAAUUCAAGUUUAAACACUUUCCAAACAUAACAUUUAAACACAUUAUCAUCCAAAUAUCUAAUAUGCCUCAAAUGACAUCAUUUUCACAUCAAAACUACUAAUACCAUUACAAGGUACUAUCUAUUCAUUUCUCGAGUCAAAUUUCAUUCAAAUAUAUGGCUUCAUUUACCAUUCACACAUAACACUUCAUAAAAUAAAUGCAUGUAAAUAUAUAUCAAUUGUCAUUUACAACACAAGUCUAGUAACAAUUAAGGUUUCAAACCAUCUUAACCUUUUUAAGGUAAUCUAACAACUCCUAGUACAUGUCAAAUUACCUCUACAUAGCCUUGCUCAAAGAAGAUAUCCACUACUAAACUCACGGUGCAAGCAAUGAUUCAAGGCUAAUCAACCUUAACCUUAGAUAAUUGUGACCUCACCCUAAUACAUUUAGUAUCUUAUAAAAGACUAUUGACUAAUUACUCAAAGUUAGUAAACAAUAAAAAUCCCCCAAUAAAAGUUGGAACACAUAUUUCUCAAUACAAAAUCUUCAUCUUUUUUAUCAAGCACUUCUCUUUUAUACAUUAUUUUAUGGAUCAAUAGAAUUACCUUUUAAAUUCAAGUUAGGUGACAAUCUCUUUUUUAAAUCAAUGUCCUUAUCUUGUUAGAUAGGGCUUCUUAAGCAACCCAUUUAUCUUAUCUCAUAGAUAAGUUUUCAAAAUUAAAGACUCUUCUUUAAAUUUAAUAUUAGUGCAAACUCCUCCAAGCUGAUCUCCAAAACAGUAUCUUCAUAUGAUCUUAUGUUAGAAUAUAUUUUGUUGUUGAUUUACAAAAGAUAAGAAUGCUUACAAACAAAGUUAAAAUUUGUCAAAUUAAUGAAUAUGUUAUGGUUUGAAAUAUGACCACAAUGAAUACCACAACUUUCUCCAUAACCUAAUUCCUAACGUACUUAUAUAUUAAGGGCUAGUUUAGUAGUACUUAAAAAAAUACUUUUGACUCCAAAAGUAUUUUUGGAAGAAAAGUUGUGCUAAACAAGCUACUUUUGGCUGAAAUUCUGAAAAGCACUUCUGAAAAGAAGAAGUUAAAAUUUUUAACUUUUACUCACCCAAAAGCACUUUUGGUGCUGAAUUACUUUUUCACCCCUCCAAUAACAUAGUACUUUCCCUUUUUUUUCUUAAUGCUUAAUUACAAAUGUGUUAAAAUCAUUAAUUAAAAGUAAAAAAAAUAUUUUUUAAAAUAACACAAAUGUGUUAAUAUCUAAUUACAAAUAUUGAAGGGUUAUAUUUAAAUAUUUAAAAUAUAGUUUAUAUAUUCUAAUUAAAUUUUAUAAAUAAUUAAUAUUUAUUGCUUAAAAAUAUUUAAAAUUUGUAUUUCAUAUAUUAGAAUAUUAACAACAAGUUAUAAUAAUUUUUUAUAUUCUUACUAAAAUAUAAUAAUAUUAACUAAUUCGAACAUUAUUUAAAUGCAUAUUUUUUACUUGAUAAUAACAUGUCUAAAAUGGACAUUUUAUUUCUCAAAAGCACUUUUCGACAGCAAUGCUAAAUACUCAAAUCUUAAACUUAACUUUUUCAAAAGUACUUCUGAAAGCACUUUUUUAUAACACUUUUUAAAAGUAUUGCUAAACUAAUCUUAAACAAAUUAAAUUGACCCUCCCAACUUUUUUGAAAUUUUGUAGUUACAUAAAAUUAAAGUAUUUUCUCAAAAAAAAAUAUAUUUUUAUCUAUAUCAUAAUUGGUUUGUCAUAAGAAUAAGUUGCACAACUUAAACUUAUAUCUUAAAUAUUACCAUUCCUUACAAGUUCAAACUAAAUUAGUUAAUUUCUUUUUCUCCUCUUUCAAGAUAAGUUGGAAGGUUUUGGUAUAAUAUCCAUGUCUUAAUUUUGAUUCUAUUUCAUUGUUAUUAUUUUUUUCAAGAUAAUUAUUUGAUGUUAGAUUUUUUAUUAUAAAUUCCUAUGAAGGUUUGGUUGCUAGAUUAAAUGGAUUAAUUUGUUUCUAUACUAUUAAAUAAAAUAAAAUAAAUUUGAAUUUGAAUAGAGCUAAUAUUUACGAUUUAAAAACAUCACUUACUAUUCAACAGAGUUAUAUUUUGAAAAAAAAUUUAUGAUUCUACAGAUGAAAUAUUUUGUUUGGAGUUUAACUGUAAAUGAAAAAAAUAAUUUUCAAGUCAUUUUUUAAAUAGUGAAUGUUGAUUAUAUUCUAUUUCGACUAUAGGAUUCUUUUUAACAAUAUAGAAAUUAAAUUAAUUCGUUUAAUAAUAAAAGAAACAAUUUGAUAUGAUCUCUAUAACAGAAAGACUUUUAAGUACAUUCACCCAUAAAUAAAUUUCAAAAUAGGUUAACCAUACUUUAAAAAGAAUAUUUUAAUCAAAUCUAUUGUGACGGUUAAGGGUAAAGUCAGGAAUAUGGUGUUGAAAAGUUAAAAAUAAAAUUUUAGAAGAGUCGAAACUAAAAACUUUAUUUUUAAAGAUUUAAAUUAAAUGAUUGAUUAUCAUGAAGGACAAAAACUGAUACUAUUCCAUUUUCAAGGGCCAAAGCCCUCGCCUCAUCAAGAUACGCUCUUGGGGGAAUUUAGGAGGCAUGCAAGGCUGUGUUAAAUGAGAAUUUUUAUUUUUAGCACUUUCAAAAUUAAAUAAUUUAAUUUAAGCUGGUUUGAACCUUAAUUUAAAAAAUGAAAUAUGUGAUAAGCCUUAUACUCUUUUAAAAAUUGGAAUUUAGUUUUCAUACUUUUUAUAUUUUAAAAUUUAAGUUCAAUUGUUAACAUUUUUAAAUAUUUUUUUGUCAAAUUCAAAUUAAUUAUAUGACUCCCAAAUGAGUAUUUUUUUUAUUUUAAAAUGUCACGCCGACAAAUUUAACAAAAAAAUUAUUAGUGUCAACAAUUAGACCUGAAUUUUAAAAUUUAAAAAAUAGAGACUAAGUUCUUGAAAAUAAAAAUAUAUGAAAUAAAUUUCAAAUAUUUUAAAAAACAUAAAAACCUAUAACAUAUUUUAACAUAAAAAUUAUACUUUUUUUGCCCUUACAAAAAAUAAAUAAUUGAAUACAAAAUUUCUGGCUUUUAUCUUUAUUUAGGGUGUAAACGUAGUUUAAAGUCUUGAUUGCCAAAGUCUAAUGCCAAGAUACAUUAAAUUUUGUAAUAAGAGUAAAUAUAGAGAAAGUUAGAAACCAAUAAUGUGAAUCCUUUAUUUUUAUUCCAAAACAUAUGGCGAAGAAGGCACAUGCUAUAGCAUGUGGCUCAGCAGUUAUCCUCAAAUUCAUCUGCAUGCAAUUUAAAAUCGGAUAGGAAAUUAAAUUCAGAGCGAACGGCGUGCAUUUAAAUAUAUUUAUAUAACAAAAAUUAUCUUAUAAAUAUUUUGUAGAUAAAUGAGUGAAGAGUAAGUUCAAAUUCUAGAAUCAUUAUUGUUGAGGGUUUUAUUUAAAUAUUACUCCGGCCCAAAUAAAGUUAGUAACCAAAUUAAUGGAAUAACUGAAUUUGGAUGAAGAUGAGUUAAAUAAAUUUAAUUAUGAGAAAUCAAAUGGGGUGAAAAAAACUCAAAUAAUGAGGGAAAAUUAUGUAAUGGAACAAAGGAGAGAAAUGUACGUGUGAUGCAGAAAGAAAAGAAGGGGAAUUUGUCUUUGAUGUUUGAAAACAACAAGAUCCACAAUUAUUGUGCAUUGAGAGAGUGUCGGUGUAUUUAUUGACAUUAAUGAAUUUGUGUAAUGCUAAUGCUUUAUACCCUAAAUUAUCUGUAAUUUAGGGUCCGUUUGUUUGCCAGUAAAAUGUUUUCCGUAAAAUGAUUUCUGGAAAAUGUUUUACUUUUCUGUAAAAUGAUUUACUGGAAAAUAUUUUCUGGUGUUUAGAUGAAUCUGUGUAAAAUAUUUUCUGCUGUUUGGCAGAUUUCUUGAAAAUAUUUUUCGGAAAAGUUGUUUUUACCUAUAUUAAUAUAUAUUAAUAAAUUUUUAUAUUUGAAAUUGUUUUUUACAUAUAUUGCAAUGAUUUAUUUAUAAUAAUACUCAAUUUCCAUUAUCCACAUAGAAAUCUCUAUGCUUGUAUUGUGGAAACCUUUCAAACCAGUUAACCAGAAAAACAUAUGCAUCUUCAGCUGUAAAUUGAGCAAGGGAACAUAUGAACCAAGUCCCUCAAAAACUUAGGCAAAACUAACUACAUCUAUGUGACUCGGUCUGAAUAUGCAUUAACAAACAGACCAAAGAUCUGAAUCUGCCAAAAUAUUCGAAUUUAGCAGGUCAAAAAAUUGUAAAAAGUAAAGUAGCUAAUCAAUUCGUAUAUCAGAAUCUGUCAUCCCCAAAAACAAAAUGGAAUCAAAAACAAUCUUUUUGACCACAUCUAUGAUACUACCAACGCAAUAAGGUCAAUUGAAUUCCCUGAGGUCAUUUUGUGGUGCAAGUGAUGGCUCAUUCGAGAUAUGCAUAAAUAGUUUAUGACAAAAAAAACAAGUCCAGAUAUUCAAGAACAACAGUUUGAGGAUACUAUUCAAGGAUCUUUAAUAAAUAUAUAUGCAUACAUACAUGUAUAUAUUUGAUCCAUUCGUAUAACAAUAACUGUUCUAAACAAACGAGCAUCUCUGUAAACUGAAGCCUAAGUUAUCAUGAGAAAUAAUUUGAUGAUGAUAUUCUAUACCACCUGCAACUGUAAUAACUUGGGGUCUUUGAUAAUGUCAUAAUAAUCAGGGACAUCGCGAGCAUCAACUGGUUCCUUGAAUGGCCAAGCAUCAACAUGGUCAUGCAUUGACUGCUUGAACAAAACCAAUUGCUUAGAAUCUAAGGAAAAUCAUGGCAUGAGAUGCUCUCAUAGACAUCUAAUGUCAAAUAAACACUUGGAGAGAAUCAAGUUAUCAAGAGUAAAAGCAAAAGGGCAAUGACUUAUUAACAUUUAUAAUUAUACUGUAAUUAGGCCAGUACAAGAAUCCUGAAAGUUAGCAUUAGCUUCCCCUGCAUCUUAGACAAGGUUUUUGAUUGUGAGAAGGGGGGACAUGCAUGCUUUUUUUUACAAACCUAUUAACCACAAUAAGGAAACACAACAAUGAUUAUUCAAAAUUAUACCCAACAACAAUAAUAAGAAGAAGAAAUUAUAUAGUAAACAUAAUUAUGAGGGCACUAAUGAAGAUAUAUGCAGAUGAGAACCAAUUAAAAGUUCAGAAACUUGCCUUCAAAAGUGAGCGCAAACCAGUUAAAUGUUUCUGAUUUGUCGCGUUGUCUGCAGAAACAAUUAAGGCUCUAAAUCGAGUAUGACCCCAUUGAUCAGGAAUCCAACUAGCUUCCUCUGUUACCAAAUCAAUACAAAUUUAUACAUACUAUAACCAAGCAAAGCGAGAGCAAUUACUAUAAACAAAAAAAUCUAAACCCUAAAAGUCAAAACCAGUAGAAACAGCAAGAUAUCUAUUCAUAAAUUAUAGGCAAAAUACAUGUUGAUGACAGAGAGAGAAACCUUCUGGGUCUUCUUUUCUCGACUGUGGCUGCUAAGUUUCUUCAAAAUACAGAGGUAAGGACGACGGUCGGUCGACCGACGGAGAUGAUGAGGCAGAGAUUUACUUGGUGAGGCCAACGAAGAGAAGGGACGAUGGACAGAGAUGAACAGAGAGGAAGGGAGAACGAAGAGAAGGGAAAAUGUCUUACGGCUUAGAAAUCGGUAAGACAUUUUCCAUAAAUUGGCUUUGCGUUUACCCGUGUUUUGUAAAAUGUUUUCCUAUAGGAAUUCAUUUUCCACGAAACAAACACUGUAAAUUAAGGAAAAUAUUUUCCACCAAACAAACAGACCCUUAAAGUUAAACCAACUCCUCUCUUCCCACGAAAACGAACCAGGAAAAGAAACAUCCUUAACGGUAUGUCAUGCCAUUUUAUUAGUGAUUAAUGUCCUUACAAUUUAUCAAUCUUCAAUGAAUUGUACUUCAAUAUUAAUGGAGUGUGGCGUCGCCCGGAAAAUUAGUUCAAUGAUUAAUUAAGAUAUGUAUUUAUUUGAGUGAAGAGGUUUCAAGUUUUCGAUUUUGUAUUUCAUUUAUUAUUGGUGUAUUGUAUUUGAUAUAUUUUUGGUGUAUAAAGUAUAAAUUUAAAUAAUAUAGUAAACAAUGUAAUUAUGUGCGGGUUUUCUGUUUAGAUUUUAUUUUGGUUUGAAAUCUCCAUUAUGUGGGUAUUGUCCAGAUUAUUCUGAUCUAGUUCCAUAAGAAAUUUUUCUUUGCACUGUAAGUGGUUGUUAGACCACAUGAUCGACAUUGCUCACCUUCCCCCCCCCUUUUCUUGUCAUGUUGUCCUUCCUUUCAAUGGUAGUGGCCUUCAUUUUUUCUAGGUCUCUUUUCUCUCUCUCUCUUUUCCCUUUUAGGUUACUGAUGGGGUUUUGACCUAUUGCUAGUGUCAUAGGACUAGAACUUAAGUCUGGCAAACCACGCAGCCUAGGCGAUUUCUUUGCUUCAAAUCCACCCAAUUCAACCUAACUCUCAAAAAGUAAGAAUUCUCCCAAAAAUUUUCUAAGGCGCAAAAAAUAAAGCAGAUGCAACUCAAAAGCGAAAGGAUAACGAAAAAGCUUGUAAAGCCACAAGAAAGAACACCGAGUGUUUGAGUAAAUGCUCCUAAAUAUAUUCUUUAACUCAAGAAUGAAAUACAAUGGGAUGAUUACAAAUUAAGGAAAGACCUCUAUUUAUAGUUCAACUUCCCCAGAUCCAACGGUAUAGAUUGAAUUACAUCAACGGUUGAGAUUAAUGUCUAUCUACAAGAUUAGAGUCCUAAGGGAUUUAAAAUCUAUACAUGUUUAUCCCUUAAGGUUUACAAUAAUUACCUUGGUAACUCUAGUUUUACUGGAAUGUUUCACUAGACCACCAAGACUUCAAAUAGAUGGGUUUCUCCAUGUGUUCCAUGAAUUGGGACAGUUCAAGUGGGUUAAAUGAGGCUCAAUUAAUCAGUUGAACUUCAUAAGACACUCUAUGUGCAUUCAUCACGAGCUUUGGCUCACGGCUUAUGACAUUCCCCCUACCCAUUCUUGUGACGCCCUUAUCGCAUCCUCAAAAUGACACUUAUUUGAGUCAUCUUGGAACUGUCACAACGCCUCAGCAGGUUCCUAACUAAUCUCUCUAUUGGGUAGUUUAAACCUUCAGAACAUUUGUCUUGGAUUACUUCUCUGUUGUCGCCUAACUCGAACUAUUUUUCUCUUUUGUACAUCUCGUUUGCAAGAGGCCAUAACUUUUAUUGACCGAUCUAUAGCUCAACUUGCAUUUUCAUUGAUCAAUCUGUAGCUCAACUCUUUGUGCCACUUCCACAGUUGGGACCUUUUUGGAAUCUACGGUCUUAAUCUUCUUAGUCGAUUUGCGAAUUGAAAAACCAAGUUUACCCACGACUUUCUCUGACAUGAACAAGUCUGAUACCCCUGUAUCAACAAUAACACUCCUUAUUCGCCUUAGGAUGUUGAUGUCCACAAACAUCAACCUUACCUUCUUGUGAUCCCUCUUCGUUUUGGCAGAAUUAAGUAUCAUUGAUCCAAGCUUUAAAGUCUCACUCUCUGGCCCCGCUUCAUCUUCUUUACUAAUUAUGAAUAUCUUGGACCACUCUAGAUAGUCUCGCAUCCUAUGCGGACCACAACAUAAGAAGCAUUUCACUGGCUUCCUUUGAUUCUUUUUAUUCCUCAUAUGGUUUUUAGGUAUCCACUUCCCAUUAGGUAGUUUCUAUUGUCAUUGUUGCCACAAUUGUUGUUUCUAACCAAUCAUUCAUCAUCUUCCCCACUAUUUCCCUUCUCUUUGGGCUUGGAAGACUCAAACUUGUCUUUCAUCGAAACAAGCUCAAUUAAGGACCCCACUAUGGUCAUGGAUUUUGUAAGUUCUUUGACCCCUCGGCGUUAAAACUCUAACCUUGCCUAAGACUUUAACCCAUCCAUAAAGAAGAAAAAUGCAUCUUCACCUAAAUGAAAAUUUUGGAGUAUCAGAUCACUAAACUCUUUCACAUGUUCUCUAACUGCACGUUGUUGUAUAAGCUGACACAACCUAGCCUGAGCCUCAUCCUCGGAAUACUCUAGGUAAAAUUGACCCUUGAAUUCACUCUGGAACUCCUCCCUAAGUCCCAAUGGUAGCUCAACCUCGCUUCUCAUCUAUAGACCUACAACGCCACCAUAACAAAGCGACAUCAAUAAAAUAUAUAGCAGUAAUAUUUACCUUAGUAGCAUCAUUUAUGAUGCCUUUGGCACUGAAGUAUUAUUUCACCCCCCACAAGAAGUUGUUUACAUUUUUUAUGGACCUUGACCAAUUGAACUUUUUUAGCUUUAAGACAUGUACCUUAAGCUUGGGUGACACAGCCAGCACCUCAUUACCCAAAGCAGCUUUGUAGAUAACGAGCUCCCCCUUGAGCUCCUCAAUAUGUUCCUUCAAAUCCAUCACCAUAGCCUCAAGAGGAUUAAUCUUCUCAGUCAGCUUACCCACAGCAGUAUUAAGGACCCAUUACAUCGCAUCCAUAUUAGCAUUGAGGGUUUCUGCCACUUGUUCUUUGAGUUGAUCUUGCCUCGAUUCCAACUCUGUGAUAUGUCCAUCAACUUCCUCAAGGGUCUCAUUCACAUCACCCAUAAAGCCCUCAAGUUUGGUCACCUUGUCUUCCAAAGCUGACAACAUAUCCUUCGAGCUGCUAGUUGUCUUGCCCCUCCCACAAGUCUCUAUAGGCUCAAUCUGCUUGUUUAAUCAUUUUGGCAUCUCAACUAAUGCCCUUGAACACUAGCUCGAAUAGCAAUAAUCAUAAGGCUAGAACUUAAGUCUAGUAAACAGCGUAGCCUUAGGUAAUUUCUUUGCUUCAAAUCUGUUUAAGUUAGUCUAACUCUCCAAAAGUGAGAAUUUUCCCAAAAAGUCACUAAGGCAUCGAAAAAAAAGUGAAAGUAACUCAAAAGAAAAUGAACAAUUAAAAAACUUGGAAAGCCGCAAGAAAGCAAUGCACAUCAAGUGUUUUAAGUAAAUGCUCUCAAAUAUAUUCUUUAACUCAAGAAUGGAAUACAAUGAGGGAGAAGGCCUCUAUUUAUAGUUGAACUCCUCCAGAUCCAAUGGUAUAGAUUGAAUUACAUCAAUGACUGAGAUUAGUGUCUAUCCAAAAUAUGAGAGUCCUAAGGAAUUUAAACUAUAUACAUCUUUAUCCUUUAGUAUUUACAAUAAUUACCUUGGUACCUAUAGUUUUACUGGAAUGUUUCACUAAGUCACCAAGGCUUCAAGUAAAUGGCUUCUCCAUGUGUUCCACGAAUCAAGCCAGUUUAAGUGGGUCAAAUUAGCCUCAUUUAAUAAGAUAACCUCCAUAGGACACUCUGUGUGCAUUCUUCACUAGAUUUGAUCUGCGACCUUAACACUAGCCUCAUUUUCCCUCUUUUUUUCCUUUGUCAUUUUUUUACUGUCAGUUGCAACUUGUUUUGCAACUAAGUUGCUUUGUAACUUGUAUUUGCAGGCAUUAGUUUGAUAGAAAAUUUCGGUUUAAUUUUUCAACUCUUUGAGGAUUCUUAACAAUAAUUUAAUAGACUCGAUCACAUUGAAUUUCAAUCAAGUAAUGAUUCUUUUGAAGAUUUUAAGUGUAAUCAUUAAUUAAAGAUAUUCAGAUUCUAUAGAAGACUACUCCAAAAAGAUCUCUACAUAUUUGAUCCCUUAUUGAAUCAUAACUUGGGGGAAUAUGUGUUUACAUUUAUUGGAUGCUUAUUUAAAGAAGGCUUUUUUUCAUUAUGCAGGAUUGGUAGAGAGCAUUUAUUUGUUCAUUGUAAGGGACUUAUUUUUACUACAAUUUACUUUGUAAAAGAAUUGUUCUUCAUUUUCAAUUUGUAAUUAAGCUUUCAAGGAGAAAGCCUCAGUGGGAAAAGUGAUCUAGUUGAUGUAUAGGAGUGAGGUUGCAACUUGAUGAGUGAGUUCAAUGUAAAUUACAUAUUGUACUAUGAAUUGAUAGUGGAUUUCUCUUUAGGUAAGGUUCCAUAAAAAUAGAGAAGUAUUUCAAAUUGCGUAACCAAUUUGUUUGUCCAUCUUUAUUUUUACUCUUUUAGUGGUUCAUCUAGUUGGAACUGAACAUGUAUAAUAACAUGCAAUUUCAACGAAUUCUAAUGUUUAGGAUUGGGAGUGUUGGGUUUUUACUUUUCCUCAUCACUAUUAUCUUUCUACUGUGUGAGUCAAAACGUUUUUUGUGCAUUGGACUUAGGUUGUUGCUUGGCUUGGAUUUAAGUUGUUGCAUACGAUAAUUGACCUUUUUUUUUCGAGAUCAAUCCUCUUUCCAACGGAGUGGAGUCAUUGGUGGCCAUGGUUUUUCCUCUUUUUCCUAUUUUGUUUUUGGUUGCAAAUUGUUGGUUCUCAUUUUUUUGUUGUCUCCAAUUAGGGAAAAUUAGGUUGGACAAGAAAGUUAGGACUUUAUUUCAAAAAUCAUUGCACAAAUAUAGGGUUUCUUGGCUUGUAUCGUUGUGCCUCUGCUAAUGGUUUAGUUCUCCACUCAUUCGUAUUCCUAGAAUUUUGGUUUUAGCUUGCAACUCUAAUAUCUGGUUGUGGGCUAUGUCGUUCCCUCUGUUUUUCAUCAUAAUUAAGCUAAUUUGUGGUUCUGGUGGGCCCUUGUAGCCCAUUCCCUAUUUUAUUCGUUUGAAAUGUGAAUAGUUUUUUUACCCAUUUCAGCUUUGAUUUCAAUUAUUUGGAUUCUAGUUUUUGCAACAAUGUAGUAGGUUUUGUAUCAAUUCCAUCUGUACCGACUGAUGCAGACAACUCUAAUAGCAAAAUGGAACAUCGAACUUCCUUUUCCACUUCAGUGAAAAUUCUGACCUAUACCAGUUGCAUCAAUUCGUUCUAUCGAAUUCCAGUUUCACUGCCUAAAAUAUUAUGCACCAUCUGAUGCAUGAAUAAUGUUAAAAAAUAUAUAAAUUUACUACUUUUUUAAUGUUUAUAAUAAAUAAUAAAAAUUAAACUUUAACUGUUAAAAUUAAAAUUAAACUUCAAAUGUUAACCAACUUAAAAUUACCAUCUUUAAACUUUAAAAUAAAAGAAAUUAAUAAACAAUUAAAGAAAUAAUGAGAUUAUAUAACAAAUAAAUGAAAGAAAGGAAAAUUCGUAAAAUUUCAAAAACUUCAGCUUCAUUUCAACUCUAUUUAUUUAAUCUCAUCCAUUUAAUAUUUAUAAAUAUUUUUAUAUAUAUGAAUUUUUUUAACAUUAAUCUCAUUAUAGAUUCUUAUCAUAUCUGCUCUUUUUGAUACAAUGCCUAGAACUACCCAUAGCCCCUCCCAACCAUUAACUAGGAUGAUAAUGUGCUUCAGCGCACUCAAACCCAUGUCCUCCUACACUGACAACAAUGCCAAUGUCACUCGAGCUAAAACUCAAUUAACAUAUAUAUGACUUUUUUAAAAAGAAAUAUUAAUAAAUUCUAAACGAUACACCAGAACAAACCAUUAUGCAUACAUACUAAUUUUAGUAGAAAAGAAAUAGGUUGAUGCAUAGUACUACAUUACUUUACAUCAAUGAACUUGUUGACUAUUGUAGCAUUUUAAAAUUGUGUAGGAUAAACCUAUGAACUCAUUGAUUUGGGGUGAAACAUGUACUCUGAUUGUGGUUUUUUUUACCCCAAUAAAAGAAAUAUAAAAUUAAUAGCUAAAGUGGUAUCUCAAUCAAAUUAAUUACUAAAAUGAUAUGUUUUGAAUAGUAACCAUGGGUGGUGCCUGACAAGGUGGCAGCACCACCCAUUUUUUUCCACUAUCAUUAGGCCAUAAUAGGGUUUAAAAAAUUCAUGUUUUAUUGGUGGUGCCACCCUAUAAGGUGGAAUCGGUAUGUAGCACCGAUAUUUGCUAAAAUACGAGUUGAUAUAGGUUGGAGGGGGAUGGAGGAAAGCUAUUAGGCAGCACCUAAGUGGAGGGGCACUGUUAGGCGUUACCGUUUGGAGGAGUGCUAUCAAGCGGCACCAAGCCCCUAUUUUGAACAUAAAAAUUGUGAUUUUUUGAACGGUUUAGCAGUUAACUAAUAAGAAAGGAAUCUUUUUUUUGUAGAAGAAAAGAAAAGAAAGAAAAAAAAUUGUAAGGUUAGUACAAUAUUAAUUUUAUUUUAUUAUAUUUUUUUUUACAGUAGAAUCUUGUUUUUCAAAGUAUUAUUGAGAAAUUAAAUUAUUUUUAAUUAUUUUUAUAGAUUUAGUAUUGAAAAUGGAUAAUCAAUUCUUUGUAUUCAUUUAUUUCGAUGGAGUGAUUUUAAGAACAACAGUUGGUUGUAUAUUUUAAUUUCACCAACAAAUAGAAAUAAGAUUUAAUAUAAAUGUAUCUGUUGAUGAUAUGAAAGAAAGGAUUAGUUCAAAAAUUGUUACACGUUGUGCGAGGAGAAUGUCGAAUAUAUUCUACAAGUUUCCACUUCCAUCAAAUCCCAUCAAAUUUACCGAGAUGGAACUUGUAGAAGAUGAAGACGUGGGGAUAAUGGUCGCACUUUAUUUUCGGACUGAGAGUGUCCACACUGAACUAAUUCAUUUACUUACUGAGUUAGUUGCUGUGGAUCCAGUUGCAGAUUUCUCUUCAUUAAGUUAACAAUAUGAAGUUCAAGAUCCGUGUACGGAGGUUCAGAGAGUUCCUGUCGAUAGGCAAUCGUUUGUACGCGGGUUUGACAUCGAUCUUAAUGCUCCACCUACGCCAGAGAACUUUAACUCAAGUCCCCGCUUACAAAUACAUCCAGUGUUGAUUGAGACCGAUAUAGAUGGUGAAGAUGGAUGUGAUAAUAAUGGUUGUUCUGAUAAUGAGGUUGAAGGUUAUAAUGAUCCCGAUCUAGAUAAGGCGCGAAUAAUGAUGGAAAUGUUUACGCGUCCUUAUUCGGAAACCCAAUUCGGGGCAUUGUCAUAUACAAUGAUCCUGGGGCCCACAUGUCAAACGUAGAUCCUGAUGUGGUUCAUGCAUCUAAGUUUCUUGAGUACUUGACCUGACGUUAAAUGUAGUAGUUAUUUUAGGUCAUUUUUACACUUGACGAGCUUAUUUUCUAGUACUUUUAUAAUUAAAUAUUGCAUUUUCAGUAUUAGUAGGUUAGGGAUAAAAUGUUAAUAAAAUAAAUGUUUUUACGUAUUUUCUACUAUUUCGAUGACCCGUAAAGCCGACUCGGGCCUCAUCAGUGAUUAAUGGGUUAUUUAAGUGUGUAGGAUGCCAAUUUAGGUCCAAGAAUACAAGGAAUGAUGAUCGAGCUACGAAACAAAGGAGCCCGAUAGGCCAACAAAGUUGCCAAGGCCCAGAAUACACUUCACGUUGUGAUGAGGAGCUUCUUCUCAUCACGACGACGCGAUAAAUAUAAAAGAACAUUCAUAGUUGCGACGUUGUGACGCGGAGACUUCCCACUUCACAACAAUGCAAAGAUGGCAAGCCAAAAUAUGGGUGAUUCUUUGGACGACACAUUUGGGGAUAUUUUUAUAUUUAGACCCUAGCUUUUAGAAGAAUAUUUUAUUAAUUGAUAUCUAAGUGUAUCUAGGGUUGAGUCGUCACCAAGUAGCCUGUUUCCUAUAUAAGCAACCUUAGGGUCACCAGGAUUGUGUGCAUUUUUAGAUAGAUGAUUUUUCCUAUUCAAUUUUCUUUGUAUUUUCUUUUCAUGUUCAUAUAGUCAGAACUUUUCUAUUUCGAUGUGAAGACAAUUGCGAGCGAAGAUUGCUCCGGCACCACGCUUCAAUCUAUAUUAAUGAGCUUUCUCCUAUAUCUUAUUCUUUUAUUUAUAUUUUUGUUAACCAUAUCAAUUAGCAUUUGUAUGAAUAAUUGAAUAAAUAAUUAUGCUUAUUUCGUAUCUCACAUAAUUCAAUUAAUAAACUAAUUUAUUUGUUAAGUAAUUAUUUAUCUUAAAUUGGUUGUUUAUUCAAUAUUACUUAGUAUAUUAUGGAGUGACACCCCUGAUAGAAUAUCGAGGCAAGUGAGACCGGAAGGGUAUCCUAUCGUACCAAGCAGAGAGAUCGAAAGGGUAUCCAUAUGCCUAAGAAGAGAUCAAAAGGGCGACUUAGGUGGUAAUUCUUAAUGUAGAUGAGAUUGAGAGGGUAUUCUUAGCUAAUGGUGAUAAAUAACUCAAUCUAGGAUAAUUCAUUAUUUAAUUAGAUAAUUAGGGAUUUAAUCAAUAAUAGGCUAGAGGCUCGCAUUGUCGACACUAGGAAUAAGAGAGUCCAUUAGGUUAAUUUAGGUUAGUUAAUUUAAUUAGUUUAAUUAAAGUACUAAUUUGGAUUCGCACUACUAAUUUGGGACUCAAUUAGGUUAGUAAUUAUUUUCUAUAAUUAAUUUAAUAAUAGCUUCUCCAAUUUGCAAUCUCUUGGGCACGAUCAUCAGAAUACUUACUAAUGUUUCGUUGUAAACAUUACUAUAUUACAACUUCACUCGUACGCUUCCGGAUACCAUCAAUUUAAUUUAAUAUAUUUUUUAUAUGAUAUUUAUACUAUAACGAUAACACAUUUAUAGGCGAACAAUACCCCGAUAUACUACCUGUUCACCUAUUUGUCGCAGAUCCUAAACAAGAUUUGUUCAUGGGCUAAAAAAUCACCAACAAGGAAGAUUGCAUAUUUACCAUUAAGCAGUAUAACAUGAAUGUGUCAGUUAAUUACAAAUUCGUUGUGUCUAAAUCGACAUUAUAUAUUAGGCAGUGUUGGAGGUCAGCAGAAUGAUGCAAUUUGAGGGUACGAGCUGUAUUUAUCCAGAGGUCACAAAUGUAUGACACAAGAUCAUCGUAAAAUUGAUGCGAAAGCUAUCUACAACUACAUCAUGCCAAUGGCGCAGGACAUGCUAACCAUUCUUGUAUCGGUACUAAUUGUCAAAAUGUAAGAAUAAUUCCAGUACCGAGUGUCAUAUCGGAAAACAUAGAUAGCUAAAUAGAUGGCCAUGGAGUAGUUUUACGAACAUUGGGAUGUGCCAUACAAUGAACUCCAUGGUUGGAGAGUCACUAUGCAGGAGUACGUGCCAGGGACUAUCGUUGAGUUGCAGACACAAUAUUAUUAUAGCUCAGAUGACCAACUACAAUCGAUAAGAAGAAUUUUCCACCGGAUGUUCUGGACAUUCGAUCCAUGCAUACAGACCUUUCCCCACUGCAAGCCGCUUAUGCAGGCUGAUGGCACCUAGUUAUACAAAAAAUAUAAAUAGAUCCUCCUUAUUGCGGUUGCACAAGAUGGUUGCUGAAACUUACUACCAAUAGCAUUUGCCAUUGUGGAGUUGGAGAACAUGGAAUCUUGGGAAUUAUUUAUAACAAACUUGUGAACGUAUAUUAUUAGAGAAGACAAUAUUUGUAUCAUAUCUAAUAGAUCGAAGGGACUAAUUAUCACGAUUAAGCAUUCCGAUGUUCCAUGGAAAUCUCUUUACUGCAUCCGCCACAUCUCCACCAACUUCCACUAAGAUUGCAAAAAUACAUACUAGCACAAACAAGUAGUGAACAUGGGUAAAUUUCAAUUUUAACAUAUUUUUAAAUAUUCUUAAUAUUUCCACAAAUUGAAAAGGUAACAUAUCUUUUCAAAAUAUAUACGUAGUGUACGAGCUAAAACAACACUAUUUCAACAAAAUUUGACCAGGCUUGAGGCUGAUAUGCACAGUGAAACGAGUACUACUUUUCAGGGUGGUUAAGCACCAUGGAGCCAUGGAAAUGGGCUCAAAGUUUCGAUAAUGAAUCUCGAUAUGGUCAUAUGACCACCAACCUAGCAGAGGCUGUUAACUUCGUCUUGAAGCGAACAUGACAUCUUCUAAUUCCAUUUGUUUUCUCAGCUACAUUCUACAGGCUGCUAACAUUGAUGCCAAGAAUAAGGCUGAAAAAAGUAAACCAGAUAGAUGUGGGACACGUGUUUGUCGAGGAGAUUAGGAAGAUAAUGGAUGAAAAUGCCUAAAGAGCGAGGUCAAUGCAUGUAGAAUUAUAUUCUCGAUAGUUAUAAACUUUUCGAGCUACAGAGUUCAUCGGUCAUCGACCUGAUAUCCCACCUAGGCCCUAUGAAGUUGAUCUCUGAAACAGGUGAUGCGACUGUGAGAAGUUCCAAACAUUUCGGUACCCUUGUACGCACGUUGUUGUAGCUUGUGCUCGCGCCUCAUUCGAUGUUGGACAAUAUAUCAAUGAGGUGUACACUCUGAAGCGCACAUUGCGUAUUUAAGGAAAUGAGUUCCCCGUCCUACGUGAUGUGUUAACAUGGGAAGUGCCUCCGCUGACUUUCUGGCUAGUCCCAAACAUGGGGCUACGUAGGAAACCCAAAGGUUGCCUGCAAGUCACCAGAAUUCAUGGUGAAAUAGACUUGAGGGAGAAAAUCGACCCUAAACAUUACAGUCUGUACUUAAUAAUUGGUCAUAAUCGGGGGAAAUGCUCGCAUCGAACCUACCACCCUGAACAAUCGUCACGAUCGAGUGGAAUAUGAAUUUAUGUACUCCAUGUUCAAAUGUAUGUGAAAUGUUGUUAUCAAUUGAAGUAAUAUUUCAUUUUAUGUAGAAUUCAUGUAUAGUUUUAGUUUUAUUAAAAUUUAUUUGAUUAUGAUUGAAUUUUGGUAUUGCUUAAACAUGUUCAAGUAAAAAAAAUUGCACUUCAGUGAAUAUUAUAUUAAAAUACUGAGAAAAUGUUCAAACUAUAUAUUAUAAAAACUUUACAAUUUGAAUUACAAUUAUAAAAUACAUGCAAUAAAGAUAAUGUUAUAAGUGUUAAAAUUGAUGGUUUGAUGGAGUUGUCCUUGGGGUAAACUAUUGUGGUGUCCGACAUUGGCAUUGGGGGUGUUCGUGACGAUUAUUAUUCUUUUCAACCGGACCUUCAUUCACAACAUCCAUCAACGAACCUUAGGGGUGUAUUUAACAAACUCGAAAAAUCACACUUUCCAAAAUUUUGACCAAAAGGGUGGAGUACUAGUUGGAAAUGGGUUAAAGAUAUCAAACAUCAUUGAUAAUCUCGAUUGCUAAUGAUCAAAAGUGGAAUCAAGAAUCUCCGAGUGAUAUGCGUAGCCUGACAAUUCUAGAAGAUAAUUAUCUACCUCUAAAUCUGGAUGAUAAGAAUUACUGAGAGUGUGUAUAGGAUCGUUGAAGUUCAAGCUCUGUGGAUGACCUUGUUGACAUUUUUGGUGGCCUCGCUGGUGUAUGUGUGGAGGGACUACCAUCAAUUGGCUACCAAAUAAAUACGAUCCCUCAUUAUCGAUAUACCAAUGUUGGUACUCGAUCGAGGACCACAAAUCAAAAUCAAAAUCCACCCGAGGUCUCUGCUCCAUUUGGAUGUUCCACAAUGCAAGAUAUUGUUGAUGCUCUAAUGCCCAAUUCUUUUAUUCUUUCCCCAUUUUGUUAAUUCCGUGGACAUUAUCAAAAUUCUGUAGAACAUCCAGAACAUCUUGUUCGCACUCGAACUGUCGCAAAACUCGAUCCCCAUUGUACCACUUGACUGUUGAGAAAUUCAACACGGGUGCACUAAUGUACCACAAGUGUGAGUGAAUAUGAGCUGACGGGGGAAUAACAACCGCAAUGUCUAGGGCAGAAUAUGGCAUCCACACGAACUAUACAAUUAAUAACAUGAUUAUAGUAACACGAGCCAAAUAACAUAGAUAAAGUAAUUACAUGACAUGAAUAUUAGGACAUCCCAAUACUCGAACAAGUAUACCAUCUAAAAUAAAUUAAACUUGUUAGAACGAAUUUUCAUAUAAAGCAAAAUUAUUAGUGUAUAAUUUAAAUUUUAUUACCUAUUUACAAGUGGGAAGACGUGUUUGGUGAUUAACUGAUGCCAAAAAUGGUAUCAUGUAUAGUGCCCAGGACUGCGACAAUAUCAGGCACCUGACUUGUCUUAUGUUUCGUACUUUGUCACCUAAAAAAGCUUACGAUAUAACGUUGCUAAUACUGUUAAGCCCCAAUUGUACGAACGGGCAGCUUCCAAAUCAGACAACAAUGGAAAGUACAUCAAGUGGACCUUAUUAUGAGCGUCUGACAUAAGUACCCCCUAUCAGGUGCAGUAUAUAUACUCAAGCAGCGCACAUCUUCUCCCACUCAGUGGCAUUACUAGGUAAAUAUUCGAAAUUUCCCUUUAACCAGGAAAAUUUCAAACUCGUAAAUAUAUCUUCACCAUCAUCGGACGAGCAUCCAAGUAAGUGAUAGCAUAGCACCACUAGUUCAGACACUUUACUUGUACUUGUGACUGCACUAGCAUCGAUUGGAAGCCCGAGCUGCAGUGCAACAUCUUCUAGGGUGAUGGUGUACUCCCCACACGGUAAAUGAAAUGUGUAGGUCUCCAAGCACGCUUAACCAAAACGGAUAUCAAGUCGGCCCUCAAAUUGAACAUGCGGAUCAAUAUUUCUGAUCCGAAUCUGGCUGCCUCCAAGUAUGACAUAAUCCGUUCAUCUGGCCCGUAGUCUAGACCAUUGACACGAGCCCUCAAUACGUGGUAUUCACCCUGACCAUAUUAAAUUACUGCAUUAGUUAAAAAAACCUAUGUUACCAACGCAAAUAAAUAAAUAAAUAUAUAAAUAUGAUAUAUCACAAUAAUAUAUACAAAAGCAUGCAUGUAUAUAUAGCUAAAAUAACCCUCUUUCACCACAAAUUAUUAUCAAUGUACUUAAACUUUUUUUUAUUCCUAAACAUGCCUUUCUUCUAUGCCAAAAACAACUUUUUUAUCCUAAUAAUAAAAAAUAAUUAAAAAUGCAAAAUUAAUCACCCUACCAAUUAAUUAUCGAAAUGGGCCGUUUGUUAUAGUAUUUUUUGAUAUCACCUUACAAAAAUAUAAUACAAAAGCAAAGCAAAUGUAGAUAUAUAAAACAAAAUUUCAAAAUUAUUAUUACAAAAAAUAUAUAAAAACACAUCCCUGCUUACUGGUGGUUUCUUCCAACACAAACUCUUCUCCCAAAAAUACUAAACUGUUUUAUUCACACACAAAAAAUAUUAUAAAAAUAAAAAUGUUAUUUUAUUAUACAUACCAAAAAUAAUAAAUUGCUUUAUUCACAAAAAAUAUUAUUAUAAAAAUAAAAUUAUUUUUUGUUAUACAUACCACAAAUACUAAAUUGUUUUAUUAAAAAAACAUUAUUAUUAUAAAAAUAAAAUUAUUAUUUUACUAUACAUACAAAAAAAUCAACAUAUAUAUCUAAUUCAUUCAAAUAAUAUUACAUAAUAAAUUUUCAACCCAAAAAAUAUUAAAAAUGUGAAAAUUUAGUGCUCAAAAUCUCUAACAAAUAAUAAUUACAAAAAAAGUCAUGAAGUAUUUAAUAAUUUUUUAUAUUAAUUAGGUAAAAAACAAAUAAACAAAUAAUAAUUAAAAAAAAUAGAAAACAUGCGUGUUAGGGUGCUUCCUUUCUUUCCAACACAAACACUCACUCCUCCCUAACCCUAAACUACCAAUCUCUAUUUCUUUAACACACAGUCACGCAGGGCACCAAGUUAUAUACAUAUAUAUAUAAGGUUAAGGGAAAAAAUGGGGAAAUUAGGUGUAAAAUUUAGGGCUGAGGAAGCAAAAAAAAACAAAAAAAAGACCCUCGAUUGUCUGGUCACGUUCGUCGCAAGCGAUUAAAUCAGUGCUGCCUGAUUUCUGCUUCUCCAUGCCUGAUUCUCUCCCCAUUUUUUGCUUCUCAGUCACGAGUUAGUAUUUUUUUUACAACAGUAGUGCCACCUGACUUUCACCCUCCACUCAUUAAAAUUAUUUUUUAAUAGUAUACGGCUUGUAUUGUAUAAGAUUCUACAUCAUACUGGUGUCGCGUAUAGAUUGGCACCACCAAUAAAAUAUAAAUUUUUUAAAUCCUAUUAUGGCCUAAUAAUAGUUUGAUAAUGGUAGAAAAAAAUGUGUGGUGCCGCCCACCUUGUUAGGCACGAAUAAAUACUCUUCCAAACAUAUUAUUCUAAGUAAUUAAUUUGAUUGAAAUACCAUUUGAGUUAUUAAUUUUAUUUUUUGUGCUCUUGACGUUAAAAAGCUUGAAUAAGUAUUCAGUCUCUGAUGAAGAUUUUAUUUGAAAAUAAAAAGUACAUUUGAAUUAAAUAAUAAAGUUAUUUAAUUAAAAAUUAAAGCUAUUCUGUAUUUCUAUCUAUCCCCUGCUUUAUCCCCCAUUAUAAAAAGCCUUCCUUUGAUCUCAGUUUCUCAGAAUUUCUCUCCCUUUGUACAUUCCCACACUUUAUUAAGCAAUAAAAAGAAAGCUAUAAUGGCAAUCCCAUUGUCCUUCUUUCUACUGCUUUUCCCUCUCUUGGCUCCCACAUUUGUUUUCUCCUCACCAGUUCAGGACCCCGAGCAAGUAGUCCAACAAGUCAAUGAGUAUGCAUUAAUUUCCUGUACUUCAAUAUCUUUCAUCAAUGCCGAUUAUGAAAUACUGAAUCAUUUUCGUUAAUUCCUUUUUGGCUUAAUUUUCUGUACUGCAGGAGCAUAAGAAAUGCUACUAUGGCGAGGAGGAGCUUGGGGUUUCUCUCAUGUGGAACCGGCAAUCCCAUCGAUGAUUGCUGGCGGUGCGACCAUCAUUGGGAGAAGAACCGUCAGAAGCUCGCCGACUGCGCCAUUGGGUUCGGCAAGCAUGCCAUUGGUGGGAGAGAUGGGAAAAUAUAUGUGGUUACUGACCCUAGUGACCAUGACCCUGUUAAUCCUAAACCCGGAACCCUUCGAUAUGCUGUCAUCCAAGAUGAACCUUUAUGGAUCAUUUUCGCUCGUGACAUGACCAUCAAGUUGAAGGAAGAAUUGCUUAUGAACUCGUUCAAGACCAUCGACGGCCGAGGCGUCAGCGUCCACAUUUCCGGUGGGCCAUGCAUUACUGUUCAGUACGUGACCAACAUCAUAAUCCAUGGGAUCAACAUUCAUGAUUGCAAGAGAGGAGGGAAUGCUUAUGUGAGGGACUCUCCUACCCAUUACGGCUGGAGGACGAUAUCGGACGGGGACGGGGUAUCGAUUUUCGGAGGCAGCCAUGUUUGGGUGGACCAUUGCUCUUUGUCUAACUGCAACGAUGGGCUGAUCGACGCCAUUCAUGGAUCCACCGCCAUCACCAUUUCUAACAAUUACUUGACCCAUCAUAACAAGGUCAUGCUAUUGGGACAUAGUGACACUUACAAACAAGAUAAGAACAUGCAAGUCACCAUUGCCUUUAAUCACUUUGGAGAAGGCCUUGUACAAAGAAUGCCUAGGUAAAAUAUAUAUAUACUUACAGUCGAAGAUUAACCUGAAUCUCUCUCUCUAUAUAUAUACACAUAUAUUAACUUAUCACAUAUGCAGAUGUAGGCAUGGAUACUUUCACGUGGUGAACAAUGAUUACACGCACUGGGAAAUGUAUGCAAUCGGUGGCAGUGCUGAUCCUACAAUCAACAGCCAAGGCAAUAGAUUUCUUGCACCAAAUGAUGCAGACAACAAAGAGGUCUAUACAAUUAUAUCAUUAAUUGGUUCCAAUAUAGAAACUGGGGGGGGGGAGGGGGUAAGCUUUAAACUAACAUAUUAUUAUGUGCUAAAUAAAAUUCAGGUGACAAAACAUGAGGAUGCGCCGCAAAGUCAAUGGAAGCAUUGGAAUUGGAGAUCAGAAGGGGAUUUGAUGUUGAAUGGAGCCUUCUUCACCGCAUCCGGAACCGGGGCUUCUUCAAGUUAUGCCAAGGCGUCGAGCUUGGGUGCGAGGCCGUCAUCACUGGUGAGCUCACUCACAGCAGGAGCGGGUGCACUCGUUUGCAAGAAGGGGUCGCAUUGCUAGUGAAAUGGCUAAUAGGAAUAAAGAUAAAAAGGCUGGAACAUGAAAAUUAUCCCAAAUUGUAAUUAAAAAGAAGGCAGAAUUCAUGUUUCUGUAUAUUGGUGAAAUAAUGUUGUAUUGUUGAGUUUAGAAGAUGUAUAAUAUAAGUGUACAAAUACUGAAUCAGCCUGCUUCUGUGAAACCAGAAAAAAGGGCUGAAAAAAGUGUUUGAUAAAUUGAAAGUUGAGUUCUAUCAAUGAAAUUACUCAUUAUUAAUUCAUAUUAGUUUUGGUCACAUGGGGUGGUGCAGCGACACAGUGGUGGGAGUGUCCUAGUGGAAGGGGAAAAGGCUUUAUUUUCCUUUAAUAAUUAAGACUUGUAUUUUUUUGCUUAUAUUUAUGUCGACUGCUUGUUGGUUCCCUUGACAAAGUUGCGAGUUCGGGGACUUUUUAUCUUUUGUGGGUUUUUAUUUAUUUAUAUAGGAAAUUAGGAAGGAAGGAGUAUAUCCUUUAGCUUCGACCGACACCAAUUCACGGGCAACCAUAAACGACACGUCUCCGACAAUAUCAGUCACCAUAAAUGAUACUACCUGUCUAUCACCCCAUCCAUAAAUAGGAUAUGAGAGGUUUGUUUUCUUGUAAUUGCUUUUUCUUCUUUUUAAUUUUAUUUGUCCAUGAGAUUGCUUUGCUGCCUGUAGCCUUGUAAGAUAUUUAAGACCCAAACUAAAAACUAUAUAAUUACAGAUCAUCUAAGUUUUAUUCAAGCAAAGAAUGCUACAGGCUGCGUAAGACAUGGUGGAAGGGUAGGGAGACAAGCUUUCUUUUUGUUAUGUUUACUUAUAAUUUGGUUAAAAUAUGUGAUCAAAUUCGGUAGCUUUGGGCUUGAAAUAUUUUCAAAUUUAAGUGAAUCACUGAAUUUUUAAAAUAUAUCAAAUUUUUGAAGAAUACAUAAAUUUAUAAUAUAUAUUUUCAUAUAAUGUGGCCAACAACAUAAUUCCGAGUUAUUAUAGUCAAAAGGAAAAUGGAUGGAUAAAUUGGAUUGCUUGUAUUGGUUAUGGAAUAAUUGAAUUUGGUAACAUCAAUUUAAACCAUAAAUUUUGAGUUAAUUCUCAUUUGAAUUAUUUUGAAUUUAGAAUAUUAAAAAUUAAGUUUGUAAGCUUUUCAUUAAGCCAUUAUAAAUUUGAAUUAUUUUAAGAUUUGAUGACUUUCGACUUAUGAUAUUAUUUGAGUAUUUUAGGUGAGAUGGUUUUGAGUUUCAAAUUUGAGGAAUUUAAGACGAGUUAACCCAUAUUUGUGUUGAAGUUUAUGAAAAUAAUUUUUAAAGUGUGGGUUUGGAUGAGUGGUGUGGUGUAAUACGUUUAAAUUUUUUUUGUCUCGCAUUACGAUAUUGUUAUAAUAUCUAAUCUCACUGUCACUACUAUUUUUACACUCACCGCAAAUAAGCACAUCCUUCAUCCAACCCUUACCAAGCCGGAAGGAGAACAUAAAUGGAAGUAGAUGGGAUGUUUGUUCACUAAUUGUUAGUUGGGCUACCAAAUCCUGGCUUAGUUAAAUUAGCCCGAAAGGAUAAAGGGCGCAAGGCAAGGGAGACAAGAAAGAAAGAAAUAAAGCAAAAGUAUGGAUGAACAAAGGGGGCCCAUUUAGCUGUUGAGUGUAAGUAUCUAACUGUAUAUGGCUUCAUUAAAACUAAACCAAAGCAGGGUUGAAUGUUCCUUUAUAGGCUACGCCCUAACAUUUUAGCAACUUUCUGUCCCACUCAUCUACCCUCUCUCCCAAUUUCACUUCAUAUACCCCAAUAAUUUAUUUAUAUGGCAUUGAUUAGGGUUUAAAUCUCAUCAAAGGUAAACUGCUUACCACCUUAUGGUGGAUGGUUAUACAUUCACAUGUAGUCGACGUUCUUCUCGUUAUAAACCGUACAUGGUUCCCCACGAAGAUAGAAUAAAAUUCUCCUUGAAAAACAAUACUUUCUAUUGUUGAGGGAUGAUCUCCCCUCAACAGAACUAUUAAGGGGUAAACAACCAAACUCAAGCUAUAAGUACCACUGUCAUUUACCAAAAAGAAAAAAGUAUUGCAGUAUAAGAGAAGGAAAAUGUUAAAUUAUGUUAUAGGGUCCUUAUACUUUUCACAUAUUUGAAAAUUAGCUUCUAUACUUUUAUUUCGAUGAGUUUAAUCUCUCUACUUUUCAAAUUUUAAAAUUCAAAUCCAAUUGUCAAUAAUUUAAUUUUUUGUUAAAUUUAUUGGCAUGACAUUUUGAAAUAAAAUACUCACUUGGUAGUAGGGAUGACAAUGGAGCAAGGUAGAGGUAGAUAUUACUAAAUCUAUUACCACUCCACAAUUGCGAUGCUCUACUCUACCAUCUAUUCUACUCCAUUAUGGAUGUAUAAUCUUGAAAACUACUAUCACCUCUAUGGAUGUUGGAUGCAUUCAUCACUAUCUCGCCCCACCUCGCUCUACUUCAAUUUAAUUUUUGCUACUUAUUUUUAAUAUUUUUAAUCUUUUUAAAGUCAAGUAAAUAUUUAAACAUAAUUCUUCAAAAAAGUUUAAACAUAAAAUAUGUAAUUUUUUUCUAUAUUACAUUAUUACAUUUUUACCUUUUAAUAAUUUAUGUAUAUAAAAAUGAUAAAGUAAUUUAAUAUAAUGUAGCCGAGCAGGACAAGUAAUUAUUGUAGCCGCUCCAUAUUCACUAUCCAAAAAAAAACCCACCCCGCUCCGCCCCGCAUCCACGUUUCAAACAAAAAAAACCACUCCAUCUAGUGCAAAUAGAUUCGAAAUUUAUCGGGCUAUUCAAAAUUUUCCAUUCCUACUUAAUAAUCAUGUAGCAAAAAAAGACAUUGUAUUAAAUUUGAAUUUAACAAAAUAAUUUAAAUAAUGUUACCUCAAUAAUAAAAACACUAAAUUUUCAUAAAUAAUUUUAAAUAGUUUAAACAACUGUUGCAUAUUUAAAUAUAUAGGCUGGAGGAUGCGUAUUAAAUAUAGCGCAUUUUUACAUCCAGAAAAAUGUUGUCUACCUCAGUCUCGUAACAAAAAAACAAUUUAUGUCAUUAUAAACUUGAGAGCAAAUAAUAGGUGACACUAAGACUCAGAAUCCUAAGAAUAUGAGGUGGAUAUAUAUAUUCUUAAAAUAUUGAACUUCUCUUUUUAGUUGUUGAUUACAUAAUUUGGAAGAUUUUUUUUGUCUAUGGGAUUUUAAUGAAAUAGUAAUAUAUUAUUAAUCAUGAUUUAGGUUUAAUUUAUUUAUCAAAUUAUAAUCUUAUUCAUAUAUAUCAAUUUAGAAUCACUCUCCUCGUAAAUUUUUCCAUUAAAAGCUUAACUACAAAUUGAACAUAAAACAAUUUGCGUACAAACUAUUUGUCCUAAGAACAAGUUCCUAACAAUGAACAAAUAUAAUUGCUCUCUCAAUUGUACAUAAUCAACUAAGCAAGUCUUCUUGAAAGUUUAAAUAGCCAUUACACCUUUAGUCAGUGUGAAUGUGUACUUCCUUAAGUUGUGCUUGAAUAAGUCUUCUAUAUGGACUAGAUAUUCAAGGAUUAGACUUCUAUAAGACAACAAGUGAAUCUAGUCUUCUCAUUCUUCAAGGAUAAAGACCUCAUCUUUGUACUUAAAAACUAGAACACUCAUCUCUAAAUUUUCCCCCUCAGAAUUUAAGUCGUCAACACAAUCUAUUUACUCUCAAAUGCUCUCAAAAAAAUAUGUUCCUCAAUGAAAACAAUAAAGUGCUAUUAAUGCUCUCCUACAAAAUGUAUACAAAUCUCUCACUACAUAGAAGUUUUUGAGGCUUGCUAACAUAUUAGUGAUCAAUUACAAUGCAACACCUUAAUAAUAGCAGUUAUAAAAUAGAAAAAGCAAUGUAAAGUGGACUAUUGGAGAUUCAUUCUUAAAAGAAGUCUUUAAUGCAAUCUCGACCCGUUCUCCACAAUCCAAUGAUUUCAAUUGUUUGAUCCGAACCAAUCCAAUCCCCAAUGAUAGUUGUUUUUAAAUAAAUUGGUGUUCAAAGUUGAGUUUCCAUAUAUCUAGAAUAUCAACAUAAUUCAAAGCUCAAAGAUUUUGCUUCAAUAAAUUGUCAACUCCGAAUCUAGAAAGUCACAAGUUGUCGCAUGGAUUAUGAAAGUGGUCACUUUUGAUUUCCACUUAGUAGGUCACUUCAAGAACUUACCUCAACAAAAGUUAUAUUUUAUAUUAAAAUUGUGUUUAUGUUAAAUAAUAAUUUUCUAAUAUAUAUGUCGAAACCAAUUUUUAAAUUUUGAAAAAUAGGGAUCGACUUUUGAAAAUAAAAUGGGAGUCGCCACUGAUCUUUUAUUAAGGUGUGAUCGGUUCACCAUUAAAAAUAAAUUUUAGGUCUGCGAGAUUUGAGAAAAUAGGUCCAGGAGUCGGUUACACACGAGGAAGGGUUAGCACCCUCGUGACGCCUCAAAAUUGGUACCGAAUUGAUUGUUUAAUGUCUUAGGGUCAAAAUUUUGAAAAGAUUUUGAAAUACUAUCCUUUUGACUCGAAUAAAUUGAAUUAAAUAAUAAGGCUCACUUCCUUCAAGGAAAUAAAUUGUCACACUCAGUAAGUUAGAGUGCAACAUUUUAAAUCCUCAAAAUUAAGUUUAUCUUUCGAUUUUUUUAAAAACCUACAUUUUAAUAAGGAUAUCUGAUUAUUUGGGUCAAAUGAGAAAAUCAGAACCUAGUAAGUUAGGGUUUGAUUUCACAAAAUUCCUAAACAUCGAAUAUUGCCUUUAUUUUUAUUUAGAAAAAUUCUCGUCUCGAGAGAACAACGUGUCAUAUCCAAUACGUUAGGACACAACGUGUCGAAUUCCCGAGAAUAAGCUUUUUAUUUAUGUCUUCAUUUAAAGGGAUAUUCUCGAUUAUUUAGAUUCAACGAGGAGAAUUGAAACCCAAUACGUUAGGGCUCCAUUCUUUCGAAGAUUCCAAAUCCGAACUUUGCGUUAUCUUGAAAGUUUUUGAAUAAAAUGAUUUUGAUAUUUAAACGAUACUAGACGUGACCUUUUAAACGAAUAAAGUGUGAUAUAGUGACAAUGUAUAAUGCAAAAGGAUAAUUCAAAAUUAAAAAAUACACUAAUGAAUAAUGAAUAAAUAAAUUUAAACAAGCAUAGUAAUAAUUAUUUCAAUCAUGCAUUAUACAAAUACCAAUAUAAAUAUUCAAAAAUUAAAUGGAUUAAAAUUCAAUUUUAAAAGAUAUACUAAAAAAUCAAUAGCCAGAGGAGAAAUUACAAUCAAUAAAUUAUGCAUACAAAAGUUUUAAAAUAAAUAAUAUAUAUAUAUGGGUAUUAAGGAUAUAUUAUAAAUAAAAUCAUAAAAAAGUGUGCAAACUAUGCUAGGCUCAUAAAAAUAUAUAUAUAUAUAUAAAAUAAUACAUUAUGAAAUUAAAUAAUAAUAUAUGGAAAACUUAAAAUAAUACUACAUAAUAAAAUAAUGUAUAUAAAAAGGUUAGGUAAAUUGAUAAAAAAAUAAUACUACUAAUAAUAAUAGUAAUAAUAAUAAUAUUAAACUGAAUAGUGAAAACGCAAAUACAAAAGGGACUAAUCUACAGUCGAAAUAGAAUUAACGGGCCACAAAUGAAGUUUAAAAGAAACGGAGGAUUAAUCUGCGAUUCGUGAAUAACGAGGGGGCCAGAUUGGAAAUUAUUCCAUCCCCCAAAACGCGGCGCAGUGACACGGACUCAAAUGAGACAACAUUAAAAUGCAGGGCAAAAUUUAAGAAAAAGAAAAGAGCCAAUUUGAAAUAGUCUGCAAAAUUGAGAGGACUAUUUGCGCAUCCAAACGGUGUCGUUUUUAAAGCUACUGAAGCAUGCUCUUAAACGGUGCCGUCUUCUUCACGAUAUAUAAGCUAAAUUAAAACCUAAACUAACAGCCUCCUAUCAUUUUUCUAAAAAACUAAAGAACCCUAAUGGUCCUCAACGCCGCUUAGUAACCAGGCCAUUCAAAGGCCUUUAAACCUUCGCCCAACUCCGAUUGCGGCGGAAUGGAAGAAGAUCCGGCCACCAGGUAAACUCUUUAACCGUUUCCCUUUUUUUUAUGCACGAUUAAUAAUAUCAAAACAGAAAAGAAAAAAAGAAACGAAAAGAGAGAAAGAACUAAAAAAGAACACCUUCUUUCAGAAAUUUUUUGAUUUUUUGUCUAUUGAUUCUGCUUCAGUGAAAAGAGAGAAAGAACUAAAAAAGAACACCUUCUUUCAGAAAUUUUUUGAUUUUUUGUCUAUUGAUUCUGCUUCAGUGUUUUUACAUUAGUUUCUCUGUAUCCCUUUUUUUACAAAUUUCUGUUUGGCUUUUAUAUAGCCUAAACAAUCGAAAAAAAAGAAAAAAAUAUCAAAAUCUAUUCUGUUAUUCUCCUUUUUGUUGCGUCCUUUUUUGCUUCUCUGCCCUUUGUUGUUUGUUUGUGUGCAGGUAUGGCUAGCUGUAGGAGAUGCACACGCGUAGAGGCGCAGCAUGCGCGGGGGAGGCCCUGGGUUCGACUGCGGCGCUGCUGGCUGCUGAAGGCUAGGGUUUCGGCGUUUGGGGAACACUUUGGGCUGUGUUGGGUUUGGGUAUUUUGGGCUAGAGUUCGGGUUUAGGUAUUGUAUUGGGUAUUAGAUUAAAAACGAUUUGGGCCAUGUUGGGCCCAUGUAUUUGGACUUUGGACUUUUAAAUGUUUAUUUGGUUUAUUAUUACGGGCCGGAAAAAUAUUGGGCCUUACAAUAUAAAUAAAAUUUUAUAAAAAAAGCGUUACUUAUAUUAAAAUUUUGUAGAAAAAUUAGUCAUAUUUUAUUAUCCAAAUAAAUAUAUUUAAUUAUAAAAAGAAUAUUAUUGAUUCAUAUCAAUUUAUAUAUAUAUAUAUUAAGAUAUUAUCAAAAUGAUAAAUUUAGUAACAAAAACAACUAUUGUAUGUGUGUACGAGGGUUUGAAAGUAAAGGGAUAUAGCACAAGGAAUGUUUUUAGCAAUUCAAGAUUCCUGCUCGAAUAAAAAUUAGGGGGUGUGGUGUGGUAUGGUACGCCAAUUUCACCGCUUCUUAUCUAAAUGGUGUGAUAACACACCAAUGAGUAUAUAUUCUUUACAUUCUAUCUCACCAUUGGUGUGAAACUUGUCUAAUUCUACAAUGGUCCAUUAUACAUGUCACCACUUUAAAGUAUAUUAGUUUGUGUCCAAGCCUGCUGCCACUUAUAUUUCUUAAGGGACGAAGGUUUUAUCUUUUAAUUUUGCUCACCAAAAACAAUAAUUGACAUGUCGAAAGGUCUAAUAAACCUACCUCUAUGGAAUGAAUUUACUAAAUAAUUUUGUAUCCAAUGAUUAAAAUCCUAACUAUUUAACACAAGGUAAAAGCAACCUCAUUCAUGUACAAUUAUUUACACUCACUCUACUCAAAGUGUGAGUAAGAAACCUCUCCGACCAAGGACAAACUACCCAAGAAAAAAUAUCCUACGAACAAAAUAAAGCAUUCAAACCUCAUACCUAAGUAAGCUAGUCGACAACUUUAAUUCAUAUAUAUAAUUCAAACUUAAAUGUCGACAACUUUAAUUCAUAUAUAUAAUUCAAACUUAAAUAACAUUUAUCUUAUCAGCUUGUAUGUUAAAUCUGAAUGAUCCUCAAUCGAUUAGUUAUUAAGCCCUAAUUAAAAUGGUGAUAAGUCCUUGUGAAAUUCAAACAUUUCAAAGUUUUCAAAAACAGUGACUUUCUUAUCAAAGAUUUUGUGCAAAUUUAUUUGGUUGUUUUUUUACAAUUAAACCUUAUAUUUGUUAUCUAUUUUGAAAUAAAAAACAUUUAAUAUAAAUAUAUAAUUUAAUAAAUAAAAAAAAUUUGUUGUUGUUGAAACCCAUAUUGCAACAUUAAAUCUAACCUUCACAUAAAUCAAAUUAAUGAGUUGAUUAAUUCAAACAAGAUGUACAGGGCAAAGCUAGAAAACCUUUUUAGGGGACGAAAUUAAAUUAUAAUUUUUAUGAUAGUAAAAAUACAAUUGUUAAAGAAUUAAAUAAAAAAUUUAUUAUUUUUAGGGAAGCCAAAGUGUAAUUUUAUCUUUAUCAAUUUAAAUUUUUUAAAACUUUAAAAGGCCAAAAUAGAAAUCUUUCUCCAUUUUUCAUUUUAAGGGGCCAGGAUCCCUGCCAACCCCCUAGAUUCGCCCCUAAAUAUGAGAUCCAUAUCUUAUGAUAACAUUCCGUAUUGUUAGUAAUACUAUCAUAGUCACAAAUUAUUAUGAUUUUGAAAUAAUUUAUUUCUUUUUAAAUAAAAUUCCCUCGUAGGAUAAUGAUAUCAGUGUUUAUUAAGUCAUAAGACAUUGGGUAAUGAAAUGAAAUGGAAAAAAUGAAAGAAAAUGAUUUAAUUAAAUAAAAACAAGGUGUAGCGCAACAAAAUAUGCAUGGUUUUCCAGAAUCAUCGGAAAUGGACGUGAACUAGGAAGCCGUGCUUUGCGUUGAAGCAUUGCCCUAUUUUUGGCCAAAUUGAAGGCUUUAUAAACCUCUCCCACUCCUCCUCCGUAAUUGUGCGGGUAUAAAUUUUCCAUUCAUAUAACCAACCCUUAGAGAACAACAUCACCCCAUUUCUUUUUAAUUACUGCUUCUUGUUCUCUUCCUUCUCACGUACCCCACCAAUAUCAAUAAUGGCACGCCAAAGCUUUGUUCUUGCUUUGGUCUUUAUAGCUCUUGUCGGGUUGGUUUCCGCCGCCAAUACAGCUUCUAAAGCACCAUCUGCAGUCCCAGUACCCGAUGAUGAUACCAUCGGCAACACUGAUGAUGGAGCAGGUGCAUCCUCCCCCGGUGCUUCUAAUGACGCUGUUGCUGCCCCUCUUGGCAGUGAGCAGGAAGCUAAAAGCAUGGCUCCUGCUCCUUCUAGUGAUGCAACCACCACAGGUGUCUCUGCCGUUGGGGCGGCUGCUCUCACUGGGGCAGCUGCCAUUGCUACCUACUUCGUCUUCUAAAUUAGCUUCGUCUCAAUCCAAGUAGUAAACCUCGAAAAAGGGUCUUAUUAACCAUAAUUUGUACGUCUACUUUAAUUUCAUAGUCUGGUAAAAUUGAGGUUUGCAAAGGCAGCUGCUUGUAUUUGUUUAUGAAUAAAACUAAUGAAUAUAUAUACAUAAAUAGGGAACUUAAAUGAAAUUUUGGAUUUCAAAAAUAAGGUUCACAUUUUUCAUUUAAAAUAUAGUAAAAUAAUAAUAAUUGAUUAGUCCAUGUAAUAUUCGUUACCAUAAGCAUAAAAUCUCAAUCCCCUUUAUAAUCUAUAUAAAAUAUGACAUUUUUAUUAAGAAACAAGCACUAGUUAUAAAAUAAUAAGCCCUACUUUGGUUAACAAUUCAAGCAAAAGCAUUGGGGUUAGAAACAGCAAAUCGAAAGUAGAAAUAAUUAAAUCUUUGGUUUUUAACAAGUGUUCCUCGUUUUAGGGUCCAGUAAAGCUCAAAAACCAAUCAUGGCUCCCUUAGAUAGUGUUUUUGAGCUUUUGAUUUCAUGACAAACACAUUCACCAAUAUAAUAAUGUUUCUUAGCAUGCAACAAAGACAAUAAACUUGGAAAAUGGGAAGGAUAUAAAUCCCAUAUUCAGAAAAGGAUGAAAACAUCAUUAUUGUACCUAGUCUGCACAUUGACUGCUUCGCACAGUACACAUAUACCAUAUUUGCUAACAUCUCGAUUAAUAUUAUUAUACCAAACGAAGGACUAAUAUCAAUUACAAGAAUGUCAGAAAAUAAAUUUCUUAGAUCAAAAUUACUACUCCAAUUUUGCUUUAUAACAGAAAAUGUACCUAAACUUUGUAAAAUCUCUAUCACAUCCCUAAGUAAGCUAAACAUUGUAAAUGGAAUUCAGCUCCUCAGAUUUAUAUCUGAUAUUCCUAGGCGACUGUGAGGACCCUUUUUAACUCCAAAUUAAAAAAUGAACUUCUCUUUCUUAACCACUGCAAUUGAGACUGGUUACCAUGUUUUAUACCACCUCUUACAGCAAAUACACACAAGCACCAAGCAAAGCCGGAAUGAGGGAAUUAACUUGAUGUGCAAGAUGAAAGUGGAAAUAGCAAGUUACGCACUUGAGCAUUAUCAGAUAAUGCUUUUUCAAUAAUCAGCUGACAAACAGAUAUUUUCCUCAAUACAUACCCUUAAAAACAGGAUUUGUACGGCAAAUGCUGGCUCCAUAUUCCUCAUAUUCCGCUUUUGUGUGACAUGCCUGCAUAUAGGGAAGGUUAGGAGACUUUCAGCCAAAAUCCAAAAUUUAGUGUUUUAACAAUUAAGUUUGAUGAAAUAACACAAUACUAAUGGCAAGCAUAUUGGACAAUUAACAAGCCGACCAAACAAGAACACCGGCCAAGUAUAAUGGCUAAAUUCAAAGCCAUUCAGCAGCCUAUAUAGAAAUAAGAGACUACGAUGACUUUAGGAGCAAGGAUCAUACCGCAAAAAAUUCAGGCGUUGAUGCAAGUACAGAACCUCCAAACCAUACCGCAAAUCUUUGGAUAGGAUGACUAACUACAUUAACUUCCACAGGAUGUGCCUGGAAGGUGAAGGCCCAGAAGAGAUUAUAGCUGUUUAAAAUAAAAAAAGGAUUAAAAUACAAGCAAAAAUAUCCUUACUUUUACUUCCCCACCAAGCCGAGUAUCAGACGCAAGUACUCGAGCAUCAACAAUCUUUUUCAGAUCCCGCUGCAACCUUCUGUGGAAGUCUUUGAACAUGGUGGAUCCACCAGAUAAAACUAUAUUCUGAAAAGUAUUUAAAUAGUGAAAAAAGAGUGGCAACUAAAAGUACUUAUAGAAAAAUAUGGCAAAAAGGCAAAAAAUUCCCUUUUCUCAAUUCAGUCAUCAGUCUUAUGUAUUUAACUGCAAGCUUUGUUUGCUUAGUAAUUAUCAACAAUUUAACCAACAACUGUCACAAGCCAUUAUCAUUAUAUUGGAACUAGGCUAAGAACUCUUUUUGGUAAAAGAGUAGGAACCAAACAGCUAAGACUUUAAAUAUAAAGAUCAGUAUCAGAACGGAUCUGAGAAAACAAAUUCUAAUCAGCAAACAAAUAAAGCAAGACACUGAUUCAAGAGUUUAAAGUAAAAUAAUCACUUUUCAAAAUAAAGUAAAUCACAUUUCAAGAACAUCAUCCUACAAAAGUUAAACUCAAAACAGCCUGUUCUAUCAAGAAGUAAAGAGCAUGACAUAAUACUUUCUUACUGUUUCAUUUAGAUUUAUCUUCCCUAAGAACCAAAAUUUGCAAUCUGCUUGUCUUUUUCUAGAGGGCAUAUGCAUACUUAACCUUAUACAAAGCUCUUCUGGUGUCAAUUGGUGCUGACUGAAUGCACUUAUCUAUUACAACUGGUAAGGGAGUAGUAAAAUCACUGCUGUAGAUCUCAGGACUAAAGAAAACCUGACAAACCCACCAAUACAGUAACAUCAGCAAAAAGACUCAAGAAGCAAUUUAUAAGCAGCAAGUUAAUCAACUUCUUAUUUCUUGAACAGCAUGUAUUAUCAACUAGUUGCAUCACCAAAGUAGGAAAAAAAAAAAAGACAAAGCAUUCAAUUAAGAAAUCUAACCAGACAAAGCAUUCAAUUAAGAAAUCUAACCAGCAGUGAAAAAGCAAAAAAGAACCUGUAUUCUGACCUCCAUAAGAUACAAUUAUGUUUCUGUUGAUGGAAAUCAACAUAUAACAAGAAAAAAAAAAUUGUUGUAGUUGGUUUACACACCAACAUAUUGUCAGCAAUAUCACAGCUAGGACAUACAUGCUUCUAUAUAAAGAGAGAUUUUUAGGAUAGGUAGAUCAGAAAAAGGAGCAGGAGGAAUCUGCUUUUUAACAAAUAAAGUGUUGACAUGAAAUGACAGCUACAAGGCGACCAAACCCCUAGAGCAUAGAGAAUAUAGCUUAAUUAUUGACACUAAGGAAAAGGAUGAUAAAACAUUAUAAAACAUUAUAACUAAAUCUGAUGAACACGGAAAACCAUUGCUUGCUUGCUUGCUAUAGUUUGAGAUGUAUAUGUGUGUAUAAUAUAUUUAUAGUAGUAGAAUCUUCAUAAGGCAGCCAAGAGUCCAGCCAUUUGAAAGAGUUAGCUAACCAGGUGCUUAACUUGGCCCACAAGGACAUGUUACUCUAGCAGUAGUUAUCCUAGACCAACCCCAACCACAAAAAUACAUAAUAAAUAUGGAAAAAAUGCCAAAACUUCCAGUAAUCUUAAACUUGAGGAAUGAGUUAAAAAGGAGAAAAAGAGGACAAACCUCAGGGCCUAAAAACCGUUCAUAACCAAUAUCACAGGAGUACGGUGCUCCAGUCUUCGGUCUAAUGCCUCUCCAAUGUUUGAUAUAUUUUCCAGGUUCUUUGUCAUGCUUGUUGAACUCCUACAGUAGUGAUUAUCAAAUUACCAUUGCAAUGUCAGAACUUGUAAACUGCAUUACAGUAUCUCAAGCUGGGUAAAAAUACUGUGGCCAAGGGUCGUGCCAGAAAAUUUUCCAAAAUCACAAUCCAAAGAAAUAGAAGAUGACCUUGACCACAUCAGAACAUGUAUAGCAGUACAUUUCCUUCACUUUUCGAGCUGCUUCAAAUGAGUCCUCCGGUGGAAUUUUCUCUCCUCUUUCCUGUGAAUAAUGGUGUCAAAAGGCAUGAUUCAAGAAUAUUAUAUAUAAAUUAUUUUACAAUCUCCAUAUCGACAAUUCAAACACGCACAUGAUAACUACUAGAAGAGGCAACAUUUAAAGUCUAGCAUUUCUUCAAAUGGUAAUAAAAUGCAAAAGGUCAUUCAGGUAGCAAUCAGAAGGACGAAUGAUGGUGAUGAUACUGUCACAAACCGGGACUGGGUACUUGAAAGCAUGGUAUCUAAAAGGAAAGUGCUUAAGUAAAAUCCAUCCAUAGGUAAGGAUGAAUAGCACUAAUGAGCGUGGAUAACUUCUCAUCAGGACAUAUAAAUAACUUGAAGUACUAGAAAUUUUGAAUAAGCAACUAUCCAUAUCAAAGCACUAUAACAACAAGAAGCAGAAAUUACAUUUUUAUUAAUGGUUAGAGAGUCGAGAAAAGAAAAUACCCGCAUGAGCUGUUGUAUGAAGAGUGUAACAUCUUUUCCAGCUAUCGGUACUGAUUUAAUGCUGCUCCCAAUAACAUAACCAUCAGCAACAGGUACAAUAUGUGUGGCCCCAUCUCCAACAUCCACCACCACUCCUGUCAUCUCACACUACAGAAAACUGUAGGUUAAUCUAAAUGAAAGCAAUUAAUAUAUAAGGAUGAUUAGCAAGAAAAUCUGUGAAAAAUAAUGUAGGUAUACAGCUAAGUUCAAGAUAGACAUGUUCUUUAAACUCCACCACCAUAUGUCUCCAAAACACCCAAUGAUAUAUGCUAAUAUGAAAAGCAACAGGUAUAUGGCUUCGUCACAAAUCCCUCUAGUAAUUAAAAAUAAAAAGAAUAAACAAAUCUUAACACAUGAAAACAGUAUAUGGCAAGCACAUGUGCAUUUAUGUAUAAUCAAAUACAAAAGUACAAAUAUUUGAUGAAGUUAGCAAAGACUUUUAAGCUUAUAACAACCACCUUAAAGCUUAAUGUAAUUUAAAUAUGAAGAUUGGAUAAAUAUAUACUAAUCUUUUGUAGUUGCUAGAAAACGCCAUUGGUUACAAAAUACUCCAACAGUGUCUAUUCAUAGCACAUCGUCAUAUUAUGACACCCUAGAUCACCUAUUCUAUUGAGAACUUAAAACAAUAGUUCAAGAGAAAGGUGGUUCAGCCAUUUUCGGGGGCAGUAAUAAUUAAUAUUGUCAAUCAGUAAAUGGCUUUAAAUCAAAUUGAUAGGUGACCAUCCUAAAACCAACAUUCACACAUAGAGUUAAAAGGUUUAGUUUAUUAAAAUAAAUAAUAAUGAUCAUGAAGUAUCAAGGACCCAAACUGAUCCAUCUAACAUACAACUAAGUAACUAACCAAAACAGAGAAUACCCUAAAAGAACAAAUACUUCAGGAAAUUAGCCACCAACCUUAGACGUAGUGUACCCAGCUGCUAAAGCAAGCACGGAAUUCACAGCAAUAUAAAGCCCCGGAACAUUAAACGUCUCAAACAUAAUUUCACCUGUAUAUUCUCGAUUCUCAGGAGCAGUAAGAGGACUCUCAGUCAACAAAAAGUAAUGAUCCUCAGGAUCACACCGUAAAUAAUUGAAUAUACAUUGCUGCCAAUACCGUUCCAUAGCAUCCCAGUUAUAAACUUGACCAUUUCUAAUAGGAUAUGUAAGGUUAUAAGCAUUACUCGAUCUUGAUUUCGUCAGUGCUUCAUCUCCAAUGAAAAAAUCAAGAUCCGCCAUUACCCCAGCUGAAUACUGAGCUGACCAAUUUGACUUGGAAGAAGUUCUAGAUUGAUUUAGGAACGACUCGUUAACAGCUACUACUGUUGGCUGAAUAAAACACGGUUCUACAUUACCCGCAAAUCCCAUCUUAGUAUAUCUGCAAAAAGACCGAUUCGAGGGGAUGGGGGAACAAUUCAAAAACGAAGUCUGAAAUAAAAUAUUAACUGGGGAAUUUUAUCGAACAGGUUCUGAGCAGUCAACAUAGAGCUAUAACGAGUUAAGUAAGGAGAGGAAAAAACCUACCCAGUACCGUUGUCAAUGACGACAGCGGGGCGAGAAGUUGGGUCCAUCGAGAAUCAAAACGGAAGCAGGCAAUUGGUUGGGUGUUGUCGUGGAUCUGCGAGCGAGAUCCAAAAGAGAGUAGGGGGCAAGAGAUCAUGGUCAUGAAGCGCGCUUGAAGAAGCGCAAAUAAGGAGAAGCAAGCUCCCCCCGAUGGCAGUACUGAGUCGAUACCAACAGCAAACUUGGAUCCCCAACCAAAAGCAAGUGACGUUUCAACGGUAUAGCUUCUUGAAACAAGAGUUGUUGGUUAGGCGAUAUCCCAAACUCAAGUAAGACUAACCAUUUCAAAACUGAAUUCUCAUCGAGUUUAUCAAUCAAAGACUCCAAAUUCCUUCUUCUUUGUUCUUUCUCUUGAUUGAUACUUUUCUUAGCAAUCAAACAAUAGAAAGAAAGACAACGCACCAACCUUUCUUUCUUUUCUUUUAGUUUCUUUUUUAUUCCUUCCUUGUUUUAUGCUCGGAGAGGUACGGCUUCGUCAAUUUUGACUGAGUGGGUAACAUUGUCGUGACAGUCUGUAAAUGGAUAAAACUAAAACUUCACCACUUAAAAUAUUUAUUUUUUUCCAAAAUUUUAGAAUGAAUUUUUUGAUGUUUCAACUUUAAUUUUUCAUUGAAAUUCGAAAAUAGAAUUAAAUAAAUUAAUUGAUUAUUGUAAAUUCGUAAGCUAUUGAAAUUAAAUAUAUUUUUCUUUAUAUGAAAUUAAAAUUGGAUUUAGAAUAUUAUUUAAUUAAAAAAUUUAUUUAUUUAAAUUAAUUUAAUAAACAAUAUUUAUUUUAAGAAAUAAAAAAUAUGUAUUAAGUUAGAUUAAAUUAUAAAGUGCUGCUCUCUUAGUAGAAGUAGAGAAUUUGUUUCCCUAUAAAUAAGUAUUAUUUGUAUUCUAUUAAUUCAACGCUAAAUAUAUACAAGUUCUAUGCAAUUUUGAGAUAUUGUUAUUCUAUCCAAAAAUAAUGAUAAUUUAUUUUCUAAAUAUAAUGUCUAUUUUUCAAUAAUAAUAAUUCUAACGAUUUCUAUAAAGAGAAGUAAGAAAAUUAUUUCUAGUUUUGAUUUGUGAUUGUUUGAGCCCACACUCGAAGUAAUUCGUGGUGCAAGAAUAAUAGAGAAAGUGGUUCGAUUGAAAGUCAAGAACAUCAAGAAUUCAUUUCACACAAAGCACAUGUAUUUUUUUUUUAAAAAUUACUAUAAAUAUAAAAAAAACCGGCUCAAUUUUCAAAUUUUUAUUUUUCCACUAUCACAAAACCUUUUUCAAACCAACAUUUUGCCAACAGCUACCAUUUGCCCAUUAUUGUUAGCAGUUAAAGUAAGCUGCUAUCAUUUUAACAUACAUUCGUGCAUUCAACAAAAGGCAAUUGCUAACAUGAUGGCAAACAGACGUCCCUUUUUGGGAGGAAAUUGCUCCAAACACCCUCCAACGGCUCUAAACUUAUUAAAGGGUAUAAAUAUGGAUCAGUGACACGAAAAUAAUGACAAGAAACAAGUUUAUAAAGAUGGAGAGCAAAAAUUCAAUCUUUUCAUUUUAUUAUACUUAUCUUUCACUUUAUAAACACUUUAGGCUUAUUUUCUUUUCAUUCCUGAUUUAUAUUUGUAAGAGCUUAAUUACAGUAUAUCAACCUUCUGGAGGUAUUCAUUCAUCUCAAUUAAUGAGGUAUUAAAAGGAAGUGGUUUUAUCAUACCUAUUGAAAAGAUAUUGUAAAUAUUAUUAAAUAAAUUUCUCAACUCAUAUAUGGAAAAAGAAAUGCUACAAAUUAGAAUAUAAAAAUUAAAUGAUUAAUAUAUACUAUAAGUUACUGUACUUUUCAUAAAUUUGGAAUUUAGUCCUUUUACCUUUUAGAUUUCAAAAUUCUGGUCCAAUUAUUAACACUGUUAAAUUUGUUAAUAUGACAUUUUAAAAUAAGAAAAUUCUCAUUUGAUAACCAUUUAAUUAGAAAAUGAUGUGUUAUUAAUCUGAAUUUAACAAAAUAAUUUUAACAGUGUUAACAAUUGGACCUAAAUUUAGAAAUCUGAAAAGUAGGACUAAAUUCCUAAAAGCAAAAGUAUAGAAAUUAAAUUCUAAAUUUGUAAAGAGUAGAAGGACUUAUGGCAUAGUUUAACCAAAUUAAAUCUUCAUCGUAUACAACACAAGCAGAAUUUAACGUUAAACCAACCCGGUUGAAUAAUUGGGGGUUAAAUUCUACUUGAUCCCUAUACUUGGCAAGACAUGUGGAUUUAAUUUCUUUAUUUUAAUUUGGUCAUUUUAGCCUCUGUAUUUUUCAAUUUUAAAAAUUUUAGUCCUUAUCAAACUAUAAUUGUUACAUUCAAUAAGUUAUGUUAUUUCCAAAAUAUGAUGCGUCAAACAUAUUAUCAUAUGUGUAAUUCCAUGUCAAUUUAUUAUUUCUACAUAUUGCUCACUAGAAAUCCAGUUAAUGGAUUAAAGACUAUCAUUUUUUUAAGAUUAAAAGUUGAAAAAUUAAAAAGGAUAAAUUCUUAAAAUGAUUCAAUUAGAGAAUAUGAACAAAAUCUAUAAUUAUACAUAUAGUAUAAAACUAGUAAUUGAAUUUAACUAAAUAAAUUUAAGUUUUACUGUUUUGGUCAUGACUAAAACUUCAAAAUUUGAAAACUACAGGUACUAAAUUGACCAAUUUGAAAAGUAAAGGGACUAAAAUUGAGCAAAUUAAGGAAAGGACUAAGUCUUCAAUUUUUAAAAAGUAAAGGGAGUAAUAGAAAACUUUAGCCAAUAAUUGGGAGUGACCGUUGUAGUGGGGGGUAGAAACAGUGUUGAUGUCGGGGAAUAUAGAAUGACGUGGAUUCAACGUUAGUUGGAUUUUAACAAUGUCAGUGCAUGAUUUGGCUUCAUCUCCUUUUAUGGAAAUUUGCGACUUUUCUUUAAUUCAACCAAGAUUGGGCACACACUUUUUCUUUUUUUUUUGUUAUUAUAUUACUGUUUUUAUGAUUAUUAAAAAACCAGCCUACCAUUGACUGCUACUUCAUUAAAAAGUAAUUUACCGCAAGAUUAAAAGUGAAAAAAAAAACACUUAUUUCAUCAUUUAUUUAUUAAUAAAUUGUUGGAAACCACUAAAUCACAAAAUCUUGCUUCCUAACAUCACAAAACGUGAUCUAUACGAAGGACAUGACAAAAUCUGAUUUAAUCAAAUAAAGAUCUUUGAGUUAUGGUUGAGUUAAGAUUAAUACUUAUGGGUCCGCAAGUAUGAUCGAUAAUUGGUCGACAACUAAAGGAGAUAUACGAGACUCGUUGGGAAAUUGGAAAGAAGGCUUCAAAAAACAUUUAGGUAGAUGUUCUAUUCUCAAUGUUGAAUGAUAGGCUAUACUUUGUGGACUUUAGGUUGUUAAACUACGAGAUUAUAGGAAAGUAAUUGUGAAAGGUGAUUGUUUAAAAGCAAUGAAGUGCCUUACGAAUAAAUCUGGGGAAUGUAACUUGAUGACUAUUGAGUAAUAUUUUUCUACGUCUUAUUAAUAGGAACGUUGGGGUAUUUAUACAUGUGGUUAUAGGUACUAUUACAACUCAUAGCAAGGCCCCAUUACUUUGUCUUGAUUCUAUUGCCUCCGGUACUAACAUUUCUUGUCCUUAGUAUUGACAUUCUCUACGAACUUCAGGCUUGUUGGACACGUGUUUACGGAGCACGCGGUCCUUUCUGUCCUUGGGACUAAUAUCCUAAGCGGGCUUCGUACCUAUUGGACACGUGUUUGGGUGGCCUGUGGGGCACGCGAUCCUUUCUGCAUACUUCUUGGGUGCGUGCGAAUUGAGACCGUUGCAUUUCCUAGGUUUUUGUGAGCUCAAUCUGUGACCCGUGCUCAUGGACUCCCUUUUGCUAGCCAUGUCCUCGAGCUCUCAUUGCAAGCUAUAUCUGCGAACCCGUCUCGCUAUCUUCUCGUGAUUUACCUUACACUUAUUCUUCGAGUAAGAUCUAUCAAGGUCACGAGUCAGAAACCCAGAUCCUUUCUAAGGCUCGGGUCAAUGGCUACUGAUGUACAACAAUCUAAUCCCCCUUAGUGGGCCUAAAGGGUGUUAUAAAGUGGCGCUCCUUAAGUCCAUCGUGUCAAACUUAAAUGCAGAUUGAUGGGCACCCUGCAAGCUGUGAUACACAAUGGUUGUUUUGCCUCGUGCACGUGCAAGUAUCGAGUGUGUGUAUCUGACCGUUAAGAGUUGAAGUGUUUCUAUUUGCUCGCUUCUGGGUCGUCAAUCUUCCUAGGUCAUGUGAACCGUCAAGAAGCAGGAAAGGAAAUCCUUUUUUAAAAAAAAGACCUUCGGUGCCCUAAUUCCCAAAAACACUUGCUACUAUGUUUAUGUUUUUGUUAUCAAUAGUAUGGUAAGGAUGAGAGGAACUGGUAACUGCAUCGUCUCAGCCCGUCUAUCACAGGAACGACCGUCUCCAACUCUGGUGAUGGAGAAAUCCUUUAUUUGUACCACUAAACUAGAUGACUUGGAAUGAGUCUUGGCGUGCAGGGAAUAAAACUCUCAAACAUUGUGUAUGAGUUCUCCUUUCCAGAAAGGUCACAUCGGCUGUAUAAGACCAUUGAAGAUAGCUUACUGUUUCUGAUGCAUGCGCUUGAGGCUGGGUUUUAUUUACCACUGCACCCUUUUCUUCUACAGCCUUCUGGAUGACUACAACAUUGCUCCUAGCAAACUCUCGAGCUUUUUUUGGUGGCUCGCUAUGGUGUACUUCCUUGAUUGUAGUCAGCGUAGUGAGGUACCUAUGCUCGCUGUUUUCCAGCAUUUGUACCAGUUGAAAGGCCGUGAUUUGGAGAAUUCGUCGGGGUUCUACUUUUCCCCUCACAAGAAUGUUCAAACAAUCAUUCGAAACCACUGUUCCAACCUUCGCUUGACUCAGGGAAAGUACGUUCGAGUUCGCAAUAGGCUUGGCGAGGACUUCGAGUUUCCUAUAAAAUGGUCAUCACCUAAUUAGGACAUGUGGGCAUUUCAAAAAAGCCUUGCUAUAGAUGAAGCUGUUGCCCAGUUUUGAAGGCUUCGUGUUGGUUGCAUGUUGAUUUUGGAGACUCUCAUCACAAUGAGAAAUGUCUUCAGAUAUUGUUCGGAGGGUUUUAGCCCUAAUGGAUGGAGGCCUAGUAACAAUCAAGAGGUCGCUCAGUCAAACGGUGCAUUGUCUGAGGGUGUUACUUGGCCUUAUGACUCAUUCGAUUAGUUGGGUCAGAUACUACUAGGUUAUAUGUCGAAGCCAUUUAACUUAUUCUAUCAUUUCUGCUAGAUGAAGCUUCAUCCAUUUGCUCUUGCUGAGUUUGCACAAUGGGGGUUGUUGGGUCAGAUAUUAAUUUAUUAACUGCUCCCACUGAUCACAGGGUUAUUAUUGAUGUAAGAAUCGAUCAAAUCUCCAAGGACAUUUCAAGUGGGACUGAUAGCACAUCUCGUGAGCUCAAUAAGGCUAUGGAUAUUGUAUCAUUGAUCAGUGAGGUGCGUAAGAAGCACAAGACCACCACGGGGGCUAUGCGUAUUGGCUUGUGAGUGAGGAGGAGGGGAAUAGCGCACAGCUGGAGCAUCGCAAUAAAAUGAGAGUAGAUUCUAUUUAGGUUGCUGCUAUUGUUGCUAGAGCCUUAAGUCAUUCUAGUUUUCUACCUGUAAGCUUACCAUCUGCUCCCCUUGCUAGUUCGUCGAUCAUUGUUGAUGAGGAUACCCCUCCGCCUAUUACUCGUGUUUCUCUUUCUGUGCCCGUCGUUAGAGAAAUGCCAAUCGGGGGAUACUGGAGGUUUACUUACUUGGCGUGUGGACUCGAGUGUACCGGGGUACCCUUAUAACCCUGAUGUCGCAGCCCUCGGAUGGCAGACUUCAGUGCUAGAGGCUGCUAGACUAAACAACGCACAACUACCCCCAACGUCAAGCCUGUCUCCUCUCUGUAAUUCUUUCUUUCUGAGGCCAAUAUGAUUGGAUUGAGGUAUGAUGAGGCCGGUCAGAAGAGCUUGUGGAUACUAAGGUAGAGUUGGCGAGAGUGUGCGAGCAGUAUCGUAAGAUGAUAGAGGAAAAUAAGAUUAUCAUCAAGUAAAAUGAAUAUCUCAUGGAGUGUUUGGCAAUCGUCGAGACUAAAGAAAAGGGGUUAGAGCGUGAGAAGGUUGCUGAAAGGGAAAGCAAAUAAGCUUUGCAAGCUGAGUUGAACAUGCUUACAGAAGAGCACGCAGCCGAAACGGAUAGGAUUAUCUGGGAGUGCCAAGAUCAAGUGGCUAGUACGAUUAGGGAACAACUUCGGGUCUUGGAAGAUUUUAAGAAAAAGACAGCUUCGAUGUGCUAUGUCUUUCGGGUGUUUGGUCAAAUGGUUUAAGGCGCCAAAUUUAGGCUCUGUUCCAAAAGGGCGUAGGUUCAAAUCCAAAGGAACGAAAGCUCUCCAAUAAACUACAUUGUCAAAGUUUUUCGGUCUGUUGGCAAACCAUUCGGUGAACAAAUCUGUUUCGUCGUGUUAGGCACCAAAACCUAACACUCUAGCCUGUCCUGAUGAUGAGUUGAUAGGGGGAUUUUUACUAGGGUGAGCUAUUUGUUUCCAGAAACGAAGAAACUUAAUCAAACUCAAAAAAAUCUGAUGAUCGGAAGUCUGUCUACGCUCACCACACCAAUUGUUAAGUAAUAUUUUUUUGUCUUAUUGAUAGGAACGUUUGGGUAUUUACACAUGUGGUUACAGGUACUAUUACAGCUCAUAGUAGGGUCCUACUACUUUGUCUUGAUUCUAUUGCCUCAGGUACUGACAUUCUUUGCGAACUGUAGGCCUACUAGACACGUGUCUACGGAGCACGUGGUUCAUUCUGUUCCUAGGAUUGAUAUCCUGAGCGGGCUCCGUACCUGUUGGACACGUGUCUAGGUGGCCUAUAGGGCAUGCGGUCCUUUUUACAUACUCCUUAAGUGCGUACGAACUAAGACCGUGGCCUUCCCUGGGUUCCUGCGAGCUUGAUUUACGACCAGUGCUCGCGGACCCCCUUUUAUUAAAUGAGAGAGAGAGAUCUACCAGGGAAAAUAAUACUAUAUAUGUAAGAUAUAGAAGGGGAGUGAAUGCUUUCUUUUUUGCCACUUUUUCAUCAGUGAGUUGUUAAUGAACCUAUCUCAUUCGUUGACUUUACGUGAUCUAAUCUUUCUAUUAAGCAUGCCUUUCAUUAUAUUAUAAAGUAGGGGCGCAUGAAUCUAUUCUUUAUUUUUUUAUUCAUGUAAAUAGAAAAAGUUUUCUUGCACCAUAUCAUGAGGUAUGAUACUAUUUGAGAGUAUGGUGUCAGAUACAAGCACCAUAGAUAGCUCAUGAACUCUUUAAUUUUAGACAUUCAAGACUUCAAAAUAUGGUUGAAAAGAUAUUUGUUAUUUUAAAAAAUAUUUCUCAUAUUAACAACAUCACAUUAGUAUAACAUAAAAAACAAGGUUGAAUCGUAAGUGGAAUUGAAAUGAUUCAUACUUCAAAGAGUACAUGAAGAAAGUAAUCUUGAUAAUUUUAAUGAUGCAGAUUCAAAUCCAAAUGAUAAUGAUCUUGAUCAAAGACCAACAAAUGAUGAUAAUUAGCAUAUAUUAAAUAUUAAAGAGGGAUGCACUAGAACAAUUAAAUAAAACUGCAUAUGAUGUUUAUUUUUUAGUUUUCUUUUUAUUAGUAAUGGUAUUAUCAACUACUUUUUUAUAGACAUAAUACAUAUAAUGAUUUGAUUUUAAUUUUUAUUACUUGUUUAGAAAUUAUUUUUAUCAUACUAAUAAUUUUUAUAGUAAUUAAUAUUUUUUAAAAAAUAAAUUAUGUAACUCUGUAAUUACAAUUCGUAGUCCAAACAUGACAUAAGAAAUUAUAAUAUAAUUACAUUCUGUGUCAAAUACGUCUAGAAAAUUACAAUUUUUUAUAAUUACAAGAAAGUCUAAAUUACAUUUAUUAUCUAAGAUCCUAAAUAAAAAUAAAAUAGAAAGUCAUGCACAACAAAACAUAAUUAUUGACCGAUAAGUUUAAAAUUUUCUUGUGUCUUUAAUAGAUUAGCAUAAAUCACUAGCUCCACUACGUUUAAAGAUAGAUAUAUACGGUCAAUUUUAUAUUUAUAAUAUAGUUAUUUGAAUUUUUUAAUAAUUUUAUUAAGGGAAAUGUUAUGUGCCCAAAACAUUUUGUUUAAAAUUUAUCCAAAGCUUAUAAAAUUACAUGGAUAUUCUUAUUAAUAAAAUUUAGGAUCCACAUAAUUAUUUAACAUGGACAACUAUUUGCUGAUAUUUAUUUUUGUAAAAAAAUUUAAAAAAUUUAUUAUUUUUUUAAAAUUUGAACCGAUAUGGUCCACAUCAACAUUUGCCAUUGACAUGGAGUGCCACAUCGGUGUCAUUAAUGGCCACAUCAACACUAUAAUGGUCAAAGACGAAAAAUGCUAGUCAAAGGAUUUAAUUAAUGCAAUCUAAAAGUUUAAGGGCUUAAUUGAAUGCAUUUUUUUUUUGCAAAAAAACGGGUUUUUUACACAAAUAGUAUAGAAAAAAAUACUGAAAUAAGAUGUCAGAAAAAAAUUUACCAAAAUAGGUUACUUUUUCAUUAGAGCCUAUUAGAUAGGCGCCAAUGAAUAAAAUAAUAAUAAUUUUUUUGAAUAAAAUAUAAUUUUAUACUUUUUUUAAUAUUUUUUUUAAAAAAUACGGGUCAAAAUACGGUCGGGUCGGGUGGCGCCUGUCUAGUAGGCGCCAAUGAAGGAGCCUCAUGGAGAGGCGCCAAUGGUGCCCUCUGUCCACCGUUGCAGCCCCUGCAUGCUGCUGCAUGUGUUGUCCAUUCAUGUUUUUUUUCUUUUGCCUAUAAGUAAUUGCAAAUGGUCCCAACGCCACACGGUAGAGUAAAAAAAGAGAGAAAGGAGAAUAAGAGAAGGAGAAGAAGAAGAAGAAAGAAAAAAAAAAGGUAAUGUAUUUUUUUAAUAAAUAAUUUUGUUUAUAAUUUAAAAGUUUAUAGUUUGUGAAUUUUUUAGGAUAUAUUUUAGAAGAUACUGUGAUUUUUUGUUAUUAUUAAUUAUAAAUUAUCUAUAUUUAGUGUUUAGUUUAGAUUAGAAUUUUGUAUGAAUAUUUUAACUUUUUUGUAUGAAUAUUAUAAUUUUUUAUGAAUAUUGUAAUGUUGUAUGAAUAUUGUAAUUAUUUUAUAAUUAAAUUUGUAUUUAUAGUUUUGGAUUAGUAAUUUUUUGUCUGAAUAUUGUAAUUUUGUCUGAAUAUUAUAAUUUUUUUGUAUGAAUAUUGUAAUAUUAUAGUUUUGUAUGAACAUUGCAAUUUUUUGUAUGAAUAUUGUAAUUUUGUAUGAAUAUUAUAUUUUUUUUGUAUGAAUCUUGUAUAUAAUUUUGUAUGCCUCUUGCAGUUUUUUUGUAUGAAUAUGUGUAAUUUGUAUGAAUCUUGUAAGGUGGGGAUAUUGUAAUAUUGUAAUUUUUUGUAUGAUAUGUAAUUCUUUUAUAAUUAAUUUGUUAGUAAUUUGGGAUUGUUAUUUUUGUGUUUGUCCUUCUUUAAUUUAAUUUAUUAGUCCUUUCGGCUUCCGCUAUAAGUUGUUGUGUUUAGUUUCGUAUUUGGUGGUUUAACAUAUAAAGUUUAUAAAAAAUUAAAAUCAUUUCAUUAAAAGUUUAAUUAUAAAAAAAUUAAAAAUCAUUUUAUUAAAAGUUUAAUUAUAACUGACUUUUUUAAUCAUAUAGUUGUUGUUAACUCAUUUAAGUUUUAUAUAAUGUAACUUUUAUAUAAUUAAAUUUUAUUUGAUUUUGUAUUUAUUUAACAUUAAUUAUUGAUUUUUUGAAACAAAUUAACUGAAUUCAUUUUUUUAUUGCAGAUUUGCAGGAAAUGGGUUCUCUAAUUAAUAAUAAUAAACAACGUGAGCGUCGAGCUCCACAAAAAUAUACCCCUAGAACCACACCAUCAAACCAUCAAUUUUAGGUGUUUUUGUAAUAAACAACCUCAUAUUUAUGUAAUGAUAGUUCUUAUCUAAAUAAAAUUAUAAUGGUUUAAAAAUGUCUCCAUAACUGCAACAAAUUGUAGACAAUUUUGUGAUUCAAACCAUAUUUAUGUAAUGAAGUACAUAUCAAUUUCUACCCGAUUGAGACGAUUGUCCAACAUGGUAGUUUCGGAUAGGGCAUUUACUUUGAUUAUGACUGGGUAAUCUGCAUACGCCACACAAAUUCCCGUCAGAUUUCUCCCUAAUGUCCAUUUUGUUAUGGAUUCUGGAUGAUUGCGGACGACCUUUCAGGUUUCUACGCAACCUUAUGUCUGGGACUAGCUCGAAGGUCGUCGGAGGUACCUCCCAAGUAGAUAGGUCAGGAAGUACGGGGAACUCGUUUUCCCAUACACGUAACGUGCGUUCGAUGGUGUACACUUCAUCGAUAAAUUGUUCUACAUUGAGCCCUACUUUAGCACAAGCUGCCACGACGUGUGCACAUGGAAAAUGAAGUGUUUGAAACCUCCUGCAAUCGCACCGUCUAUUUCGGAUAUCAACUCCGUAGGACCUAGGUGGUAUACUGGGUCGACAACCGAUGGUCUCUGUAACUCGAAACGUUUCAUUAUGUCGUGAAUAUACUUUUACUGUCAUCGACCUCGCCAUUCGACGGUUUACAACCAUUGCAUCCCUAAUGCCUUCGACAAAGACAUGUCCCGCCUCUAUCUGGUUCACUUGUUGCUGACCCAUUCUUGGCAUCAAGGUAGCCAACCUGUAGAACGUUGCCGAGAAGACAGAUGAAAUUGGAAGAUGUCGUGUUUUUAAUAACACAGCGUUGAUCACCUCCACUAAGUUUGUAGUCAUUUGACCAUAACGAAAGCCCUCGUCAAAACAUUGAGCCCAUUGCCACGGCUCCAUGGUACCCAGCCACUGCUGGAAAGAUGUGUUGGUUUGACCCUCCAUGUCACUCUCAAGCCGGGCCAUUCUUUGGCGAAAAAUGUGUGGCUUUAGCUCGUACGUUACAUAUGUAUUAAAAAAAUUUAAGCUACAGUAUUGCUCUAAAACAUUAAAACUUAUAUUUAAAAGAUAAGGUAAUUAUUUACCCAUUCUCACAACUUGUCUCUUCCAGUCUGCAUUCUUAUAAUCUCGCUGGAAGUUAGCCGCGAUGUGCCGGAUGCAGUAAACAGAUCUCCAUGGUACACCAGAACGCCUAAUGGCUGCAAUUAAUCCUUUCUCUCUAUCAGAAAUGAUGCAAAUAUUAUCAUUGCUAAUCACAUACCUCCGCAGGUUGGUAAGAAAGAACUCCCACGAUUCCAUGUUCUCCUUAUCGACGAUGGAAAAUGCUAUCGGGAGUACGUUCCUGUUGCCGUCUUGAGCAACCGCAAGAAGUAAGAUCUAUGUGUAUUUUCCAUAUAGCCAGGUUCCAUCUACUUGCACAAAUGGUUUGCAGUGGGGAAAUGCGCGCACACAUUGACCAAAAGUCCAGAACAUCCGAUGGAAAAUUCUUUUUCUCGAUUGUAGUUGGUCAUUUGGCCCGUAAUAAGAUCGUGUCUACAACUCAAUUACAGUCCCCGGCACGUGUUCCCUCAUGGCGGCUAUCCAUCCCUGUAAUUCAUUGUACGAUGCAUCGAAAUCUCCGUACAAUUGCUCCAUUGCCAUCUUUUUAGCUAUCCAUGCCUUCCUGUAUGAUACUCGAUAUUGGAAUCGUGCUUGUAUUUCAGCAAUCAGUACCGAAACUUUAAUGGUCGGCAUGUCUUUCACCAUUGGCAUGAUGCAUGUACAGAUAGUUUUGGAGUCAAGUUUUCGAUGAUCUUCUGUCAUACGUGUUGAAGUGCAUGUGUGAGGCCCAACAAAUUUUCGUAUCUCCCACAUUUGCGACUUCUGCAUAAAUGCAGCUCGUAUCCGCCAAUUGCAGCCUUCUGCCAACCUCUAACACUCUCUAAUAUAUAAUGUUGGUUUAGACUCGAUGACUUUGUAAUCUACUGAUAUAUUCAUACUAUACCGUUUAAUCGCAAACAUGCAUUCUUCCUUACUUUCAAAUCUCUGGCCCACGCGUAACUCAUCUGGAUCAGAAUAUACACCCAUUCGGUAAGUAUGUGGUAUUUCAGGGUACUCCGAAAACUCAGCUGCAUGUGCUGCAUCGGGGUCUAUCCGAGACAUGUGUGCCCCAGGAUUAUUGUGUAUCACAAUACGAAGAAUCUGGUUUCCGACUGAAGACACAUUAACGUUUCCAUCCUCAUUCACGCCUUCGUCGUCAAUAUCAUCCGGGACCUCGUCUGCGUCGGGAUCACUCUCACUAUCCACUUCGUAAUCAACAGGAUCACUACUAUAGUAUACAUCAUCACCAACCACAUCAGUCUCGGCUGCAGCAUUAAGAUCAAUAUUUAUCCCAUGUAUAGGUGAUUGACUAUCAACAUACGAUACCGGAACCACCAUACACGGCGCUUCAACUCCAUCUUCUUCACCUAAUGGAGUGGGAUCUUCAGUUGCCUCCACACUGGCUAACUCAGCAAAUAACUGAAUCGAUGCAUUUUUGUUACUCUCAGUCCCACAAUAAAGAGCGACCAUUGUCUCCACGUCUUCAUCGUCUACAAGUUCCAUUUCGGUAAAUUUUAUUGGAUCUGUUGAAACUGGAAACUUGUAGAAAACUUUUGAUAUCCUUCUCCCACAACGUCUAUAAAUUUUUUCACUAAUUUUUUCCUUCAUAUCAUCAAACGAGAUAUUUCUAUCAAAUCUCAUUGCUACUUGUUUGCGGCAUUCAAAUAUACAUCCCACAGUUGUUGUCAAAAUUUCUCCAUCGAAAUAAACGCAUAUAAAAAACUAAUUCUCCAUUUUCAAAACUAGAUCUGUAAAAAAGAAUUUCAAAUUUCUUAAAACAGUUUCAAAAUGUAAACAAAUUACAUAAAAAUUUUAAUGCAAAAUUUUUCAUUCAGAAGCUAACAAAAUUAAUAACAUGACAAAAUAACUUUCAAAUAAUAAAAUUACUAACAAUACUCUACAUUCUAUUUAAAAAGAAAAACCAAAAUACCUAAUUUUUUUCUUCUUUUCCUUCCUUCUUUUCUUCUGCUUCCUUCCUUCUUAUUUCUUUCGUUUCUGGAGUUUAUGUCUGUGUUGAGGGUAUUUAUAGGGAAAAAUAACAGCAUUGGCGCCUCUCAAAAUGGCACUACCAUUGGCGCCUCCCAGGUAGGCACCACCAUUGGCGCCUCCUAGGUAGGCGCCAAUACUAUGUAUUAUAUGGGUUAUAUACUAACCCGGAAAAGUAUAAAAUUAUAUUUUAUUCAAAAAAAUUUAUUAUUAUUUUAUUCAUUGGCGCCUAUCUAAUAGGCUCCAAUGAAAAAGUAACCUAUUUUGGUAAAUUUUUUUCUGACAUCCUAUUUCAGUAUUUUUUUUCUAUACUAUUUGUGUAAAAAACCCCAGAAAAACUUAAUUGAUUUUUCAUCAAAGUUCAAAGACAUACAGGUUUAACCUAAUUUAUAGUUUUCACACCAAUUUUUUCUCUCAUUAUGUAAUCAAUGUAAACAUAUUUUUCUAUAAUAUAAUUAAUAUAAAUACACUUCCCCAUAAUGUAAUUAAUAUAAAAUGAUUUCUCCUAAUAUAAUUAAUAUGAACAUGUUUUUUUAUAAUUAAUUAAAGGGUAAAUUAUAUAAAUAGUCACUCAACUAUUAAAGUUUUUCAUUUUAGGUACCAAAAAUAAAAAAAAAGUUUGUAAUUUAAGCAUUCACGUUACAUAGUUCGGUCAUUUUGGUCACUCCCGUUAAAAUCGCAAACAACAAGCUGACAUGACAGUUAAAAAACAGUAAUAACAAAUUUAGCCCUCAACUUUUACAUAUUACAUCAAUUUUGUCAUAAUUUUAAAAAAUUAACUCUCAAAAUUUACAAAUGGUAUCAAUUUGAUCCUUAAUUCUAAAAAAUUCAAAGAAAUAUAUAAAAAUACACAAAUAUUUUUUAAAAAUAAUAAUAAAGUUUAAAAAUAUACACAAAUAACAAAUAUUGUUGCCGGUUGAGUCUUAGCUUGAUUGGCAUGGACAUUGCUGCCAAUACAGGAGGACGUGUGUUCAAGUGCGCUGAAGUGCAUUAUCCUCUUAUUUAUGGGUUAGGGAAGGAUUAUAGGUAAUUCUAGGCAUUAUGUCAAAAAGAGCAGAUAUGAUCCAAAGUCGAGUAAUAUGUAUACAUACACAUGUUUAGGAAUGAAAAAGAAUAGCAUGCCAUUCUUUUUAUUUUAUUUAAUAAUAUAAUUAUAUAUUUGUUAAUAUGAAUAUAAAUAUGAAUAUAAAAUUUAAAUUUACUAUUAAUUUUGAAAAUAUUUAUCUAUUUUUUUAUCUAUUUCUUUGAAAUUUUUAGAAUUAGGAUUAAAUUGAAACCAUUUGUAAAUUUUGAGGGUUAAUUUUUUAAAAUUAUGACUAAAUCGAUAUAAUAUGUAAAAGUUGAGGGCUAAAUUUGUUAUUAUACCAUUUUUUAACUGCCAUGUCAGCUUGUCGUUUCUGAUUUUAAUGGGAGUGACCAAAAUGAUCGAACUAUAUAACAUGAGUACUUAAAUUGUAAACUUUUUUAUUUUGAGUAUCUAAAAAAAAACUUAUAAUUAGGUGACUAUCUAUCCACUUUACAUUUAUUUAAAAUAAAAAGACUUUUCAAUAAAAAAUGUAACUUAUUAAACUUCAUUUUUUUAAUUGACAUUAGUGAUAAAAAUUGAAUAAAACAUGAUGUAAAAAACAAUUAUAAGAGAAAAAAAAUAUUUUUUCAAUUAAAAUUAUUCAUUUGUUUUUGUCAAAAACUAAAAUACCCAUUUCAAUUAAAAUUAUUUAUUUGUUUUUGUAAAAAAGUAAAUUACCCAUUAUUAUUCAUGUAACUUCUAGUUAUUAAAUGGUUUGGUUAAUCGGUUUAAGUCUCGUUGUGAGGAUAUUUCUCAAUUUGGUUUUUGGGUCAAGGAUAUUUUUGGUUUGUUGGAUUUUUUUUAUUAAAUUUAAAACUGAGUGGGUCGCUCGUUCGAGUAAUAGGGUGGCCGAUGACCUUUGUAAGCUUGCUAUUGAUAAAUGUUGUAUCUUCUCUUUUAACAUGGAGUAUCCGAGUGAUAUCCAUGAGCUUAUACUUUCUGAUGCUUGUUAAUUUGAGGUAGUGGCCUUCGGUUCCUUUUUGUUCAAAAAACCUUCUAGUUAUUAGAAAAAAAAUCUAUCCUCCUUUUUUUAAUAUUAUUGUUUCUCAAAAAGUAAAAUUUAUAUAUGUAUUAUUUCUAAAAUAUAAAUUUACAUAUAAUAUAUUAUAUUUUGACAUGUUGCCAAAAUUUUGUUGCUAAUUAUGUGCUUUUUACAAAAAAAAUUUAGAGAUAAACUUGUUUAAAGGAUAGAUUACUUGCCCAAGUUUAAAAGUACACUCAAAAUAUGGGAGAGCUUGGACAAAAGUAUGAGACCUGAAAAAUGAGCUUGAAAAAAAAAUUAGGUUCGUUUAAGACAAGUCAAACUUAGGCUUCAAUGUUAAAGGCCCGAGCUUGACCCGUUUUCUACUUUAUAAUAUAUAUUUUAUAUAAUAUCUAAUUUAUAUAAAAUUAAAUAUAUAAUAAUAUAAUGCAAACAUUAAAAGAUAUAUUAAGUUAUUCAUGUUUAAAAUUUAAUAAAAAAUUCACCAAAAAUAAUAAAAGAAAAAUAUUAAAUUCAAAAUAAUAUAUUCAAAAUCGAUUGACAUGAGUACAUGACUAAAAUUUGAUUGAAAUGAAUUUAGAUUGAAUAUUUAAUUUUUUUUGCUAUAAAAUGAAUGUUUAUAUUUUUAUUAUUUAUCUUUUACUUCCCUCUUAUUUUUUUAAUUUUAUUUUUGAAAAUAUUCAAGAAGUUUUUUUUAAAAUUUUCAUUUUUUUUAUAAUUGAAUUUACAAUAGCUUAGUUGAACCCAAAGUCGGUGAUUUAGCCUGUUUGAUUGUCGCUUUGAUUUUUAUAAAAUUACAUAUUAUCCAACAAUGUAUGUAUGUAUGUAUGAUCACUAGUUAGAAAGAUGAAAACAAUAGUAUUGAUUCUAAAUUUCAAACAUAAAGAGAACCAUUAGUUAUUAUAAUUUAUGCAUGUAUGGUCUUGUUAAUAAUUUGUUAAUUAGGUUUAUUUGAUUCGUUGCACAAUUUGUUUUUAUUUUACUGUGUAAGAUUAUUAAUUUGUGAAUAAAAAUUUAAUUAUCUUAAAUAUUUGAUAUUGCUUUAUUCAUAACUUAAUUUUAGGUUAUCUAAGUUUUAAUUUUUUUUAAUUAUGAAUUUCAUUCUUUUAUUUUACAAAAAUUCAAAAAUUGAUCAUUGUAUUUUUUUGGUAUAACUAUGAUUCAAACCUAGGUUAUUACUGGGGGAGGUGAACAUCUGGUCAAUAAGCCACAACUUGAGGUUGAUCAUUGUAACACCCUAUACUCGGCCUGGUCGCCAAGCCCAAAUAUAAAGAUGCCACACCAUCGUCUCAUGUCAUACUCAUAGUAAAUUGUCGCAGUAUUAAGAAAUCAUCCUCUUAAUCAGUGAUCUUAUAAAUUUUUAGUCAAACACUACACCAAAACAAGAUUUUAGCAGCACUUUUAGUGGCGUUUCGAUAAAAAAACGCCGGUAAAAUUCAGGAAUUAGCGGCGCUUGACAGAAAACGCCGCUAAAAAAUGAGCUUUCACGGCGUUACUAAGAAAACGCCGCUGAAAAUAUGAAUUAGCGGAGUUUUCGUCAAAAACACCGCCAAAAAAAAAUCCCAACGACGUCGUUUGGUAGUCUUCGGAGGGCUUUAGUGGCGUUUUUAUAUUUGCGCCACUAAUGCUUUUACUUUCAGCGGCGUUUUUAGGCUCUCGCCGCUAAUGGUCGGGGGUUUUAGUGGCGUUUUUAAUCAACCGCCGCUAAAGUUAAGGUAUUUAGCGGCGAUUUCUUUGAAGCGCCGCGAAUAUUUGGUCUUCUAGCGGCGUUUUUAUAUAAGCGACGCUAAAGUUAAGAUUUUUAGCGGCGAUUCUAUGAUAAGCGCCGCUAAUGUUAGGGUUUUAGUGGCGUUUUUGUUGAAGUGCCGCAAAAAAAAACAUUUUAUCUUAAUUGGUUUAUUAUUUAGAUUAAUUAAAUAAAAUUCAACUUAAAUCUAAUUAAAUAUUUAAAAUAUUCAGAAAAAAUAACACAUAAAAAUAAUUUGAAAUAAAUCACAAGGAAAAAAUUAAAAUACUAUUAUUUAAAAUAAUUUUUAAGAUUUUUGGAUACAUGAUUAAUAUAUACUGCUUAUUUUUUAUAUUAUUAUAUAUAGUAAAUUUUUUUUAUAUAAUUGUAAAACAGAUAUAGUAUGAUUUUAAAUUUAAAAUAUUGAAUUAAUUAAUUAUCAGUAUAGUUAAUUUAGGGUUUAAUAGGUUUAAGGUAUAUAUAUAUAUGAUUAUUAAUUUAAUAUAGUAUUAAUUUAAAUUAUAUAUUGUGGAUGUGAUCAACAUCCAAAAAAGUUUAAAAUUUUAAAAUUAUGUUUUUUAUUAGAAUUAAAAAAUUUGAUGGAUAAUAUAUAUUAUUUAAUUUAAAUUCAAGGUUGAAAUAGUACGUAAUACUCAACUAAUUAUAAUAUUUCAUGACAAACAUUUAAUUAAAUACUUAAAUCAAAUUGUGAAUUUGAAUUGAUCUCAUUCAAUUAAUUAAAAUAUAUGCAUAUAUACGUCCUAACUUGCUAUCAUUCCUUUUGUUAUCACUUCAUCAAUAUUAAAGAAAAAUGUCAUGUAUAUAUAUAUAUAGUUGUUCGUCCUUAUUGUUUUUUCAUUUAUAUAUCUAUUUGAGAAAUUAAGAAUAUAAUAAAUUUGUUAAUUAGAGAAAUUUAUUCAAUAUUUAUCAAUAAAAUAAAAUAUUAAAAAUUCCAUACUUUAUAUAAAAAAUAAAUUUUAUAAAGAAUAAUAUUGUUUAUUGCUACUUUAUACAAAAUUUUUAACUAUUAAUUAUUGUUUAAUCGAUUUUAACUGUUUUUAUGAUUAUUAAAGAUUUAGGGAAUUUUUUGGAAGGUAUAUAUAUAGGGGGUAUAUAUGAUUAUUAGGGUUUGGAAUAUAAGGUUUAGGGGUUAGGGGUUAGGGAUUUAGGGGUUAGGAGUUAAGGGUUAGGAAUUUAGGGGCUAGGAGAUUUAGGGGUUAGGAGUUAGGGAUUUAGGGUUUAGGGUUCAAUUAAGGGUACUACUCAAGUUAGGGAUCAUGGUUGCUUAGAUUAAUUAGUUUUAUUAAUUUAUAUAUUAAAUAUGUUCUUAUAUGUUUGUAAAAUAUAUAAUAAUAAAUUUAAUAUUAAGUAGUGACUGUCCGGUUUUGUUUCUCCAAAUUUUUGUCACUACUCUACAAAAUCUGGUUCAGCCUUCUAAUUUAUAGUAGAAAGGAUCGUUCUAAAAAUAUUUAUUGAUGAACGACGGGAUUUGGAGGGUUGGAAGCUAGCAGAUGCCCCCUUUCGGUAUUUUGGCAAUGUUCCUAGGGCACCGAUAGCACAUGUCAAGAAUCCUACAAUUGGUGGAGGGUUCAGUGAUCAUUUAAGAUAUUUCAAAGAUAUGUAUAGUAUAUAUUAUUAAAUUAAUUAGAGAUAUAUAAUAUAUAUAUAGAUCACUUUAUAUAUGCAUGUAUACCGAAUGGUUAAAUUAAUUAGGGUUUUGGUUUAUU